rnacentral:lncRNA from 1 species
AAUGUGCAUGUAAACUUGCCCCUUCAUUCAUCUGCCUAUUUGUCAGGUUGUGAAACCUGAGUAGGAGAUCAUUUCUGGAACUCAUCGAUGAGUUGGGAAGUGGGUUGAGUUGUGGUUCGCUGUUUGUGGGUUCGACCAUUCUGUCUAUAUCUGUUCCUGCAUUGCUCUAGUUUAACACUAACCUUAAAGAUUUCAUGGAGACAAUGAGCGACAAAUAAUUUUCAAUAGUGUUUUGUCUCUCUAAAAUUUCAAAAGAUUUGACGUUCCAUUUGUCCAGGUACUGAAUUUAUUACAUGCUCAUACAUCAAGCUUAGACAAUGAUUGUAGAGGAUCUUGGAAUUGAAGCCAAGGAAGCGGCGGUUCGUGAGGUUGCCAAACUUUUGCCACUACCUGAACUUUUGCAGUCAAUUUCGUCAAUCAAGGCUGAUUACAUUACGCGCCAACAGGUGAUGCUUCUUUGUCCAAUUUAAUAGUCAAAAUUUCUAUUUCAAUUUGGGUUAGUUUCAAUCACAUAUGUAGGUGAGUACGUGUGUGUGUGUGUGUGUGUGUGUGUGUGCACACCUAUCCACACACAUGCAAAAUUUUGAAGUUAUGCAGGUGUUGCGUUAAGAUUAUACUGAUUGAACAAGAGAAAUUUUUGGUUUUGGGUGACUGGAAUGAGCAAUCAUCUUGGAACUCUCUAGAUACAUGGAAAUUGAAGUGUGAGAUCAGGUUGAAUGAGUUGCUAGCUUGUUUUAUUUAUGAAAGUUGAGUUCAUGUGCUAGGAAUCAGAUCUCUCAAGUUUUGCUUUCUUGGGGCUACUUCACUCUGUUUCUGAAGUGAAAGAUUUUAAGAUGCUCCCCAACAAGGAGGAGUCCAAUUAGGCUUGUAAGAGGAUUUAAAACUAGUAUGGAACUCAACUAUUCUUAGCAUCCGAUCAAUAGAGUGCUCCAUCAAUUGACAUGUAGAAUCUUUAUUGACAAUUGAUUGAGAAAGAAAAGCCUUAGAGCUAAAUUUAUGAAGGGGCUCAAUCUAUCAAUUCUCAAAUAUACUCCUAGCAUGUGUGGAGAUCCAAUUCCCUAUGCAAUGAGUUAGGGCAUUUAAAAGAUUGGUGGGGAACUAAAAACUAUCCAAGUCCUAUGUUUUCUAGGUCACUUGGUAUAGCCAAAAAAGUGUGUUGACUGAUCCUGAUGGUCUUCAAUGAUGCGUUCAAGGAUUGAGUUCAGAGCAUGCUGGAUCACAUUGGACAUCUGAGGGAACUCUGACUAACCUAACUAGAUCUUUUAAUGGAUCAUAAAAAUGCUAAAUUCCUAAUAUUUCUUAUAUUAAAUUUAUGUAAAACCUUCAAGUUGCCUUCUGAAUGUUGCUAUAUUUUUUUAAUGUCAGGCAAAUGAUGCACAACUUAGUAUGAUGGUUGCAGAGCAGGUAUACAGAAACUUCUAUUCUAAGCUUCAGGGAAAUUAUUAUGUUGUUAUUAAUGUUAUGUGGUUACUAUUAAGUCUCUUAUGUUCUUCACUUUUUUUAUGAGUCUAUGGAGCUGAAGAAUCCCAGGCACUUUAAUUUUACUACCAUAUUGAUGUGUUCUAUUGAAACAACACUCUUAAAUUCAGGUUGAACAGGUACAGGCUGGGUUGGAAUCAAUUUCCUCAUCUCAAAAGACAAUAAACCAGCUUCGUGAGAACUUUCUCUCUAUUGAGAGGUAUGUUCUGCUUAUGAUUUUCCUAGAAAAUUCUUGUUGUUUUCUAUAUGUGCAGUUAUUAGGCUUCAACUCAGUAUUAAAGCAUUCAACUUUAAGGACUAAUGUGUUUACUUGCUUUUGCCUCAGGCUAUGUCAAGAGUGCCAAAACUUAAUUGAAAAUCAUGACCAAAUAAAGCUCCUUAGCAAUGUGAGAAAUAACUUAAAUACCACACUGAAGGUGAAUGCAAUGUCUGACCUUUGUUUUCAUCAACUUUUUCUUUAUCAUGAUAUGUUUCUUGCAUACACACACACAAACAUACAUAAGUUCUUGUCUCUCUAUAUCUAUGCACAUGUUAUUGUUCAGCUGCAGCUUGCAGUCUACUAAAUAAUGUUAUCUUUUUUCUUUCUUUUUGUCUGUGUGUCGUUGUUUUCCCCCCUUUUCUUUUCCACCUAUCCAAGGCAACAGAACAAAUGUGGCAUCCUAAAAUGCUGCCAGAAGCUAUGAGCCCAAUGACCAUUAAUGUGGGGCAGAAGAGCUUUUAUCGAAGUCAUUUUUUCAAAAUUCAGUUAGGAAAAAGGAGACACUUUGUAAUGCAUGACCUUAUUCAUGACUUGGCUCAACUGGUGUCUGGAGAAUUUUUUAUGUAUGCCAAAUCUCAGAAAAGACACGUCAUUUAUCAUAUUUUCCUAGAAAAUAUAAUACAUUUGAUAGAUAUGGAACACUUUCUGAAUUUAAGUGUUUGCGAACAUUUUUAUCAUUGGAGGUUUACGGGAUUGGCUACUUAAGUAAUAGAGUUCUACACAAUCUAUUAUCAGAAAUUAGAUGCUUGCGGGUGUUGUGUUUGCAUAACUAUAGGAUUGUUUAUUUGCCCAAUUCAAUUGGCAAGUUACAACAUUUGUGCUACUUGGAUCUCUAUAAUGCUUUGCUUGAAAAAUUGCCUACAUCAAUAUGUACUUUGUACAAUUUACAAACAUUGAUAUUGUCAAGGUGUUCGAAUCUGUAUGAAUUGCCUUCAAGAAUCGAAAAUUUGAUUAAUUUGCGUUAUCUUGACAUUCUUGGUACCCCACUAAGAGGGAUGCCAAGUCAUAUUGGCCAUUUAAAAUGUUUGCAAAACUUGAGUUAUUUCAUUGUGGGGCAAAAGAACAGGUCGGGGAUUGGAGAAUUGAAGUAACUUUCAGAUAUAAAGGGAACACUUAGAAUUUCAAAGUUGCAGAAUGUGAAAUGUGGCAGGGAUGCAAGAGAAGCCAAUUUGAAGGACAAGAUGUACAUGGAGGAGUUAGUGUUGGAUUGGGAUUGGGAAGCAAGUGAUAUUAUACAAGAUGGAGACAUAAUUGAUAAUCUUCGGCCACAUACAAACCUAAAGAGACUCUCUGUUAAUCUUUUUGGUGGUUCGAGAUUUCCGACAUGGAUAGCAAAUCCUUUAUUCUCUAAUCUCCAGACCCUAAAGCUUUGGAAAUGUAAAAAUUGCUUAUCAAUACCACCACUUGGGCAGCUACCCUCUCUUGAACACUUACGGAUCUCAGGAAUGAAUGGAAUAGAGAGGGUGGGCAGUGAGUUUUAUCAUUAUGGGAAUGCUUCUUCUUCCAUUUCUGUUAAGCCUUCCUUCCCAUCCUUACAAAACAUUUGAGUGGAUGGACAAUUGGAAGAAAUGGUUGUGUUGUGGAUGCAGACGUGGAGAAUUCCCUCGUCUCCAGGAGCUUUAUAUGCGGCACUGUCCCAAACUCACUGGGAAAUUACCAAAACAGCUUCGAUCCUUGAAGAAACUUGAAAUUGUUGGAUGUCCGCAGCUGCUUGUGCCUUCACUCAAAGUCCCUGCAAUCAGUAAAUUGACGAUGGUCGAUUGUGGUAAAUUUUAGUUGAAAAGGCCAGAUAGUGGCUUCAUUGCUCUUCAAACCUCACUCGUUAAAAUUUCAAACAUCUCUCAGUGGAAGCAGCUACCAGUGGGAGUGCAUAGCCUCUCAAUUACAGAAUGUGAUUCUGUGGAGACUCUAAUAGAAGAGGAACCGCUCCAGAGCAAAACUUGUGUUCUCAAAGAUUUGCAAAUCACAAAUUGUUGUUUGUCUAGAUCCUUGCGCAGAGUUGGUUUACCCACUAAUGCAUUGGAAUCACUAGAAAUCUCUCACUGUUCCAAGCUAGAGUUUCUCCUACCUGUGUUGUUGAGAUGCCACCACCCUUUCCUUAAAUAUAUACUGAUCGGAGAUAGCACUUGUGAUUUUCUCUCAUUAUCCUUCUCCUUAAGCUUCUUCCCAAGGUUGAACCAAUUUGAAAUCUAUAAUCUUGAAGGGCUUGAAUUCCUCUCAAUUUUGAGUUCAGUGGGGGAUCCCACAUCUCUUAAUUAUUUGGAUAUCCAAGAGUGCCCUGAUAUUGUAUAUAUUGAAUUGCCGGCUCUCGACUGAGCAACUUAUGUGAUCUCCAGAUGCUUGAAGCUCAAGUUAUUGAAGCACACCCUCUCAACUUUGGAGAGUUUGAAUUUAAGAGGUUGCCCAGAAUUGUUGUUCCAGAGAGAUGGUUUGCCCUCCAACCUACGUGAACUUCUCAUUUCAUCCUGCAACCUACUCACAUCUCAGGUGGACUGGGUUUGCAAAGACUGGCCUCUCUUACAAUGUUCACAAUCAAAGGUGGAUGCCAAGACAUGGAAUCAUUCCCCGAUGAGUGCCUAUUGCCCUCCACAAUUACCACUCUCAGAAUUAAACGACUUCCAAACCUCAGGUCUCUGGACAGUAAGGGGCUUCAACAACUUACCUCCCUCUCAGACUUAGACAUCGGCAAAUGCCCUGAGUUCCAAUCCUUUGGAGAAGAGGGGCUUCAACAUCCACCUCCCUCACAACAUUAUCCAUUAGCAAUUGUUCUAAGCUCCGAUCCCUUGGAGAAGAGAGGCUUCAACAUCUCACCUCCCUCAAAUCAUUAUCCAUUAGUGGCUGCCAUGAGCUCGAAUCUUUAACAGAAGCAGGUCUUCAACGCCUUAUCUCACUUGAAAAUUUGCAGAUCUCCGAUUGCCCGAAGCUCCAAUACUUGACAAAAGAGAGGCUGCCAAACUCCCUCUCUCAUCUGUCUGUUGACAAAUGUUCUUUGCUGGAACGUUGCUGCCAAUUUGGUAAAGGCCAAGAUUGGCAGCAUAUAGCUCACAUUCCACACAUAAUCAUCAACGAUGAGUUAUACUGAUGAAGAUGGAAAUUUAUCAUUGUCAAUCAGUUACUUGUUCCAUACUCAAAAUAACUUCCUUUAAAAAAAAUAAAAAUGAUGUGGUUAUUAUUAAGUCUAGGCUUCAAAAUUUCUUAUCAUCUCUAUUGUACUUGCUGGCUCUGUGAGGUUUGAUUGAUUUGCCUAUGGUCAUAAAGGCAUGGUGCCAAGCAGCUCUCCGGGUGUUCUAAGUGACUUGCUCUUCUUGAGCCUCAAUCAUGAUUUAUGGUUAGUGAGAUAUUUUAUUUGCUUUGAUUCUUUCUCAUGACCGAUUAUGGAUUUGUACUGGUUGGUUUCUUUCAGAUGUUCCAUCAGUGGAGACCUCACUUAACAAUUAAUCUGCAAAUUACAAGUUUCUCUUAAUCAUGACUGCAUCAUUUUGUAGGUUCUAUAAGGUUGGCAUGUAUAAAGGAACAGGUAUGUUUCAUUUGGCUAAUGCUUUUUAAUAGCUAACGCAUUCAUGCAGUGAUGUAUGUCGUGUUCUAUGUCAAUUCACAAUAAAAUUGUUGUAAGGGUUCUUCCAGAUGGAACGUGGAGUGGAGAAGAUGAUGAAGUUUUAGUGCCUGUAGGCAUUAUUCUUAUUGAACACAGAGAAACUAUUCUGCUGAUACUGUAUCCUUGACAAAAACUGAUCAGGUGGCUCUGCUGUUACCAUGGAUUGACAUGCUACUUAAUGGCACGGCCUGGUCAAAUUUUAAUGAGACUACUCUGUUUUGGUUGGACAGUCUCCACUUACCAGAGAUGGUUCGCUGCGUUCUACUUGCAAACAGGGAGAGAUCACCUUAUUGAUAGUUGAUACCACACCACCAAUUAGCCACCGUGAAAAGGCAAGGAUAUGGGAAUACAUCAUCUUAGGUCUUGGCUAUGAUCAGAAAUUUCCAUGUACGGUAUGUUGCUGUUGAAAUUUCCAAGCCACACUUUUUAGGACCAUGAGGCCCAUUCAGGCUCUCAUUGUUUAUCUCAGGAGAUUCAGAUGUUUGUUUGAAAAGAAAAAUACCAAAGUUCAAGUGAAGGUUUAUACAUUUGAGAUUCCCAUGAAGAAUGUUGGUACUAUUUGAAGAGGGUGGUAGACUACCACUCCCUCAUUCAAGCUUCCAAAUUUUGUAUAGGAAAGAUGAUGUUGUAUUGACCUUCUUCACUUCUUCACUUCUUCAUGCAAUGAAAAUUUACUUCUCUUCUAUAUAUGCCCACACUCUGCUCAGGUUUUUACUUGCAUUAAUGAUACUACUCGGUCACCUUAUUGAUCCCCACAUCAACCAUUAGGCCAUUUUCAAUGGGCACACCUUCUGUUGUUUAGGUCAAAAUCUAAUGUCUGCAGUACGCUUGAUCAUGUUUGUAAAUUAGUAGUUUGAUGUCUAUGUUAAAUUUUCAAAGGAUUUAGAAUGUAUAAAUCAAACGAUUGAGAUUUUUUAAAUAUAUUCAAGAUUAAGUUACAAGGAUCAUUGUUGAAGGCGGUCACAAAUUCUCUUUUGAAUUAAUUUAUAAGUCAUCGAUAUUUUUUUCAUUACGAUAUAUUCAUGGAAUAGAAUUUCUUAUAAUUAUAAAGGUUGAAAUAUCCUAUUGCUAUAUUUUCUUUUAAGCUAUAUUUAUUUCUCCAAAAAAAAUUGAAGGAAAAUGUAAGGGAAAGAAAAAGUGAAAAAAAAAUGAUUUAAAAUUAAUAAAUUAUUCUUAUAUAUUUUUUCAAAUUCAUUUCACUUAUUUUUCUUUAUUAUAUAAAGAUUAAAUAAUUUAAAAAUAUAUAAAUUUUAAAGUAAUUUUAAUAAUUUUUUUUUUUUCAUAUUUUUAUGGUAAAACUAAAUAUAUAUAAGAAAAUCAUUUUUUUUUUAAACAUUUUCUUCUUUCGAUUAGACUUUAAGAAAAUGUAUCUUUGAUAAUUAUGAAAGUAGUUUACCGUAGUACUCUGUUUGGAGUAGUUGGUAUCAUCAAUUUCUAACAUUAAAAAAAUUAAGAAAAAAAUAUUUGUUGUUUUUGCAAAUGGAUUGCUAUAGAAUACAAUACUUGAUACAUACACACCAUCGUCCUUUAACUUCUAUUAGAAAUAACCCGAGUAAGCUUUUCUUCACCAUGUGUGGGCACUGCUGCAGGAGCCGCUUAAAGCUUAGGGACCAAGGCCCUAGCCACAACCAUACUUUUUUAAAAUUUUUUUAAAAUCCAAACUUUUAAACUCUUUAUACUUGGAUUAUGGUUUUAAGAUACCUUCUAUAAUGAAACUUUUAAAGACAGUUUCCAAAUUUUUCUCUAUGAAUUAUGGUUCCAAAAUACCCUUUCAAGAAAUACCCGACUCUUGAACCACGUGCCCAAGUGAUCCCACACUUGUCAAUCCUCAUAAGAUUUAUGAUUGAAAGAAGAUUAAUCUUUGUGUACAAUUUUGAUUCAAAUAAAUACAACAUCAUGGUGGAUAAGUAAGAUUAUGAAUCAAGGAGCACUAAAAAAAAACUCCCUACAACCAAUGGAUAAUAAUUAAUGUUAGGUUCUUGGAGAGUCAACAAUGAGAAUUAAAUGGCCUUUAUAUAUGUAUUGAAAGUAAACUAGUGAUCAUUAGAGAUAAAAACCCUGAAGUCCCAAUCGAGCAGCAACUAGUCAUUACUCAUAAGCCUAUGUUACCGUUGAAAGGUCUUUAUACAUGUAGUGGAAAUUAACAUUGUAAGGCCCUAUGUUAAUUGAUCAAUUAUUUGAUUGAAUCAGAAAGGUCAUCAUAAUUUUAUGUGUAAGCUAGAAGGGGCAUAUUGAAAGACCUCUCAUGGGCAAUUUGGUCAACGACCUGAUCAAUCGCUCAUUAACACUCCAUUGUCCUUUAGCUUCCAGUUAGUGAAAAUUUAGUAACACUAUACUUAAUGUAGUUUUAUUUCAUACCUUUUUAGAACUCUUUUAAGCUUGAAAUAAAUAAAUCAAACGUGGUUUCAAAGAGAAAAUACUUCAUCCAACUUCUAAAAAGAUUUAUUACAAUUUGAUUUUAAUUGGAUGAAAUUUGGUGAUAGCUACUUUAAUAAAAAUACGCACACAAUCAUAAUUUAGUGCACCAACAAUCUUACAAUGUAGUAUCUUAAACCUGAAUUUCAUAAACUUUUUCCUUUUAAACCCAUUUUGAUCCACUUUAAUCUUAAUGAUAUUUUCUUCUUGAUUAUAACUCAAAGGAAGUCUUCUUGUUAUAGAUAAUCUCCUUCUACAAUUGCACUUUCUCUUGUUUCUUGGAGAUGGAAAAUACACUUGAGUUUUAGCAUAUGGCUAACAAAAUUAAAAUCAUUUUUAUAAUAAUUUUAUAAUAAUUAAAGUUACUUCUAAUAAUUAAAAUCAUUUUUAAAAACCUAGAAAAAUAUUCCUUGAUAGAUAAUUUUCAAAUAAUUGUACUAAUUAAUUAUGGUGAAAAUCUUGUCAAAAUUAGUAAAUGAUCUCAUAAUCUCAACUAAUUUUAUGUAACUUUAUGGCUGACAAAACUAUAUAAUAAGCAUACAUAACCUUCAUAUUACCAUGUAAGUAUUUAUUUAUAUUGCAACAUUUUAUCAAAAAUUGAUUGAGUGUGAAAAUAAAUAAAAUGAUAACUCAAUUCAUUGAAAUGAAAUAUCAAAAUUCGUAGGAAAAAAACAUCCCUCAACUAUUAUUGAAUCCUUUAUUCAUUUAUUUAUUCAUUGUUUUUUUUGUUUUGUUUUUUGUUUUUGUUUUUGCCUUUUGUUUUUGUUUUUGUUUUUGUUUUUUCUGUUUUUUUUUUUUUUUUUUUGUGCCUUGUACAUAUUUAAUUAUUAAAAAUUUUAAAAAAAAUUUAUAAAAUAUUUCUCCCACAAAAAGGAGUUUAUGAAAGUGUUGAAAUAUGACAAUGAUCAGUAAUAUUAAAUUUGAAAAUCGUCACAACAAAAUUUCACCUACUCAAGAUAUUUGGAAAUGAAAUAAAAAAACUCUUCUAAAUUUAAAAGAUCAUUUAAUUAGGUGCUAAUGGCCAAUAAGUCUUCUAAACGGAAGUAAAUUGUAAGCUUAAUUAAAUAAGUUUUUUGGCCCUUCUUGUGGCCGGCCAUGUCCAUGCUCCUUUUCAAGCCGGCCUCCUUUGUUUUGUGUGGUUUGUCAUUUGUGAACAAUGUCAGACCUGAGGCCUUCCAUCGUCUCGAAUAAUUUAACCAGGUCUGACCCAACUUCGCUACCAAGAAACAUUGCAUUUUCUCAAUACAAACCAAUCUUUUCCAGUUUGGUGGUUUGAUUUUGGAUCGCUUGCCUUCGUUUUUCCUUGAUUCAUCACUCACUUUUCUCUACAAACGAACAGAUAUGGCUGGGGCUUUAGUUGGAGGAGCUUUCUUCUCGGCUUCUCUUCAAGUUCUAUUUGACAGGUUGGCUUCUCGCGAGGUUGUGAGCUUCAUCCAGGGGCGGAAGCUCAGCGAUGCGCUCCUGAAGAAGUUGGAAAGGAAGUUGCUGGUAGUCCAUGCAGUGCUCAACGAUGCUGAGGUCAAACAAUUUACAGAUCCAUAUGUGAAGAAGUGGCUGGUCUUGCUUAAAGAGACUGUGUAUGAUGCGGAGGACAUACUGGAUGAGAUCGCCACAGAGGCUUUGCGACACAAGAUGGAAGCUGCAGAGUCCCAAACCAGCACGAGUCAGGUGGGUAACAUCAUGGACAUGUGUACCUGGGUUCAUGCCCCAUUUGACAGUCAGAGCAUAGAGUCGAGGGUGGAGGAGAUCAUUGAUAGACUUGAAGAUAUGGCACGAGACAGAGCCGUCCUUGGGUUGAAAGAAGGUGUUGGCGAGAAACUGUCACAAAGGUGGCCUUCUACUUCUUUGGUGGAUGAAUCUCUUGUCUAUGGCAGGCAUGAUGAAAAACAGAAGAUGAUUGAACAGGUGUUGUCUGAUAAUGCAAGGAGGGAUGAGAUAGGUGUGAUUUCCAUAGUGGGCAUGGGCGGCCUUGGCAAGACCACACUUGCUCAACUUCUAUAUAAUGACGCAAGGGUGAUGGAACACUUCGAUUUGAAGGCAUGGGUUUGUGUUUCCGAAGAAUUUGAUCCUAUUAGAGUUACAAAAACAAUUCUGGAGGAGAUUACUUCAUCCACUUUCGAGACAAAUAACCUAAAUCAGCUUCAAGUUAAACUGAAAGAGAGAAUUAAUACGAAGAAAUUUCUACUUGUCUUGGAUGAUGUUUGGAACGAGGACUCUAGUAACUGGGCUAUGCUACAAACUCCACUCAAAGGCGGGGCAAAGGGAAGCAAGAUUGUUGUAACGACCCGCAGCACCAAUGUUGCAGCAGUUAUGCGCGCUGUUUAUUCUCAUUGUCUUGGUGAACUAUCCUCUGAAGAUUCCUGGUCUCUGUUUAGAAAACUCGCAUUUGAAAAUGGAGACUCGAGUGCGUAUCCACAACUAGAAGCAAUUGGUAAGAAGAUUGUGGACAAAUGCCAAGGUUUGCCACUAGCUGUAAAAGCAGUGGGGGGCCUUUUACAUUCUGAGGUUGAAGCGAGGAAAUGGGAUGAUAUACUAAACAGCCAAAUAUGGGAUUUGUCAACUGAUACAGUUCUUCCUGCAUUGAGAUUGAGUUACAAUUAUCUGCCUUCACAUCUAAAGCAAUGUUUUGCCUAUUGCUCAAUUUUUCCCAAGGACUACGUAUUGGAGAAAGAGAAGCUAAUUUUGUUAUGGAUGGCUGAAGGUCUUUUACAAGAAUCAAAAGGCAAGAGAAGAAUGGAAGAGGUAGGUGACUUGUACUUUCACGAGCUUUUAUCGAAGUCGUUUUUUCAAAAUUCAGUUUGGAAAAAGAAGACACACUUUGUAAUGCAUGACCUUAUUCAUGACUUGGCUCAACUGGUGUCUGGAGAAUUUUCUGUCAGUUUGGAGGAUGGUCGGGUAUGCCAAAUCUCAGAAAAGACUCGUCAUUUAUCAUAUUUUCGUAGACAAUAUGAUACCUUUGAUAGAUAUGGAACACUUUCUGAAUUUAAGUGCUUACGAACAUUUUUAUCAUUGGGGUACAUGCUUGGCUACUUAAGUAAUAGAGUUCUACACAAUCUAUUAUCGAAAAUUAGGUGCUUGCGGGUGUUAUGUUUUCAUAACUACAGGAUUGUUAAUUUGCCCCAUUCAAUUGGCAAGUUGCAACAUUUGCGCUACUUGGAUCUCUCUAAUACUUUGAUUGAAAAAUUGCCUACAUCAAUAUGUACUUUGUACAAUUUACAAACAUUGAUAUUGUCAAUGUGUUCGAAUCUGUAUGAAUUGCCUUCAAAAAUCGAAAAUUUGAUUAAUUUGCGUUAUCUUGACAUUGAUGAUACCCCACUAAGAGAGAUGCCAAGUCAUAUUGGCCAUUUAAAAUGUUUGCAAAACUUGAGUUAUUUCAUUGUGGGGCAAAAGAGCCGGUCGGGGAUUGGAGAAUUGAAGGAACUUUCAGAUAUAAAGGGAACACUUACAAUUUCAAAGUUGCAGAAUGUGAAAUGUGGCAGGGAUGCAAAAGAAGCCAAUUUGAAGGACAAGAUGUACAUGGAGGAGUUAGUGUUGGAUUGGGAUUGGAGAGCAGGUGAUGUUAUACAAGAUGGAGACAUAAUUGAUAAUCUUCGGCCACAUACAAACCUAAAGAGACUCUCUAUUAAUCUUUUUGGUGGUUCGAGAUUUCCGACAUGGAUAGCAAAUCCUUCAUUCUCUAAUCUCCAGACCCUAAAGCUUUGGAAUUGUAAAAUUUGCUUGUCAUUGCCACCACUUGGGCAGCUACCCUCUCUUGAACAGUUACGGAUCUCAGGAAUGAAUGGAAUACAGAGGGUGGGCAGUGAGUUUUAUUAUUAUGGGAAUGCUUCUUCCUCCAUUGCAGUUAAGCCUUCCUUCCCAUCCUUACAAACUCUAACAUUUGAGUGCAUGCACAAUUGGGAGAAAUGGUUGUGUUGUGGAUGCAGACGUGGAGAAUUCCCUCGUCUCCAGGAGCUUUAUAUAAAGAAAUGUCCCAAACUCACAGGGAAAUUACCAAAACAGCUUCGAUCCUUGAAGAAACUUGAAAUUGUUGGAUGUCCGCAGCUGCUUGUGGCUUCACUCAAAGUUCCUGCAAUCAGUGAAUUGACGAUGGUCGAUUGUGGUAAAUUGCAGUUGAAAAGGCCAACUAGUGGCUUCACUGCUCUUCAAACCUCACACGUUAAAAUUUCAAACAUCUCUCAGUGGAAGCAACUACCAGUGGGAGUGCAUAGGCUCUCAAUUACAGAAUGUGAUUCUGUGGAGACUCUAAUAGAAGAGGAACUGGUCCAGAGCAAAACUUGUCUUCUCAGAUAUUUGGAAAUCACAUAUUGUUGUUUGUCUAGAUCCUUGCACAGAGUUGGUUUACCCACUAAUGCAUUGGAAUCACUAAAAAUCUCUCACUGUUCCAAGCUAGAGUUUCUCCUACCUGUGUUGUUGAGAUGCCACCACCCUUUCCUCGAAAAUAUAUACAUCAGAGAUAACACCUAUGAUUCUCUUUCAUUAUCCUUCUCCUUAAGCAUCUUUCCAAGAUUGCGUUGUUUUGAAAUCAGUAAGCUUCAGGGGCUUGAAUUCCUCUAUAUCUCCGUUUCAGAGGGAGAUCCCACAUCUCUUAAUUCUUUGAAUAUCUCACGGUGCCCUGAUGUUGUAUAUAUUGAAUUGCCGGCUCUCGACCUAGCAAGUUAUGAGAUCUCCGGAUGCUUGAAGCUCAAGUUAUUGAAACACACCCUCUCAACUUUGCGGUGUUUGAGGUUAUUUCAUUGUCCAGAAUUGUUGUUUCAGAGGGAUGGCUUGCCCUCUAACCUACGUGAACUUGAAAUUUCAUCCUGCGACCAACUCACAUCUCAGGUGGACUGGGGUUUGCAAAGAUUGGCCUCUCUUACAAGAUUCAAUAUCAGGGGUGGAUGCCAAGAUGUUCAUUCUCUUCCCUGGGAGUGUCUACUGCCCUCCACAAUUACCACUCUCAGAAUUGAACAACUUCCAAACCUCAAGUCUCUGGACAGUAAGGGGCUUCAACAACUUACCUCUCUCUCAAACUUAUACAUUGGCGACUGCCCUGAGUUCCAAUCCUUUGGAGAAGAGGGGCUUCAACAUCUCACCUCCCUCACAACAUUAUCCAUUAGAAAUUGUUCUGAGUUGCAAUCCUUUGGAGAAGAGGGGCUUCAACAUCUCACCUCCCUCGUAACAUUAUCCAUUAGCAGUUGUUCUGAGUUCCAAUCCUUUGGAGAAGAGGGGCUUCAACAUCUUACCUCCCUCAUAACAUUAUCCAUUAGCAAUUGUUCUGAGCUCCAAUCCUUUGGAGAAGAGGGGCUUCAACAUCUCACCUCACUCAAAACAUUAUCCAUUAGCUGCUGCCCUAAGCUCAAAUCUUUAACAGAAGCAGGUCUUCAACACCUUAGCUCAGUUGAAAAAUUGCAGAUCUCCGACUGCCUGAAGCUUCAAUACCUGACGAAAGAGAGACUGCCAAACUCCCUCUCUCUUCUGGCUGUUGACAAAUGCUCUUUGCUGGAAGGUCGCUGCCAAUUUGAGAAAGGCCAGGAUUGGCAUUAUGUAGCUCACAUUCCACACAUAAUCAUCAACCAUGUGUUAUACUGAUGAAGAUGGAAAUAUAUUAAUGUCAAUCAGGUACUUGUUCCAUACUCAAAAUAACUUCCUUCAAAAUAAAAAACGUUGUGGCAAUUAUUAAGUUUAUGCUUCAAAAUUUCUUAUCAUCUCUAUUGUGCUUCCUUGCUCUCUAUAAGGUUUGAUUGAUUUGGCUAUGGUCAUAAAGGCAUGGUGCCAAGCAGCUCUCAGGGUGUUCUAAGUGACUUGGUCUUCUUGAGCCUCAAUCAUGAUUUAUGGUUAGUGAAAUAUUUUAAUUGCUUUGAUCCUUUGUCAUGAGUUAUUAUGGAUUUGUACUUGUAGAGACUUCAUUUUCUACUUCCCGAUGGUCCAACAGUGGAGACCUCACAAGUUUUUCUUAAUCAUGACUGCAUCAUUUUGUGGGUUCUCAUUUGGCUAAUACUUUCCAAUAGUUAAAGCAUUUGUGCAGUGAUGUAUAUCAUGUUCUAUGUCAAUUGACAAUAAAAUUGUUAUAAGGGAUCUUCCAGAUGGAAGGUGGAGUGAGGAAGAUGUCGUUGUUUUAGUGUCUCGGUUCAUUGUUCUUAUUGAACGCAGAGUACCUUAAAGGUACUGCCUGCUCAAAUUUUACUGAGAUUGCUCUGUUUUGGUUGGGCAGUCUGCAAUUACUAGAGACAGUAUUCACUAUGGUUCUACUUGCAAGCAGGGAGAGAUCACCUGAAUGAUAGUUGAUACCGCACCACCAAUUAGCCACUAUCAAAAGGCAAGGAUAUGGGAAUGCGUCUUCUUUGUUAUGUGCUUAGCAAGACUUAUUUCUUUUCUUUGUUUUUUUUUUUCCCCUAAUUUUGAUCUCAUACAGUUCUUGUUUGGUGUUUCUUAGGUCUUGGCUAUGAUCAGAAAUUUCCAUCUACACUAUGUAGCACACCCCACUUUUCAGGACGAGGAGGUCCAUUUAGGCUGUCAUUGUUCAUCUCAGGAGAGUCAGAUGUUUGUUUGAAAAGAAAAAUACCAAAGUUCAGGUGAAGGCCUAUACAUUUGAGAUUCCCAUGAAGAAUGCUGUAAUUCAAUUUGUUCAAUUUUGAGGGCUUUUGUAAUUCUGUUUGCCAUUGUGGUGUUGGUACCAUUUGAAGAGGGUGGUAGACCAUAACUCCCUCAUUCAAGUUUCCAAACUUUGUAUAGGAAAGAUGAUGUUGUGUUGACCUUACUCUCUUCUUCACUUCUUCAUGCAAUGAAAAUUUACUUCUCUUCUAUAUAUGCUCACAGUCUGCUCAAGUUUUUACUUGCAUUAACGAUACUAGCGCUACUCGGUCACCUUAAUAUUGAUCCCCACAUCAACCAUUAGGCCAUUUUCAAUAGGCAAGGAGAUAGGAAUAUAGCACCUUCUGUUGUUUAGGUCAAAAUAUAAUGUCUGCAGUAUGCUUGAUCAUGUUUAUAAAUUGACAUGAUAACCCAAAAGAGUAUUCGAUAUAUUUUUUAUGAUGUAGCCUAGUAUAUGUGUACCUAUCUAAGUAGUUCGAUGUAUAUAUUAAAUAUUCAAAGGAUUUAGAACGUAUGAAGCAAAUAAUUGAAAAAAUUAAGUUACAAGGAUAAUUAUUGGAAAGUGUCUCAAAUUCUUUUUCGAGUCAAUUUAUAAGUCAUUGAUGUUUUUGCAUUAGGACAUAUUCAUGGAAUAGACUUUCUUAUUAUUAUAAAGGUUGAAAUAUCCUAUUGUUAAAUUUUCUUUUAAGCUAUAUUUAUUUCUCGGAAAAUUUGAAGGAAAAUGCAUAGGAAAGAAAAUAGAGAUAAAAAGUAGAAAGAAAGAAAAAGUGAAGAAAAUUAAAAAUAUGAUUUAAAGUCAAUAAAUUAGUUUUUCAAAUUCAUUUAACUUAUUUUUCUCUAUUGUAUGAAGAUUAAAUAAUUAAAAAUGUAUAAAUUUCAAAUUAAAUUUAAUUAUGUUUUGCUUUCUUUCAUAUUUUCUAUGGUGAAAUUAAAAUGAGAAAAUCAUUUUUCUCAACAUGACCUAAUAGUUCCUCAUGGUCCAACUUACAUAAGAGAUAAAUUUUAAUAAAAAACUUUAUCACUUUCAACAAAGUAUUUGAAUACCAAAAUUUCUUAUAGAAAUGGUUAAAAUUAUGCAUUAAUCAACCAACAAUAGUCAUCUAAGAGAGGUGAAUAUAGUGUUAAUCUCUUUUUACACACUAUACAAAAAUGAAUACAAGAGAUAAUUUAAGCAAUAAUAUAAUAAAUAACAAUAAAAGAAACAAUUUAUUAAAAUAAAUAGAUAAGGGAAAAAAAGAAUUUAAACUUAAGAUUUUUAUAGUGGUUUGUUGUAAUCCUACUCAUAUCCACUCUCCUCAAUUUUUAAUCACGAUAAAUGUUCCAUUAAUCUAAGACUUUUUAAAGCUCAAGUCUUUAAACUCUUUAUACUUGGAUUAUGGUUCUAAGAUACCGUGUAAUAACAAAACUUUUAAAGACAAAUUCUCCAAACUUUUUCCUUUGAAUUAUGAUUCCAAAGUACCCUUUCAAGCGAUACCUUGCCCUUGAGUUGUCUAAGUGAUCCCACACUAGUUAAUCCUCAUAAGAUCUACAAUUGAAAGAAGAUUAAUCUUUGUGUACAAUUUUGAUUCAAAUAAAUACAAAGGAAACUAGGAUUGAAGUGCAUCAUAGUGGAUAAGUAAGAUUAUGAAUCAAGGUGCACUCCAAAACACUCAGCGACUGAUGGAUGAUAAUCAAUAUUAGGUUCAUGGAGAGUCAAUAUUAUGCUUUUACGAAGAUAUUACUAUCUAUAUUUUUAUAGUAUGUAUUAACAUAGCUGUAGACCCCCCAUUUGGGGCCAUUCGGGCAGCUGCUCAUUUUGCCACGUGGAAGAGCCUUGCUCCACCACGUGUCUUCUCUUGAGAGGCUGGUGCAGAAUCAGAUGAUGCUUUUAGGAUGCCAAUGGAAGGUUGAAGCAUAUUUUUUUUGUAUAAAAAGACUUAUAGUUUAUGGUUUUAUUAUAAUACUAGCAUUCAUAUUUUACUAAAAAUAAUUUAUUUUUUAAUUUAUUUGUGAUUCUAAAUACUAUUUAUAAAAAAUUCAAGUGUCAACAAAUUUUUACUAUUUCAAGUUUUUCAAUGUUUAAAAGUGAUAUUUAGAUACAUAAUAUAAAUCUAUAUUUUCCGUACAAGAGGUUGUAGCUUUUAUAUAGAAUUUAUUACUUGUUUCUAUUUUUAAAAGCAAAAAUUUUUCUUAAAGAAUAUUUUUAACCUAAGCACUAUUAAUAAAAAUGGUACGAACCGAAAUACUUUAAUUUGAAUUACUCUCAACUUCUUAAUUUAUGUAAAUUAUAAGGGAAAAAACCAAAGUACUAAAUAGAUACAUACCAUACUUCAAAUCUAAGAAGAUAACAAUAUAAUGUGUUGAAAAAGUACAUGUGCGUGUUGGAGUGCUUAUGCAUAAAAUUGUAAUUCUCAUGUUAAAAAAAAGAUUCAAACUUUAUGCACUUUAUAUUGUGUCCAUGGGGCCCAAGCCCCUAUAUCCAAAUGAAAAUUCGAGUUUUUUUAACUUCUAAAGCUACUUUGAGAAAAAAAAUUUAAAAGAUGGUAGUUACAAAACUAAUGACAAAUCGAUGACACUUUUUGUCGUAUCGAAUGUGUCUCUCCAAAAGACAUUUUCCAUAAUUUUCAUAUGAAUGACACUUGAUAAAAAAAAAAUUAAAUUUACAUUGAAGAUGUCUCUUCAAGAGAUAUUUUCCAUAAUUUUAUAAAAUUAAAUUUAUAUUUAAGAGACACUUUUUUACAAUUUUUUUAAAUUAGACAUAUACAUUAAAAAAAUUGAAUAUUUAUUAAAAGUGUAUUUUGAAGAGACAUCUUUCACAAUUUCAUAAAAUUGAAUUCAUAUUAAAAGUGUCUCUUUAAGAAACACUUUUUCACUUCUUUUUUUUUUUUUUUAUCAAUCAUACAUAUUAAAAAAAAUUUGAAUUUUUACUCUCAUAAUUCCACAAAAUCGAAUUUAUACUAAAAGUAUCUCUUCCAAAAUUUUCAUAUUAGUCACACAGUGAAGAAAAUGAAUUUAUACUAAAUGACUUUUUAGGUGACACAUUCCACAAUUCGACAAAACUAAAUUUAUAAUUAAGAUGUCUUUUGAAAAGACAUCUUCCAUGAUUUUCAUACCAGUCACACAAUAAAGAAAAUUAGAUUUAUACUAAAGGUGUUUGUUCAAGAGAUUAAAAACUAAGUUCGAAAAUUUUGGAUCUGCAAAGAAAAUUUUAGGAAUGGGGAUCUAAAGGGACCAAAGAAAUGGAACUUGGUUUCUAUGCCAACAAAGUUAUAAUCAAAAGGUUUUGGAGCGGUUAAUUGAUGUCAAAUAAGUUAUAAUCAAAAGGUUUUGGAGAGGUUAAUUAAGGUGAUCAAAUUGUGAAGGCUAGCUCUCUGUCCCUGGAAGACAGCAGCAAAGACAUAUACUUAGGCUAAUCUACUUCAUGGAACAUUUUAAUUACUCCACUUCUCUUUCAUGACCUUUCAUUCACUUGGACUAGUUCAUCUCUUGCAGCCAAUGCCUAUCUCCUUAUAUUUGUCAAAAUCAGCUUCUCUUGUCUAGCCGACAUUGUUGAAGAUAAGCAACUUGGACUAAUUCAUCUCUUGUAGCCAAUGCCUUUCUCCACUUGCAUGCACAUUAAAUUAGACAUGACUUAAUUACCAGGUCUGUUGAAGAUAAGCAACUUGCCUUCCCUUAACAAUUAUUAUAGGCCGACCUACCUUCAUCCACCACCCCCACUUUCCAUUUAUAUGCCUUUGCUUUCAUAUUCUUACCCCAUGAGAUUAAGAUUAAGAGCAUGUGGCCUGGUAAACAAUGGUGACGUACAGGGUCUACCACGAAAAUUUGGAAUUCAAAGUUCCUUUUUGGCCGAAUCCAGAAGGAAAGGGAAGGAGAAUUAUGCUAUAGGUGUCUAUUUGUUGAUAAUGGGUUAAAAGUCCUUAAUAACUUGUAUAAUUCAUAAGGAGGAUGUAAAAUAUGGAGAGAUCAAAAUACCCAUUAAAGUAGUCAUCUUGGUUAACAUAUAAAAUGGAAAGUGAUUGUAGGAAAAAUUUGUGGUCUGCUGUACCAAAAUUAGAUUUUUGGCCAUUGGAUUUACAUAUUUAAUCAUGACCAUUGAUUUGAAUUGGAAAACACUUGCUAAUGGUUUCUUAUUAUAGGAUCGAAUUUUAGAGGAUACAAAUUUAGUAAUAAUUAAGUAAUGGGAUUUUAUAUUAUCAAAAUAUAUAAUUUAUAAUAAAUAAAAAUAAUGUAUUAUCUAAUUUUAUCUUCUUUUUUAUUUUUAUAUCAAUAUUAUUUAAAAAUAUAUAAUAAUAAGGGAGAAUUGUGUUUUGAGGUGAAUUGAGGCUGAUAAUUGACCCAAGAUCCUUAUAUCACCCAUGUUUGAACUCAAAACCUAUUGGUGGAAUAGAAAUUAAGAAGGAUGUUACUUUUCAAAAAUACCCUUGAUUGUCAAAUUAAAAAAUUAACUUGCGACUCUCACCUCUCUCUCUUUCUCUCUCUUUAUUUAGCUCCCCUAUUUUUUUAAAAAUUUUAGAACUUUUUUAUUUCAUAGUUAACCAAUUUAUAAAAUAAAGAUUCUUGUUGUUAAAUAAUUUUAUUGCAAAAUUUAUCUUUUAAAAUUAAAUUUAAAUAAUUUUAUAGUGAAAUUUAUCUUUUUAAAUUAAAUUUUUUAUCCUUAUUUAUUUCAUGUAGUAAACAAAUAUUUUAAAUAAAAAAAUCUACUUCAAUUUAUUUAUGAGAAUUACAUUAAAUGAAAAUGCAUUUUUAAUUGAUGGAUAUUGAAAUUGACUUUUCUUAUAUUUUAUUUAUUUAAUAUAAUAAAUUUAGAAUUCAAAAUAAAACCAACUUCCUUCAUUCAUAAGAAAUAAUUUUUUAUUAAAUGGUUGAUAAAAAAUUAAAAACUAUUAUUAUAUAUUUUUAUAACCAUUCGUUUCUAUCAUCCUAUGCCUUGGAAAAUUAGUUAUUUGUAAAAAAAGAUAAAAUAAUAACUUCUUUUAUUAGAAAGAAAUUUUAUAAUUCAUUUUUAUAAUGGUAAAAAAGAUUUUCUUAAUUAUUUCUGAAUCCAACCAACGACUCUUUUGAGAUUGUCUAGAUUUUAAGAAUUUUGAUAAAUUCAACUAUUAGAAAAAAAAUUUCAAAAUUUUUAUACAAGUAUAUUUUUAAAAUUUAGGUAAAUAAAUUAUAAAUUAAAAAUAAAUAAAUUUAAUAAUUUAAAUUCUUUAAUGAUUUAAAAAAAAUUAAUAAUAGUUUUGAAUUCAAAAAAUUGAUAUAAUUAAUUGCUUAUUAAAUAAAAACAUUUUAGAAUAUUAUAUUAGUAAUUCGGUAGUAAUUGUAUAUAACAAAUGAAAAACUUUACUUAUUUACAUGCUAGAAAAGUUAAACUUUAUUCAUUAUUCAUUCUAAAUAAAAUAUUAUUAAAAAUUAUUAUUAUUUAUUUUUAAGCAAGAAAAUUAAGAAGAUGUUAAUAUUCUUAUAUUUCUAACAUAGACUAAAAUAAUAAUUUUUUUAUAAAAAAUAUAAUUUAUGAUUUUAUUAUAAUUUAUUUGUAAUUACAAAACUAUUUUCAUUUUAAGAUUUGAAUUAAAUUAAAUUUAAUCUAUAUUGUAUAAAUUGAAUUUGCAAUGUUUUUACGAACCCAAAACAAAAAAAAUUAUUUUUAAAAAUAACUUAUUCAAACAAGUUUUUCAUUUUUCAUUUUUAAAAACUUGUCAAGUGUCGUUAUUUUAUAAAACACUAGGGGUAUGUUUGACAACUAUUUUUAAGAAUAGUAUUCUGUUUUCCAAAAAAAAAUAAAAAUUAGGUAAAUAUAUUUUGACAACCAAAAAACUAUUUUUUGUUUUCAGAGAAUGUCUUUUAUUUGUUUUCACUUGUUUUAUAAAAUAUUUCAAAUGAUUAAAAUAAAGCACUAAAUAUAAUAAUUAUUUUUAAAACAUUUCAAGUUCCUAAAAAGACUUUUGUUCUACAAAACACCACAAAAUAGUUUGCAAAAACUGUUCUUAAAAAUUAUUUUUCAAAAUUAUUUUUAAAAAUUAUUAAAUAAGAUCUUAAAAACUGCUUUUUUUUUUCUUUAUCUUCAAAAUAAUUUUUAGAAACCAAUUUAAGAAAACAUUGUAAAAUAGAUAUAUGUUUCCCAAACAAAAAAGUUAAUGAAAUAAUUGAUAAAUGGGAAAUUUGAAAAUCUUUCAAGCAAUUUUUUUUCCCAUAGGAUCAAAGUAGAAACUCUCCCCUUAUCAAAACUUGGAUCAAACAAGUGGACGGAAAAUGAACCUUGAACUUUAUAAAAAAAUAAUUAUUUAAACUUGAGAAAUAAAUUAAAAGACCUUUAUAAAAUAAUUACACCAUAUACAAUAUACAUUUUUCUAGUUAUCUACCAAAUAAAUUAAACAUUCUUAAUUUAUUUUUAUUUUUUGGAAUAUUUAUGAAUUUUCCUUUUGUUUUUUUUUCUUUGAUAAAAUUUAAACUAUGUUUCUAGGAGAGAAAAAAAAAUGUUAAAGUUACCUAAAAUAUAAGUUGAGAGACUUGCAAAACACUUUCAUCGGAUUAAAAUAUCAUCUUAUUUGACCUCCAAAACGUACCUGUCCCAAGCCUUAAUCCAAUUCUUCAUUUUUUUUCUUUAUUUUUAAAAAAGGGGACAAACCAAUGAGGGUGAAUGAUAGGUUGCUCACCCAGUGCCCGACGACUCCUGCAUCAGCAAACAUCGUACUAGUCACCAUUGCCAGCCUGGCUCGUGCUACCCUAGACUUUCUUCGCUUUUCAAUGUUUUAGAAAUAAUUUUAAGUUAGAAGAUAAAUGGGAAGGAAAGGUACGAGGAAGAAAGGGGAAGAAAAGGAAGGGCUAAGUCGAUAAGGGUUUGGAGAAGUGGAUGGAUGGGUAAAAAAGGAGGGUAUUAUGGGUAAUAGACUUGUAAAUUUUAUUAAUUGCAACAUUUCCCUCGACUUAGCCAGUAGAGAACUUUUUAGGGCUUAGAGGGGUGCUACCUCUUAGAGGUACCUUCCCAAUAGGUAACUUGAUCCCUGGACCAAGACUUCUGUUUUCGAAGGCACGCUUUUCCAAAACUAUGAGGUCACUUCUUUAGGGUUUUCUUUCUUAUUUUAUUUUCCCUUUUAAAAUAAAAUAAAAUAAAUGGCGACUCCAAUUUUUCCAAAACUAAUUUUUCACCAAUAAAAAUGAGUCUCGUCAUUGAGUGGGGACGCACGUGAAAAAUGCGGAUCCACAACAGUAUGUUCACACAACCAGCGAGUAAAGAGAGACGAUGCAAGGGGUAGUCGUCCAAGCCCUUGCAUCUCCGGUAACUCCUAAAGCUGUCAUUAACUACAUACACGAAGGUCCAAUAGAUGACAAGCAAGCGACAAAGACGAAGGUUGUUCCGCAAGGCUUCUAUAAGAGAACGGAUUAACUCCGUCCAGUGCACCUUUGUAGAAGGAAGUGCACGUCCAGUUAACGACACAAUCAUCUUCCCUUCAGUAGAUGUUAAUCCGAUGUUGCAACCAUAUGAAGAUGCCUUGAUCCUAACACUGGGGGUAGGCGGAUUUGAUGUGAGGAGAAUCCUAGUUGACUUAGGUAGUUCAAUCGACCUCUUACAAAUGUCGACCUAUAAGCAAAUGAGCUACUCAUCAUCCGCCCUAGAGAACACAGGACGUUUGUUGUCUGAAUUCAAUGGAGCUACAACAACUUCACUUGGCGAUGUUUUGUUGCCCAUCCAAGUUGGGUCGAUCACAUUGAAAGUGCGAUUCUCAGUGGUCAAUGAUUUGUCUUCAUACAAUGCCAUUAUGGAACGUGCAUGACUUCACAAAAUGAAAGUCAUUCCUUCCACAUACCAUCAAAUGAUGAGCUACCUCACAAAAGAAGGACAAGUCGAUCUCCUUGGCAAUCGGCUAGUUGUGCGCCAAUGCUAUCAAGUGACAUUAGAAUCCGGACAUCCAACCAGCAAAGAGACGCAUUUGGAGUCAUCGAAUGUAAGAGAGUAAUAGCAAUUACUGAGCCUGGCAAAGAAAGAUUCAUAUACGACUGAUCCGCUCCAACCAUUGUGCUUCUCACAUGACGCAGAUCCAAUCAUCUACACUAAUUCCCUGCUUACGCAAGAUGAGCUGGAGCUGCUAAGGAAUAUGCUUCAGCGCAAUAAGGACAUCUUCUCCGAAACUCACUCGGAUAUGCUAGGAAUUCAUUAGUCAUGGCUUUCCAUAAGCUCAACGUCUCACCCACCUCACAGCCUAUCCGGAAAAAGGUUUGGCAUUUUCAUUUGGAUAAACAAAAAAAAUCAUUCAAAUGGAAAUUAACAAACUAUUGGAAGUUGGAUUCACAUGUUCUGGAUUGGUUGGUGAACGUGGUGGUAGUCUCGAAGAAAGAUGGGAGGUGACGAGUUUGUGUUAACUACACCAACCUGAAUGACGUCUGCCCAAAGGAUAGUUUUUCCUUGCCCCAAAUAGAUUGAUAGUCGAUGCCACUAUCAAGCAUGGGAUGCUCUCAUUUCUAGACUAUUUUUUCAGAUACCACCAGAUCUCUAUGUACUAGCCAAAUGAGGAGAAGACAACCUUUAUCACACCAUAAGGGUCGUACUAUUACAAAGUCAUGUCGUUAAACUUAAGAAAGUUGGUGCUACUUACCAGAGGCUAAUGACAAAGAUCUUCAAGCCCUUGAUCGGUUGAACUAUGGAAGUUUACAUUGACGACAUUAUUGUAAAGAGUGAAACCCAAGCUAAGCACGUCCAUCACUUGGAAGAAGCAUUUUAUCUAAUGCGGACAUAUAACAUGAAGCUCAAUCUAGCCAAGUGUGCCUUUGGCGUCAGUUCAGGGAAGUUUCUAGGGUUUAUGGUAACCCAAAGAGGAAUUGAAGUUAAUCCGGCUCAAGUGAAAUCCAUCCUCGAAAUGCCUGCUCCAAACAAUGAAAAGGAAUUGCAACGCCUCACAGGAAUUGAAGUUAAUUCGCUUCAUAGCUCAUUUCAUAGACAAACUAAGACCUUUCUUCCUCACACUUAAGAAGUCAAGCACAUUCGGUUGGACAAACGAGUGUAAGCAAUCAUUUGAAGCAGUCAAGUACUACCUCACUAAACCGCCUAUUCUGAGCAACUCCAAGUCUAGUGAAAAACUUUAUAUGUAUCUAGCUAUAUCUAAUUAUGCUAUCAAUGUCGUCCUACUUCGGCAUAUAGAAGACAAAGAAUAGAGAUCUGUCUAUUGUGUGAGCAAAGCAAUGGUAGAUGUUGAGACUUGGUAUUCCCAAGUAGAGUAGACUACUUUGACACAAAAAAAAUGCCGCUUGAAAGCUCCGCCCAUACUUCUAGGCUCAUCAAGUGACCAUACUUACAAACCAACCGCUCAGAAUUACCUUGCACAAGUUGGACCUAUCCAAACUAAUGUUGAAAUAGUCAAUCGAAUUCAGCGAGUAUGGAAUCAAGUAUCAGCCACGAAUUAUUCUUAAAAGGGCAGGUUUUGGUUGACUUUAUAGCUGAACUCUUCCCAAAACAAACACAUAUGACCGACCACCUUGAAGAGCAAUGGUGGACACUUCAUGUAGACGGAGCAUCCAGAGCGUUUAGAUCCGGAGUAGGUUUGGUCUUGUAGUCACUAAUUGGGAAACUAAUAGAGCAAGUUAUCCGUCUCAACUUAUCGACCUCUAACAACGAGACCGAAUAUGAAGUUGUGCUAGUUAUGCUAGACCUCGCUCUAAUAUUAUCCUCAACCAAGUUGGAAAUCAGGAGCGACUCUCAACUAAUUAUCGGAUAGGUUCAACGAGAGUACGAAGCAAAGGAUGAACGUAUGGCUUGAUACCUCGCCAUGAUGGAAGAAUGCCUGAAAAAGCUAGAUGAGUACAAUGAGAAGAGAAUGGAAAGGUAGACACACUAGUCGAAAUAACUGCCACUCUCCCUAUAAAUGAGAUAGUAAUGCUACCUAUCUACCUCAAAGUCGAGCUUUCAAUCACACCUGAGCCAGUGUGCAAUACUAGUUAAACAGACUCAAGUUGGAUUCUCGACAUCAUGAAAUACCUCCAAACAGGAAGUACCAGAAAAUGGGAAGCAAGCACAAAAACUUCAUAUACAAGCAGCACGCUUCACUUUAAUUAAUGAUCAACUCUAUAGACGAUCAUUUGGAGGUUCAUACCUAAAGUGUUUGAGUGAGCUAGAAGCCAAAUAUGUCCUGGCCAAACUCCAUAAGGGCAUAUGCGACAAUCACCCAAGCGGACGAACUUUGGCACACCGCACCUACACGCAAAGAUACUAUUGACCCACCAUGAAGCGAGACACUAAAAGUUAUGUUAAAAGAUGUGAUCGGUGUAAAAAACAUGCUCCUAUUCAUCGUCUACCUUUAGAAGCUCUUAACCCAGUAACAAGUUUUUAGCCAUUUGCAUAGUGGGGAAUGGACAUAGUCGGCCUGUUGCCCAUUAGAGUAACACAAAAGAAGUUUUUGCUCAUUGCAACCGACCACUUCAACAAGUGGGUAAAGGCAGAAGUCUAUGCCAACAUCAAAGACAAAGAUGUCUCCAAGUUCAUUUAGAAAAACAUCGUAUGUCGAUUCAGAAUUCUACGAGCAAUUGUUACAGAUAAUAGGCCACGGUUUGAUAGUGUCAUCUUUUGAAAAUUUUCUCGAAGUUAAAUAUCAAGAAUUUAUACUCAACACCCUACUAUCCACAAAUCAAAGGGCAAGCGAAUGCGACAAGUAAGAUCAUAUUGAAUGCACUGAAAAAAAGAUUGGAAUGAGCAAAAGAAAAAUGGGUGGAUGGGUUGCUCAGAACCUUAUGAGCCUACCAAACAACAUUUAGACGUCCAAUGAGAGCCACUCCUUUUGUCCUUGCUUAUGCGAUGGAAGCCAUCAUUCCAAUCGCAAUUGGCAUGUCUAUUGCCAAAACAACCAUGCAAAUUAAAGGGACAAUGAUGAAGAACUCAUAACACAACUGGAUUGGGUAGAUGAAAAGAGGAGAUGCAACUAUCUGGAUAACUUCUUACCAUCAAAGGAUAAUCACUCAAUACAACAAAAGGGCACGACCACAAUUUUUCUGGCCAAGAUCUUUAGUCCUUAGAAGAAUAUUUGAGAACACAACUAAAGUAGGAGCCAAAAAGUUACUAGCUAAUUGGGAAUAGUUUUAUGUUGUAAUUAAGGCAAGAGACUCAGGGGUGUACCAUCUCCAGACACUAGAUGGUGUACCCAUGCUCCGCCCAUAAAAUGUCACCAACUUGAAGCAACAUUAUCAACAAAAGUUUCUUAUCAAAAUAAUAUAGCAAGAACAAACGGGUAAAACAAACACUUAAAAAAAAUGUAAUGGCAUUGAGGAAAAAAACUUAAAAGAGCAGUCAUUGUAUUUACACGUCUAAAAGUCAAAGCCACAGCCAACUAAAGAAAAGAAAUUAAAAAAAGAUCAAGUCCUCUUGCUAGGGGAAUCGUCCCUAAUAGAAGGUCCAACUCCUUGGGUAGAGCAACCUAAAAACUCGUCCUCAUCAUCAAAAGGAAAGUUGGGAGUAUCAUGGGCAAUGCCAUGCUUCUUCAUACAACAUCGAUAACCAUAGAAGAACAUGUCAUCCACCUAAUUUUGGUAGUCUGCCUCUAAGUCUUCAUUUUGAGAGGCAAACCUUGCCAGAAGAUUUUACAACUCCCGCCUUAACCGGACAGUUUUUUCUUCAGUUUUCUCCUUUUCGGUUGUCAUAAUCGUCUUCUCCUCAACUAGUUGGAAAACCUCAGCUUAAGGCACCUUCUUCUCCUCCUCGCCCUUCUUCAGUAGACAAGAACCUUCCUCAACCAGUUUCUAGGCAGCAGCAGCCUUGCUUUUCGUUGUCUCCAAGCUGGCAAGAAGAUCCUCACUUCCAUCCAUGUUAUGGGCAAUGUAUCUUCUCAUGGUUUUGACUACUUUUAGUCACUGGAGAAUGUGCGCUUGUUGUCACAAGAGGUUAUGAACUCCGGGUACCACCUGGGGAUAAUAGAGAUUAUUAUGAGACGAGAGACUAAAGGAAAAACGAGAAAAGUCACAAGCAAAACCACUUUUGCUAUCUCAAAAGUUGUGUAGUCCUUCAUAUGAAGGAUGCAAUCAAUGGAUGCAUAUGGAGUACCGGACGAAAGCCAUGCCAUGAAAGAUUAGAUAGAAUUCUCAUCCACCUUGACCAGGAUUCGUUGCAUAGCUGGGAAGAGAACCCCCAUGUUCGAUACUAGAAGCUCACUUUCGGUGAAAGAAGAGAUACAACUUAGAAGCUUGGAUAUCUCCUCCCGAUUGGGGACAUAGGUUGUCUUUGGACAGAGAGGAGAAGUAUUCAGACACUCGAAUGAGUCCUCACUGAUUUCUCCUAGGAUGAUAAAAGGUUUCCUUAUUUUGUGAUAAGAAAUGUCAUCAACAAAGGAAGGUUUCUCAUCCAUUUCCGAAAUGACAGCUACAAUAGUAGUCCAUGGUGCUGACUUGGAUGGAGGAUUGGGGGCAGGUUUCGGGUAGGCUUUCUUUGAAGGAGAGAGAUUGAUAGCAAUGGAUUUGGAUAGGUGCUUAUGUUGCCUCUCGUGGAAUUCAACCCUCAAGUUGGAGGCCAUCUCCUCCUCCUGUUUCUCCUCUUCACAAAUAAUAAGGGGCACUAGUCGCUAACCCCUGUUUUUGCUUCGUCAUUGGAAGACGAAGAUGACAGAGAUGGUGAAGAGGAUGAAGCUGACGAUGACGACGGCAAGACAGAAGAUGGAGUUCUCGCCUUUUAGACGGGAUGAGCAGUAGGCCUCUUCUUCUUUUGAGUAGGAGGAUGGAUAGCGGUACUGGAAGAUGGACGACCAAUAGCUGGAGUUUGCCUCAAUGUCCCAUUUUGGCAUUUUUUUUUUCUCCCAUUCCUCUAGACGAGCCUAGUAUGCCUCAAAAUUCGCAUAGAAAUACAAAUCCUUCAACACGAAGCGUUCGUCGGGUACCAAAUACGCAGGAGCUAGUUGAGUAAACACAAGGAUGAUAAACGACUUAGGAUUUUUGAUCAACGCUAGUAGGUUCUUGUCCGAUAAGAAAGCGCUGUGAGCCCGUUCAACAACGUCUAUUUUGAACAACUUGUUAAGUCGGGCGAAUGAAGCCUUUUCCACCCACUUUACAAGGCGUUCCCAUAUUUUCUUACUUGUAUUAAACGAACAUAAAGAUUGUGAAUAGAUUCACAACAAUGAGGAAAUAACAAUAAGAUAUAAAGAAAGUGAUAGAAGCAUGGCCUACUUGGAAUCUCCAAUGAACACUAUGGAGAAAAAACUCCAUUUGGACCCUUAGAUGAACCACUCCAAGGUCCGGAUGCCAAAACAUGCCCCUUGGCCCAGCCUUUGCAUGAAUCUAGAAGACCAAUCACCAAUUGGAGGGAAGGAGGGCAGAUAAGUUAAACCUUUCCUUUUGGCUCAUUUUGACAGUAUAGAUGAAUAAGACUUCCAAUAGGGAAAUAUCCAACUGGAAAAACAUGUCCAAUACACUACACCCUAUCAAUAUCUGAAUAAUAUUUAAAUGAAGAAAAGUUUGAGCGAUUUGUGUGAAAUGGAUAAAUUUUUUGAAGAUGGAAGGAAUGGAAAGACAUAACCUAGCAGCGAAUUGAUCCGUGGUAAAAUACAUCAUGUUAUUCGGAAGGUUAAUAAAUGAUAAAGCCUCGUUGUCUGUUAGCUGAAUUUAGAAUAGUAUCAGGAAUAUGAAAACGAGCUCGGAAUUCUCGCUCAGACAGGACACCAAUUAGACGUUCCAGUCAGAGACGCCCGACUCUAGUAUUUUUUUCGUCCACCCUACUGAGGCUUUCCGUUGGUAGAAGUAAUUCCUCUUCUCUCUAUUAAACUAAGUGGACCUGGGCCAUGUGGAAACCUGCACGAAUUAACGCAGUUAUCAAAACCAACCACCUGACCCAUCUGUCUUUCGGUGUUGCCUCAGUAAUAUAUAAAUAAACCUAGAUGGACUAAUAGUCUGAGUCUAGAUGGACUUGGCUGUGGAAACUUGUAGAGCAAGUUUCUUCGCUAAUGGCAAAGGAAAAUUCGCGCACAUCGCACCAUCCCGAUGAUAACGAAAAUAGUAAGUUGAUGACAUGGGCAUAGUGACAACACCAAAGCAAGAGAGGAGACUAAAAAGCGCUAAAUCUGGACAUCAACAUGUCCAUAUCUUCCCCAAACAAACCAUAAAAGCGAGUAGAGAAACUGAGAAACCCUAAAUCUGGACAACGAUAUGUUCAUUUUCUUUCUAGACUAGCAAAAUCAAAACAAUUCAAGGAACAAUCACAAGCGCAACAAAGGAAUGAACAUGUAGUAGAAAAGUUACCAAAAUCAAGACUGAAAACUCUUUUUAGUGGAGAAGAGAUCCUCCAACAACAAACCAGCCGACAGUGACAAUGAAAGCAAAGGAGAGCAAUAUAAACACAAUGGUGGCGAAAGAGCAAGGUAGGCAAAAGGACUUUAAGGAGGAAAAUGCCAAAAGGUGAGCCAAAUGUGUGGAACCUUAAUAUUUAUAGGGAUAAAAAACCUAGGCAACCUAAAAAACAUGCGGCCUGGCAACACUUGCUAAAGCCCACGAGGGACACGUCGCUUGACAGCCUCCCUCGGUCGAUGUUGACCCCUCAUUGAAGGCCCAAAUAACAUGCAAUCCUUGGCGCUUAAAAACUUGAAAAAACAAAUAACCCAUUCUAUCUCAACUCGUCAGCUACUUUGUUAAACAUGGGGAAACGGAUUAAGGGGCAUUGUGGGAGGCUUCCUUCCGCAUGCGCUCCCCAAACUCAAGACCGUUUGGUCGUCCAAGGUAAACAUAUAAUCCGUCCAAGAUUGAUCCAUUUGGACCAAGAUAAGUUUCGUAUGGCACAAAGGGCAAGAUAUUUCCUUCUUCUUCAAUGCCAGAUAUAAUGGACAAACCCAUCGAGCUUAAGUCUCUAGACAUUGAAUGAAUGGUUAAUCACACUUGAUGCCUGAGCGAUGGACUAGACGACAUUUACAUUCAAAAACCAGUGUCAAUUAGUCAUUACACGCAAUUAGCGACAUUGACAAGCGCAAAUGCACAAUCAACUAUAUGGUCCGAGAUUUUUGCACGAUAACCAACAAAUGACACCAGUUGAUAGCUCUUGCUUGGUAUGAUUGCCCAAUCCACGCUAAGGUAAAGGUGUUGACUGCCUUAUUAGUAAUCCGCCCUGAUGGCAAUCAUCAUCGUAAGAAAGACAUGAAUGCACAAUCAGCAUUGUGAUGAUGGUGUCAUCUACUCUAUAAAAACCCCUCUAAAAGCAUGAAAAAAAGUAUGCGCGUACAUAGUCAUUCAAAAUAGUUGGAUUCAUCCUUGUUAAUUCCUAACUUAAGCUUCAGAGGGGCAUGCUUGGACCACCUGUCCGAACAUCCUUUCAUUGUAGGGAAGAGGUUUGUCUGAAUCCAAUGAAGUUAGACAGAUCUGUAUCUAAUUAACACAACACCAACAAAUAUUAUUCAUUUAUUUUUAAAAAAAAAAAAAAAAACAGGUGGAUGGUUAGAGAAUUUAGGUGGUAGCAAUUAAAACUUCUUGUUUCUUGUUUCUCUCUUUAUCUUUUGUUUGUUGUGGUAAUGUUAAUAAUAUAUGUCAGCAACUAGGGCCCACCAUCAGAGAUUUUUUUUUAAAAUAUUUUAAUUAAAUUUUAGACUAAGAAAUUAUAUACACAACCCUUGGAAAAAUAAUUGCUCAUAUGAUAAAGUUUUUAUUUUAAUUUAUUUAAUUAUAAAAAAUUUAAAUUUUUAUAAAAAUAUUUUUCCCACUAAACAAAGUUGAUGAAUUCUGUAUUAAAAUGAGUCUGAUCAGAUUACAAGUCAAUUUUCAUUGAGUAUUCAAGGUGCCAAUUUCAAACUAUUUCUUCAACUCGUUUUUCCUUCAUCUUUUAUUUUGUGGGUGGGCGGUUUGGAAACGAAGUCAGCACCUGGGGUCUACCAUCUUCUCCAAUCCAAUAACUCAUUCAAGCAUUGGAAUCCAAAGUUGCUUAAUUUUGACCAAACCAGAUUUGAACCAGCUUCACUACCAACAAGUUAUUGGAUUUUCUCAAUACAAAUCAAUCUUUUCCAGAUGGGUGGUUUGAUUGUGGAUCAACUUUCUACCAACUCUCUUGACCCCUUUAAUCUUAACCAAUGCUUUUUUGAUGGAGAGAAAAACCGGCAUCUCUAUUCUAGGUAGAGGAAGGACUAGUUUUAAAUAUACCUAUUAUCUUACUUUCCAUCAAAGUGGACAAUUAGUUAUCAAAAUUUUCUCAUAAAAAUUUAUUAAAUCAUAAUUGAUAUUUAAAACUUAAAUGGCAUGUCAGUCCUUUCAUAAAAAAAUUAAUGUUAACACCCAACAAGUCCUUUUUUUUUUUAUUACACAUAUAACACUUUACCAAAGAUACUAUUAAACAAUUUUAAAAAAAAUAAAAAAUCUCACACUAAGGGUCUAUUUGGCCAUUACAUUUAAAACGGUUUUCUAUUUUUAAAAGUUUUAAAAUUCAUAUCAUUGUUAGGUCAUUAUUCUAUUGAACGGUUUUUAAAAACAAAGUGAAAUAGAAUUCUUUUUAGAGAAUAAAUAAAAAUUGUUUUUAUUAGUUUUUAAAAAUAAAAGGAAAAUACAAAGAAAUAAAAAAUAAAAAAAUAAAGUCAUAAAAAGAAAAUAAGGUAAAAUACAAAAUAUUUUUUCUUUCAUUCAAUCUUCAAAUAUGAUUUGUUUUUAAUUUUUAUUUCAUUUUUCUUAAAUUCUUUUAAAUUUUCAUCAGGCAAAUAGAUUUUAAAUUAAAUAAUAUUUUAUACAUAAAAUUCAUUAAUUUUUAAAAAUAAUUUGAAACUUGAAAACUUAUAUAAUUGCUACUAGAAAAUCAUGGAACUCAAAAUCCAUCUAAUCAAUACUAGAACUUCACAAACUAAACUUCAUUUUGAAUGACUUUGUUAGUAUAUUCUUCACAUAUAAUCAUAUUUUUGUUCUAGUUUUUACCAGACAAAUAAACUUUAAAUUAAACAAGAUUUAAUGCAUUAGAUUCAUUAAUGAGUCUCAUAUUUUUUAAAAAUAUUUAAAACUCCAAUAGUGAUCUAAUUAAUACAAAAAAUUUAUGAAUUAAAUUGAUCUAAAAUAACUCCAUUCUCUUUUACAUAGAAUUGUAUUUUUUCGAUUUUUUUCAUUAGACAAAUAUACUUCAAAUCUUGUUUAAUACAUCAGAUUUAUUAAAAAAAAAAUGUAGUAUUUUUAAAAAUAAUUUAAAACUCAAAUAUUAAUUCAAUUAACAUAAGAAAGUUAUGGAUACAAAUUAUUCAAAUUGACUAUUGUUUCUUUUCUACAUAGAAUCAUAUUUUCCAAUUUCUUUUCUUGAUCAAUAGAAUACUCUAAAUCAAACAAGUUAAUGUGUCACAUUUAUUAGCAAGUCUAGUAAGUUUUAAAAAUAAUUCAAGACUCAAAUAGUACUCCAAUUAAUAUAAAAAAUUUAUGGACAAAAAUUGGUCUAAAAUAAAUAUAUUGUUUUUUUUUUUUGCACAUAAUUAUUAUUUUUUUAUAAUUUUUCUUACUAGAGAAAUGAACUUCAAAUCAAACAAGACCUUGCAUUGAAUUUAUCAAUGAGUUUAAUAAUUUUUAAAAAUAAUUUGAAAUUCAAAAUAUAUAUCUAAUGACUAUAAAAUAAUAAUAGACCAAAACUAAUGCAUUAUGAGUCAUAACUUAACUAUUUUCCUAUAAAAAUGACUAUAUUUUUAGAAUUUUUCGCUAAGUAAAUGAAUUCUAAAUUAAGUGAGACAUAACUAGUACUUUAAAUUAUUUAAUAAAUCUUCUAAUUUUUAAGAAUAAUUUGGAAUUCAAAAAAGUAAUCUAAUUAAUUACAUACAAAAUCAAAAGUAUGCAUACUUUGUCUAUAAUAAAUAUGCUUUUAUGAAGAUAUUAAGAUUUAUAUUUUUAUAGCAUGUAUUAGCAUAGCAUAUUUUUUGUAUGAACAGUGAAGGGUAGCCUUAAGGGGCACUGAAGACGGUUUUGAAAUUGAUAAGCUUUGAUCUAAUUAAGGUGAUCAAAUUGUGAAGGCUAGCUCUCUGUCCCUGGAAGACAGCAACAAAGACAUAUACUUAGGCUAAUCUACUUCAUGGAACAUUUUAAUUACCUUUCAUUGGCUUGGACUAGUUCAUCUCUUGCAGCCAAUGCCUAUCUCCUUAUAUUUGCCAAAAUCAGCUUCUCUCGUCUAGCCGGCAUUGUUAAAGAUAAGCAACUUGGACUAAUUCAUCUCUUGCAGUUGCAGCCAAUGCUUUUCUCCACUUGCAUGCACAUUAAAUUAGAGACGACUUAAUUCCCAGGUCUGUUGAAGAUAAGCAACUUGCCUUCCCUUAACAAUUAUUAUAGGCCGACCUACCUUCAUCCACCACCCCCACUUUCCAUUUAUUUGCCUUUACUUUCAUAUUCUUACCCCAUAAGAUUAAGAUUAAGAGCAUGUGGCCUGGUAAACAAUGGUGACGUACAGGGUCUACCAUGAAAAUUUGGAAUUCAAAGUUCCUUUUUGCUGCAUCCAGAAGGAAAGGGAGGGAGAAUUAUGCUUUAGGAGUCUAUUUGUUGAUAAUGGGUUAAAAGUCCUUAAUAACUUGUAUAAUUGAUAAGAAGGAUGUAAAAUAUGGAGAGACCAAAAUACCCAUUAAAGUAAUCAUCUUGGUUAACAUUUUAUAUUGUAGGAAAAAUUUGUGGUCUGCUGUACCAAAAUUAGAUUUUUGACCAUUGGAUUUACAUAUUUAAUCAUGACCAUUGAUUUGAAUUGGAAAACAUUUGCUACCGGUUUCUUAUUGGAGGAUCCAAUUUUAGAGGAUACAAAUUUAGUAAUAAUUAAGUAAUUGCAUUUUAGAUUAUUAAAAUAUAUAACUUAUAAUAAAUAAAAAUAAUGUAUUAUCUAAUUUUAUCUUCCUUUUUAUUUUUAUAUCAAUAUUAUUUAAAAUAUAUAAUAAUAAGGGAGAAUUGUGUUUUGAGGUAAGUUGAGACUGAUAAUUAACCAAGAUCCUCACAUCACCCGUAUAUGAACUCAAAACCUAAUGAUGGAAUAGAAAUUGAGGAGAAGGAUGUCGUUACUUUCCAAAAAUCCUCAAAAUACCCUUGACUGUCAAAUUAAAAAAAUUAACGUGCUACUCUCACCUCUCUCUCAUUCUCUCUCUCUCUUUCUCUCUCUUUAUUUAGCUCCCCUAUUUUUUAAAAAAUUUAGAACUUUUUUAUUUCAUAUUUAACCAAUUUAUAAAAUAAAGAUUCUUGUUGUUAAAUAAUUUUAUUGCAAAAUUUAUCUUUUAAACAAAUAUUUUAAAUAAAAAAAGUCUACUUCAAUUUAUUUAUGAGAAUUACAUUAAAUCAAAAUGCAUUUUUAAUUGAUGGAUAUUGAAAUUCAUUUUUCUUAAAUUUUAUUUUUUAAAUAUAAUAAAUUUAGAAUUCAAAAUAAAACCAACUUCCUUAAUUCAUAAGAAAUAAUUUUUUAUUAAAUGGUUGAUAAAAGAUUAAAAACUAUUAUUAUAUAUUUUUAUAACCAUUGGUUUCGAUCAUCCUUUGCCUUGGAAAAUUAGUUAUUUGUACAAAAAGAUAAAAUAAUAACUUAUUUUAUUAGAAAGAAAUUUUAUAAUUCAUUUUUAUAACGGUAAAAAAGAUUUUCUUAAUUAUUUCUGAAUCCAACCAACGAACUCUUUUGAGAUUCUCUAGAUUUUAAGAAUUUUGAUACAUUCAACUAUUAGAAAAAGAAUUUCAAAAUUUUUAUAAAAAUAUAUUUUUUAAAUUUAGGUAAAUAAAUUAUAAAUUAAGAAAGAUAUAAUCAAUAAUUUAAAUUCUUUAAUGAUUUAAAAAGAUAUUAAUAAUAGUUUUGAAUUCAAAAAAUUGAUAUAAUUAAUUUUUAUUAAAUCAAAAUAUUUUAGAAUAUUAUAUUAGUAAUUCGUUACUAAAUGCAUAUUGCAAAUGAAAAACUUUACUUAUUUACAUGUUAAAAAAGUUGAACUUUAUUCAUUAUUCAUUCUAAAUAAAAUAUUAUUAAAAAUUAUUAUUAUUUAUUUUUGAGCAAGACAAUUAAGAAGAUGUUAAUAUUCUUAUAUUUCUAACAUAGACUAAAAUAAUAAUUUUUUUUAUAAACAAUAUAAUUUAUGAUUUUAUUAUAAUUUAUUUGUAAUUAUAAAACUAUUUUCAUUUUAAAAUUUGAAUUAAAUUAAAUUUAAUCUAUAUUAUAUAAAUUGAAAUUGCAAUGUUUUUACAAAACCAAAACAAAAAACAUAUUUUUAAAAAUAACUUAUUCAAACAAGUUUUUCAUUUUUCAUUUUUAAAAACUUGUCAAGCAUAGUUGUUUUAUAAAACAUUAGGGGUUUGAUUGACAACUAUUUUUAAGAAUAGUAUUCUGUUUUCCAAAACAAACCAAAAAAAUCAAAAAUAUAUAUUUUGACUACCAAAAAACUAUUUUUUGUUUUUAGAGAAUGUCUUUUAGCUGUUUUCACUUGUUUUAUAAAAUAUGUCGCAUGAUUAAAAAUAAAUCACUAAAUAUAAAAAUGAUUUUUAAAACACAUUUAAAACAUGUCAAGUUCCUAAAAAGACUUUUGUUCUACAAAAUCUUAUAGAACAUUUUGCAAAAACUGUUCUUAAAAAUUAUUUUUCAUAACUAUUUUAAAAAAUUACUAAAUAUGAUCUAAAAAACAAUGUUUUUUUUCUUUAUCUUCAAAAUAAUUUUUAGAAACCAAUUUAAGACAACAUGGUAAAACAAAUAUAUGUUUCCCAAACAAAAAAGUUGAUGAAGUAAUUGAUAAAUGGGAAAUUUGAAAAUCUUUCAAGCAAUUUUUCUUUUUCCAUAGGAUCAAAGUAAAAACUCUUCCCUUAUCAGAACUUGGAUCACACAAGUUGAUGGAAAAUGAACCUUGAACUUUAUAAAAAAAUAAUUAUUUAAACUUGAGAAAGAAAUUAAAAGACCUUUAUAAAAUAAUUACACCAUAUACAAUAUACAUUUUUCUAGUUGUCUGUCAAAUAAAAUUAACAUUCUUAAUUUAUUUUUAUUUUUUGAAAUAUUUAUGAAUUUUCCUUUUGUUUUUUUUUCUUUGAUAAAAUUUAAACUAUGUUCCUAGGAGAGAAAAAAAUUGUUAAAGUUACAUAAAAUAUAAGUUGAGACACUUGUAAAACACUUUCAUCGGAUUAAAAUAUCAUCUUCUUUGACCUCCAAAACGUACCUGUCUCAAGCCUUAAUCCAAUUCUUCUUUUUUUUUUCUUUUUUUUUUUAAAUGGGACAAACCAAUGAGGGUGAAUGAUAGGUUGCUCACCCAAUGCCCGACGACUCCUGCAUCAAUAGGCGUCGUAACAAUCACCAUUGCCAGCCUAGUCCUGGCAAUGGUGACAAGGGUUUGGAGAAGUGGAUGGAUGGGUAGAAAAGGAAGGUAUUAUGGGUAUUAGACUUAUAAAUUUUAUUUAUUUAUUUAAAAAAAAAAAACAGGUGGAUGAUUACAGAAUUUGUGUGGUCGCAAUUAAAACUAGGACCCACCAUCAUUUCAUUCUCCAUACCUUGGAGAAGGGUGCUGCCCUUAAUCUUUCAAUUAAAUUUUAGACUGAGAAAUUAUAUACAGAAUCUUGGAAAAUAAUUGCUCAUAUGAAAAAAAAAUUAUUUUAACUAAUUAGUUUAAUAAUAAAAAAAAUAUUUAAAGUUUUAUAAAAUUAUUUUUCCUACUAAACAAAGUUGAUGAAUGUAUAGAAAUGAGUCUGAUGUUUAUAAUCAAUUUUCAUAGAUUAUUCAAGGGGCCAAUUGCCAACUAAUUCUUCUAAAUGUAAGUAAAUUAUAUGUUUAUUUUCUACCCGUUUUUUCUCCUUCUAUUACUUUGUGGGUGGGUGGGUGGUCACUGGUUUGUAAACAAAGUCAGCACCUGGGCUCAACCAUCUUCUCUAAUAAUUCAUUCUAGCGUUGGAAUCCAGACUUGCUUUUGGCCAAACCAGAACUGAGCCAGCUUCGCUACCAAGAAAUUAUUGCAUUUUCUCAAUACAAACCAAUCUUUUCCACUUUGGUGGUUUGAUUUUGGAUCGCUUACCUUCAUUUUUCCUUGAUUCAUCACUCACUUUUCUCUACAAACCAACAGACAUGGCUGGGGCUUUAGUUGGGGGAGCUUUCCUCUCCGCUUCUCUUCAAGUUCUAUUUGACAGGUUGGCUUCUCGCGAGGUUGUGAGCUUCAUCCGGGGGAAGAAGCUCAGUGAUGCGCUCCUGAAGAAGUUGGAAAGGAAGUUGCUGGUCGUCCAUGCAGUGCUCAACGAUGCUGAGGUCAAACAAUUUACAGAUCCAUAUGUGAAGAAGUGGCUGGUCUUGCUUAAAGAGGCUGUGUAUGAUGCGGAGGACAUAUUGGAUGAGAUCGCCACAGAGGCUUUGAGACAUAAGAUGGAAGCUGCGGAGUCCCAAACCAGCACAAGUCAGGUGGGUAACAUCAUGGACAUGUCUACCUGGGUUCAUGCCCCAUUUGACAGUCAGAGCAUAGAAAAGAGGGUGGAGGAGAUCAUUGAUAGACUUGAAGAUAUGGCACGAGACAGAGCCGUCCUUGGGUUGAAAGAAGGUGUUGGCGAGAAACUGUCACAAAGGUGGCCUUCUACUUCUUUGGUGGAUGAAUCUCUUGUCUAUGGCAGGGAUGAUGAAAAACAGAAGAUGAUUGAACAGGUGUUGUCUGAUAAUGCAAGGAGGGAUGAGAUAGGUGUGAUUUCCAUAGUGGGCAUGGGCGGCCUUGGCAAGACCACACUUGCUCAGCUUCUAUAUAAUGACCCAAGGGUGAUGGAACACUUCGAUUUGAAGGCAUGGGUUUGUGUUUCCGAAGAAUUUGAUCCUAUUAGAGUUACAAAAACAAUUCUGGAGGAGAUUACUUCAUCCACUUUCGAGACAAAUAACCUAAAUCAGCUUCAAGUUAAACUGAAAGAGAGAAUUAAUACGAAGAAAUUUCUACUUGUCUUGGAUGAUGUUUGGAACGAGGACUCUAGUAACUGGGCUAUGCUACAAACUCCACUCAAAGGCGGGGCAAAGGGAAGCAAGAUUGUUGUAACGACCCGCAGCACCAAUGUUGCAGCUGUUAUGCGCGCUGUUUAUUCUCAUUGUCUUGGUGAACUAUCCUCUGAAGAUUCCUGGUCUCUGUUUAGAAAACUCGCAUUUGAAAAUGGAGACUCGAGUGCGUAUCCACAACUAGAAGCAAUUGGUAAGAAGAUUGUGGACAAGUGCCAAGGUUUGCCACUAGCUGUAAAAGCAGUGGGGGGCCUUUUACAUUCUGAGGUUGAAGCGAGGAAAUGGGAUGAUAUACUAAACAGCCAAAUAUGGGAUUUGUCCACUGAUACAGUUCUUCCUGCAUUGAGAUUGAGUUACAAUUAUCUGCCUUCACAUCUAAAGCAAUGUUUUGCUUAUUGCUCAAUUUUUCCCAAGGACUACGAAUUGGAGAAAGAGAAGCUAAUUUUGUUAUGGAUGGCUGAAGGUCUUUUACAAGAAUCAAAAGGCAAGAGAAGAAUGGAAGAGGUAGGUGACUUGUACUUUCACGAGCUUUUAUCGAAGUCGUUUUUUCAAAAUUCAGUUUGGAAAAAGAAGACACACUUUGUAAUGCAUGACCUAAUUCAUGACUUGGCUCAACUGGUGUCUGGAGAAUUUUCUGUUAGUUUGGAGGAUGGUCGGGUAUGCCAAAUCUCAGAAAAGACUCGUCAUUUAUCAUAUUUUCCGAGAGAAUAUAAUAGCUUUGAUAGAUAUGGAACACUUUCUGAAUUUAAGUGUUUGCGAACAUUUUUACCAUUGAGGGUUUACAUGUUUGGCUACUUAAGUAAUAGAGUUUUACACAAUCUAUUAUCGGAAAUUAGGUGCUUGCGGGUGUUGUGUUUGCGUGGCUAUGGUAUUGUUAAUUUGCCCCAUUCAAUUGGCAAGUUACAACAUUUGCGCUACUUGGAUCUCUCUUAUGCUUUGAUUGAAAAAUUACCUACAUCAAUAUGUACUUUGUACAAUUUACAAACAUUGAUAUUGUCAAUGUGUUCGAAUCUAUAUGAAUUGCCUUCAAGAAUCGAAAAUUUGAUUAAUUUGUGUUAUCUUGACAUUCAUCGUACCCCACUAAGAGAGAUGCCAAGUCAUAUUGGCCAUUUAAAAUGUUUGCAAAACUUGAGUGAUUUCAUUGUGGGGCAAAAGAGCAGGUCGGGGAUUGGAGAAUUGAAGGAACUUUCAGAUAUAAAGGGAACACUUAGAAUUUCAAAGUUGCAGAAUGUGAAAUGUGGCAGGGAUGCAAGAGAAGCCAAUUUGAAGGACAAGAUGUACAUGGAGGAGUUAGUGUUGGAUUGGGAUUGGAGAGCAGAUGAUAUUAUACAAGAUGGAGACAUAAUUGAUAAUCUUCGGCCACAUACAAACCUAAAGAGACUCUCUAUUAAUCGUUUUGGUGGUUCGAGAUUUCCAACAUGGGUAGCAAAUCCUUUUUUCUCUAAUCUCCAGACCCUAGAGCUUUGGAAAUGUAAAAAUUGCUUAUCAUUGCCACCACUUGGGCAGCUACCCUCUCUUGAACACUUACGGAUCUCAGGAAUGAAUGGAAUAGAGAGGGUGGGUAGUGAGUUUUAUCAUUAUGGGAAUGCUUCUUCCUCCAUCGUAGUUAAGCCUUCCUUCCCAUCCUUACAAACUCUAAUAUUUGAGUGCAUGCAUAAUUGGGAGAAAUGGUUGUAUUGUGGAUGCAGACGUGGAGAAUUCCCUCGUCUCCAGGAGCUUUAUAUAAUCAACUGUCCAAAACUCACUGGGAAAUUACCAAAACAGCUUCGAUCCUUGAAGAAACUUGAAAUUGUUGGAUGUCCGCAGCUGCUUGUGCCUUCACUCAGAGUCCCUGCAAUCAGUGAAUUGACGAUGGUCGAUUGUGGUAAAUUACAGUUGAAAAGGCCAGCUAGUGGCUUCACUGCUCUUCAAUUCUCACGCGUUAAAAUUUCAAACAUCUCUCAGUGGAAGCAACUACCAGUGGGAGUGCAUAGGCUCUCAAUUACAGAAUGUGAUUCUGUGAAGACUCUAAUAGAAGAGGAACCGCUCCAGAGCAAAACUUGUCUUCUCAAAUAUUUGGAAAUCACAUAUUGUUGUUUGUCUAGAUCCUUGCGCAGAGUUGGUUUACCCACUAAUGCAUUGGAAUCACUAAAAAUCUCUCACUGUUCCAAGCUAGAGUUUCUCCUAUCUGUGUUGUUGAGAUGCCACCACCCUUUCCUAAAAAAUAUACACAUCAGAGAUAACACCUGUGAUUCUCUUUCAUUAUCCUUCUCCUUAAGCAUCUUCCCAAGAUUGCGUUGUUUUGAAAUCAGUAAGCUUCAGGGGCUUGAAUUCCUCUAUAUCUCCAUUUCAGAGGGGGAUCCCACAUCUCUUAAUUAUUUGAAUAUCUAUGAGUGCCCUGAUCUUGUAUAUAUUGAAUUGCCGGCUCUCGACUCAGCAAGGUAUGAGAUCUCCAGAUGCUUGAAGCUCAAGUUAUUGAAGCACACCCUCUUAACUUUGCGGUGUUUGAGGUUAUUUCAUUGUCCAGAAUUGUUGUUUCAGAGGGACGGCUUGCCCUCCAACCUACGUGAACUUGAAAUUUCAUCCUGCGACCAACUCACAUCUCAGGUGGACUGGGGUUUGCAAAGACUGGCCUCUCUUACAACAUUCAAUAUCAGGGGUGGAUGCCAAGAGAUUCAUUCUCUUCCCUGGGAGUGCCUACUGCCCUCCACAAUUACCACUCUCAGAAUUGAACGACUUCCAAACCUCAAGUCUCUGGACAGUAAGGGGCUUCAACAACUUACCUCUCUCUCAAACUUACACAUUGGCGACUGCCCUGAGUUCCAAUCCUUUGGAGAAGAGGGGCUUCAACAUCUCACCUCCCUCAUAACAUUAUCCAUUAGCAAUUGUUCUGAGCUCCAAUCCUUUGGAGAAGAGGGGCUUCAACAUCUCACCUCCCUCGAAACAUUAUCCAUUUGCUGCUGCCCUGAGCUCAAAUCUUUAACAGAAGCAGGUCUUCAACACCAUAGCUCACUUGAAAAAUUGCACAUCUCCGGCUGCCCGAAGCUCCAAUACCUGACGAAAGAGAGACUGCCAAACUCCCUCUCUUCUCUGGUUGUUUACAAAUGCUCUUUGCUGGAAGGUCUCUGCCAAUUUGGGAAAGGCCAAGAUUGGCAGUAUGUAGCUCACAUUCCACACAUAAUCAUCAACGAUGUGUUAUACUGAUGAAGAUGGAAAUAUAUCAAUGUCAAUCAGGUACUUGUUCCAUACUCAUUUGUUUCAAAAAUUAAGUUUAUGCUUCAAAAUUUCUUAUCAUCUCUAUUGUGCUUCCUUGCUUUCUGUAAGGUUUGGUUGAUUUGGCUAUGGUCAUAAAGGCAUGGUGCCAAGCAGCUCUCAGGGUAUUCUAAGUGACUUGCUCUUCUUGAGCCUCAAUCAUGAUUUAUGGUUAGUGAAAUAUUUUAAUUCUCUUUGAUCCUUUGUCAUGAUCUAUUAUGGAUUUGUACUUGUAGAGACUUCAUUUUCGACUUCCCGAUGGUCCAAUAGUGGAGACCUCACAAGUUUUUCUUAAUCAUGACUGCAUCAUUUUGUAGGUUCUCGUUUGGCUAAUACUUUCCAAUAGUUAAAGCAUUUGUGCAGUGAUGUAUAUCAUGCUUUAUGUCAAUUUACAAUAAAAUUGUUAUAAGGGAUCUUCCAGAUGGAAGGUGGAGUGAGGAAGAUGUCAUUGUUUUAGUGCCCCGGUUCAUUGUUCUUAUUGAACGCAGAGUACCUUAACGGUACUGCCUACUCAAAUUUUACUGAGAUUGCUCUAUUUUGGUUGGGCAGUCUGCACCUACUGGAGACAGUAUUCACUAUGGUUCUACUUGCAAGUAGGGAGAGAUCACCUGAAUGAUAGUUGAUACCACACCACCAAUUGGUCACUGUCAAAAGGCAAGGAUAUGGGAAUGCAUCUUCUUUGUUAUGUACUUAGCCGGACUUAUUUUUUUUUUUUUCUUUUCUUUUUGCCUAAUUUUGAUCUCAUACAGUUCUUGUUUGGUGUUUCUUAGGUCUUGGCUAUGAUCAGAAAUUUCCAUGUACACUAUGUACCACACCCCACUUUUCUGGACUAGGAGGUCCAUUCAGACUCUCAUUGUUCAUCUCAGUAGAGUCAGAUGUUUGUUUGAAAAGAAAAAUACCAAAGUUCAGGUGAAGGCCUAUACAUUUGAGAUUCCCAUGAAGAAUGUCGUAAUUCGAUUUAUUCGAUUUUGAGGGCUUUUGUAAUUCUGUUUGCCAUUAUGGUGUUGGUACCAUUUGAAGAGGGUGGUAGACCAUAACUCCCUCAUUCAAGCUUCCAAACUUUGUAUAGGAAAGAUGAUGUUGUGUUGACCUUACUCACUUCUUCACUUCUUCAUGAAAUGAAAAUUGACUUCUCUUCUAUAUAUGCUCACAGUCUGCUCAAGUUUUUACUUGCAUUAAAGAUCCUAGCGCUACUCGGUCACCUUAUUGAUCCCAACAUCAACCAUUAGGCCAUUUUCAAUAGGCAAGGAGAUAGGAAUAUAGCACCUUCUGUUGUUUAGGUCAAAAUAUAAUGUCUGCAGUAUGCUUGAUCAUGUUUAUAAAUUGACAUGAUAGCCCAAAAGAGUAUUUGAUAUAUCUUUUAUGAUGUAGCCUAGUAUAUUUGUACCUAUCUAAGUAGUUCGAUGUAUAUAUUAAAUAUUCAAAGGAUUUAGAACGUAUGAAGCAAAUAAUUGAAAAAAUUAAGUUAUAAGGAUAAUUAUUGGAAAGUGUCUCAAAUUCUUUUCCGAGUCAAUUUAUAAGUCAUUGAUGUUUUUGCAUUAGGACAUAUUCAUGGAAUAGACUUUCUUAUUAUUAUAAAGGUUGAAAUAUCCUAUUGUUAGAUUUUCUUUUAAGCUAUAUUUAUUUCUCUAAAAAUUUGAAGGAAAAUGUUUAGGAAAGAAAAUAGAGAUGAAAAGUAGAAAAAAAGAAAAAGUGCAGAAAAUUAAAAAUAUGAUUUAAAGUCAAUAAAUUAUUUUUAUAUAUUUUUUCAAAUUCAUUUAACUUAUUUUUUUUAUUAUAUAAAGAUUAAAUAAUUAAGAAAUGUAUAAAUUUCAAAGUAAAUUUAAUUAUGUUUUAUUUUCUUUCAUAUUUUCUAUGGUGAAAUUAAAAUGAGAAAAUCAUUUUUCUCAACAUGACCUAAUAGUUCUUCAUGGUUGAACUUACAUAAGAGAUAAUUUUUAAUAAAAAACUUUAUCACUUUCAACUAAGUAUUUGAAUACCAAAACUUCUUAUAGAAAUGGUUAAAAUUAUGCAUUAACCAACCUACAAUAGUCAUCUAAGAGAGGUGAAUAUAGUGUUAAUCUCUUUUCACACACUAUACAAAAAUGAAUACAAGAGAUAAUUUAAGCAAUAAUAUAAAAUAAAUAGAAAAGGGACAAAAAGAAUUUAAACUUAAGAUUUUUAUAGUGGUUCGGUGUAAUCCUACUUAUAUCCGACUUAUAUCCACUCUCCUCAAUUUUUAAUCACGAUAAAUGUUCCAUUAAUCUAAGACUUUUUAAAGCUCAAGUCUUUAAACUCUUUAUACUUGGAUUAUGGUUCUAAGAUACCUUGUUAUAACAAAACUUUUAAAGACAAAUUCUCCAAACUUUUUCUUUUAAAUUAUGAUUCCAAAGUACCCUUUCAAGCGAUACCUUGCUCUUAAGCUGUCUAAGUGAUUCCACACUAGUUAAUCCUCAUAAGAUCUGCAAUUGAAAGAAGAUUAAUCCUUGUGUACUAUUUUGACUCGAAUAAAUACAAAGGAAACUAGGAUUGAAGUGCAUCAUAAUGGAUAAGUAAGAUUAUGAAUCAAGGUGCACUCCAAAACACUCGGACGAUUGAUGGAUGAUAAUCAAUAUUAGGUUCUUGGAGAGUCAACAUUAUGCUUUUAAGAAGAUAUUAAUAUCUAUAUUUUUAUAGUAUGUAUUAACAUAGCAUAUUUUUUGUAUAAAAAAACAUAUAGUUUAUGAUUUUAUUGUAAUACUAGCAUUCAUAUUUUACUAAAAAAAUGAUUUAUUUUUUAAUUUAUUUGUGAUUCUAAAUACUGUUUAUAAAAAAUUCAAGUGUCAACAAAUUUUUACUAUUUCAAGUUUUAAAAUGUUUAAAAGUGAUAUUUAGAUACAUAAUAUAAAUCUAUAUUUUCCGUACAAGAGGUUCUAGCUUUUAUAUAGAAUUUAUUACUUAUUUCUAUUUUUAAAAGCAAAAAAAAUUCUUAAAGAAUAUUUUUAACUUAAGCACUAUUAAUAAAAGUGGUACGAACCAAAAUACUUUAAUUUGAAUUACUCUCAACUUCUUAAUUUAUGUAAAUUAUAAGGGGAAAAACCAAAGUACUAAAUGGAUACAUACUAUACUUCAAAUCUAAGAAGUUAACAAUAUAAUGUGUUGAAAAAGUACAUGUGCGUGUUGGAGUGCUUAUGCAAAAAAUUGUAAUUCUCAUGUUAAAAAAAAAGGAUUCAAACUUUAUGCACUUUAUAUUGUGUGUCCAUGAGGCCCAAGCCCCUGUAUCCAAAUGAAAAUUUCGGUUUUUAUUUUUUUUAUUUUUUAACUUCUAAAGCUACUUUGAGAAAAAAAAAAAUUAAAAGAUGGUAGUUACAAAACUAUUGACAAAUCGUUGACACUUUUUGUCACAUCGAAAGUGUCUUUUCAAAAGACAUUUUCUAUAAUUUUCAUAUGAAUGACACACGACAAAAAAAAUUAAUUUACAUUGAAGAUGUCUCUUCAAGAGACACUUUUCAUAAUUUUAUAAAAUUAAAUUUAUAUUUAAGAGACACCUUUUUACAAUUUUUUAAUCAGUCAUAUAUAUUAAAAAAAUUGAAUAUAUAUUAAAAGUGUAUUUUAAAGAGACAUCUUCCACAAUUUCAUAAAAUCGAAUUCAUACUAAAAAUGUCUCUUCAAGAAACACUUUUUCACAAUUUUUUUUUUUGUUUAUCAAUCAUAAAUAUUAAAAAAAAAAAUUGAAUUUUUACUCCCAUAAUUCCACAAAAUCUAAUUUAUAUUAAAGGUGUUUCUUCUAAAAUUUCAUAUUAGUCACACAGUGAAGAAAACGAAUUUAUACUAAAUGACUUUUUAGGUGACACAUUCCACAAUUUGACAAAACUGAAUUUAUAAUUAAGAUGUCUUUUGAAAAGACAUCUUCCAUGAUUUUCAUACCGGCCAAUCACACAAUAAAGAAAAUUGGAUUUAUACUAAAGGUGUUUCUUCAAGAGAUUAAAAUUUGAAAUUUUUGGAUCUGCAAAGAAAAUUUUAGGAAUGGGGAUCCAAAGGGACCAAAGAAAAGGAACUUGGUUUCUAUGCCAACAAAGUUAUAAUCAAAAGGUUUCGGAGAGGUUAAUUAAUGUCAAAUAAGUUAUAAUCAAAAGGUUUUGGAGAGGUUAAUUAAGGUGAUCAAAUUGUGAAGGCUAGUUCGCUGUCCCUAGUAGACAGCAGCAAAGACAUAUACUUAGGCUAAUCUACUUCAUGGAACAUUUUAAUUACUCCACUUCUUUUUCAUGACCUUUCAUUGACUUAGACUAGUUCAUCUCUUGCAGCCAAUGCCUAUCUCCUUAUAGUUGUCAAAAUCAACUUGUACUAGUUCAUCUCUUGCAGCCAAUGCUUUUCUCCACUUGCAUGCACAUUAAAUUAGAGACGACUUAAUUCCCAGGUCUGCUGAAGAUAAGCAACUUGCCUUCCCUCAAUUAUUAGGCCGACCUACCUUCAUCCACCACCCCCACUUUCCAUUUAUAUGCCCUUACUUUCACAUUCUUACCCCAUAAGAUUAAGAUUAAGAGCAUGUGGCCUGGUAAACAAUGGUGACGUACAGGGUCUACCAUGAAAAUUUGGAAUUCAAAGUUCCUUUUUGGCUGCAUCCAGAAGGAAAGGGAGGGAGAAUUAUGCUUUAGGAGUCUAUUUGUUGAUAAUGGGUUAAAAGUCCUUAAUUACUUGUAUAAUUGAUAAGAAUGAUGUAAAAUAUGGAGAGACCAAAAUACCCAUUAAAGUAGUCAUCUUGGUUAACAUAUAAAACGGAAAGUGAUUGUAGGAAAAAUUUGUUGUCUGUUGUACCAAAAUUAGAUUUUUGACCAUUGGAUUUACAUAUUUAAUCAUGACUAUUGAUUUGAAUUGGAAAACACUUGCUACCGGUUUCUUAUUGGAGGAUCUAAUUUUAAAGGAUACAAAUUUAGUAAUAAUUAAGUAAUGGCAUUUUAUAUUAUUAAAAUAUAUAAUUUAUAAUAAAUAAAAAUAAUGUAUUAUCUAAUUUUAUCUUCCUUUUUAUUUUUAUAUCAAUAUUAUUUAAAAAUAUAUAAUAAUAAGGGAGAAUUGUGUUUUGAGGUGAGUUGAGACUGAUAAUUAACCAAGAUCCUCAUAUCACCCAUAUAUGAACUCAAAACCUAAUGAUGGAAUAGAAAUUGAGGAGAAGGAUGUUACUUUCCAAAAAUCCUCAAAAUACCCUUGAUUGUCAAAUUAAAAAAUUAACGUGCUACUCUCACCUCUCUCUCAUUCUCUCUCACUCUCUUUCUCUCUCUUUAUUUAGCUCCCCUAUUUUUUUAAAAAUUUUAAAACUUUUUUAUUUCAUAUUUAACCAAUUUAUAAAAUAAAGAUUCUUGUUGUUAAAUAAUUUUAUUGCAAAAUUGAUCUUUUAAAAUUAAAUUUAAAUAAUUUUAUAGUGAAAUUUAUCCUUUUAAAUUAAAAUUUUUAUCCUUAUUUAUUUCAUGUAGUAAACAAAUAUUUUAAAUAAAAAAAUCUACUUCAAUUUAUUUAUGAGAAUUACAUUAAAUCAAAAUGCAUUUUUAAUUGAUGGAUAUUGAAAUUGAUUUUUCUUAAAUUUUAUUUAUUUAAUAUAAUAAAUUUAGAAUUCAAAAUAAAACCAACUUCCUUAAUUCAUAAGAAAUAAUUUUUUAUUAAAUGGUUGAUAAAAAAUUAAAAGCUAUUAUUAUAUAUUUUUAUAACCAUUGGUUUCGAUCAUCCUUUGCCUUGGAAAAUUAGUUAUUUGUUAAAAAAGAUUUUUUUAAUUAUUUAUGAAUCUAACCAACGACUCUUUUGAGAUUCUCUAGAUUUUAAGAAUUUUGAUACAUUCAACUAUUAGAAAAAGAAUUUCAAAAUUUUUAUAAAAAUAUAUUUUUUAAAUUUAGGUAAAUAAAUUAUAAAUUAAGAAAGAUAUAAUUAAUAAUUUAAAUUAUUUAAUGAUUUAAAAAGAUAUUAAUAAUAGUUUUGAAUUCAAAAAAUUGAUAUAAUUAAUUUUUAUUAAAUCAAAAUAUUUUAGAAUAUUAUAUUAGUAAUUCAUUACUAAAUGCAUAUAGCAAAUGAAAAAUUUUACUUAUUUACAUGUUAAAAAAGUUGAACUUUAUUCAUUAUUCAUUCUAAAUAAAAUAUUAUUAAAAAUUAUUAUUAUUUAUUUUUAAGCAAGACAAUUAAGAAGAUGUUAAUAUUCUUAUAUUUCUAACAUAGACUAAAAUAAUAAUUUUUUUUAUAAAAAAUAUAAUUUAUGAUUUUAUUAUAAUUUAUUUAUAAUUAUAAAACUAUUUUCAUUUUAAGAUUUGAAUUAAAUUAAAUUAAAUGUAUAUUAUAUAAAUUGAAUUUGCAAUGUUUUUACAAAACCAAAACAAAAAAUAUAUUUUUAAAAAUAACUUAUUCAAACAAGUUUUUCAUUUUUCAUUUCAAAAACUUGUCAAGCAUAGUUAUUUUAUAAAACAUUAGGGGUUUGAUUGAUAACUAUUUUUAAGAAUAGUAUUCUAUUUUCCAAAACAAAACAAAAAAAUCAAAUAUAUAUAUUUUGACUAUCAAAAAACAAUUUUUUGUUUUUAGAGAAUGUCUUUUAGUAAAAAAUAAAAAAAAAUAUAUUUUGACUAUCAAAAAACUAUUUUUUGUUUUUAGAGAAUGUCUUUUAGUCGUUUUCACUUGUUUUAUAAAAUAUGUCGCAUGAUUAAAAAUAAAGCACUAAAUAUAAAAAUGAUUUUUAAAACACAUUUAAAACGUGUCAAGUUCCUAAAAUGACUUUUGUUCUACAAAACAUUAUAGAACAAUUUGCAAAAACUGUUUUUAAAAAUUAUUUUUCAGAACUAUUUUAAAAAAUUACUAAAUAUGAUCUUAAAAACAAUGUUUUUUUCUUUAUCUUCAAAAUAAUUUUUAGAAACCAAUUUAAGACAAAAUGGUAAAACAAAUAUAUGUUUCCCAAAAAAAAAAGUUGAUGAAGUAAUUGAUAAAUGGGAAAUUUGAAAAUCUUUCAAGCAAUUUUUCUUUUUCCAUAGGAUCAAAGUAGAAACUCUUCCCUUAUCAGAACUUGGAUCACACAAGUUGAUGGAAAACGAACCUUGAACUUUAUAAAAAAAUAAUUAUUUAAACUUGAGAAAUAAAUUCAAAGACCUUUAUAAAAUAAUUACACCAUAUACAAUAUACAUUUUUCUAGUUGUAUGCCAAAUAGAUUAAACAUUCUUAAUUUCUUUUUAUUUUUUGAAAUAUUUAUGAAUUUUCCUUUUGUAUUUUUUUUUUCUUUGAUAAAAUUUAAACUAUGUUUCUAGGAGAGAAAAAAAAAAAGUUAAAGUUACAUAAAAUAUAAUUUGAGACACUUGUAAAACACUUUCAUCGGAUUAAAGGGUCUUGCUACGGUACCGAAAAGCACUUUUCAGUACCAUACCCACUUUUUUGGGCUAAUAGGAUCUCUAUACAUGGCAUGCUAAAUUAAAAAAAAAAUAAACAAAACCACUUCUUCAAGUCACCCAACCGGUUGCCAUGGGAAAUAAUCCUAUGCAACACACAUUGUUACAUUUAUUACAUUAACCAAUUAUAAAUUUGUUUAAUGUAAUUAUUUUGUUUAGGAAAUUUUUUUUAUGAAACAGAAAAAUAAAGAAAAUUUUGAAAAAAUAAAUUGCAGUUUAUUUAUUUUUGUACUAUAAAGUGAUUAAACCCCACAUAAAAAUUAAAUUUAAAAUAAAAAAAAAUUAUAAAGAAUUUGGUGAUAUAAUUUAUAAAUUAAGGAAAAGUAAAUUUAAUAUAUUUUAACAUCAAAUAAUUUGUUGACAAAAAUUUGACGAAUAUUUGAAGUGUGAAAAGAAAUAUAAUUGGUUUAUGAAGUUAAAAAAAUGGGAAAACUAAAACUAAAUUUUAUAAAAUAUAUAUUAAAUUAAAAUUAAAUUAGUUGUGUACUAAUUAUUAAUUGAGAAUAUAUGAUUAAAUUAUUUCUUAGCUUUUCAAAAAAAAUUGGUUGAAAUAUUGAAAAUACGAAAAAUGUAUAAUUACUAACAAUAUGGAAAUCCAAACCCCUCACAUAUUUUUUCGGUAAAUUUCCAUUUUGAAUUUUCCGAUCCAUUUCACACCCUCAAAAUGUACUGAAUUUUUGAGUAUUUUUGGAUUUAGAUUUUUCCGGAAAUCAUUUGACCACCUCCUAAGUGUAAUGAACUUAUUUAAACAAUAUCCAAGUCAUAUUAAGUUCGAAAAAAGUUUAAAAACUUAAAACAAGUGGAAAAUCGGGAGGCUACGAAGCACAUGAGAAUUCCUCACAUUCUUCGUACCCUUGUGAAUUUUUUAGUAUUUUUGGAUUUGGAUUUUUUCAGAUAUCAUUUGAUCACCUCCCAAGUGUAACAAACUAAUUUAAACAACAUCCAAGCCAUAUGAUGUCCCAAAAAAUUUUAAAAACUCCAAAGAAGUGGAGAAUUGGGAGGGUACGAAGAAUGUGACGAUUCCUCACAUUCUUCGUACCCUUGUGAAUUUUUUAGUAUUUUUGGAUUUGGACUUUUCCGGAUAUCAUUUGACCACCUUCUAAGUGUAACGAACCUAUUUAAACAACAUCCAAGCCAUAUGAUGUCCCAAAAAAUUUUAAAAACUCCAAAGAAGUGGAAAAUUGGGAGGGUACGAAGAAUGUGAGGAUUCCUCGCAUUCUUCGUACUCUUGUGAAUUUUUUAGUACUAUUGGAUUUCGAUUUUUCCGAAAAUCAUUUCACCACCUCCUAAGUAUAAUGAACCUAUUUAAACAACAUCCAAGCCAUAUGAUGCCCCAAAAAAUUUUAAAAACUCCAAAGAAGUGGAGAAUUGGGAGGUUACGAACAAUGUGAGGAUUCUUCACAUUCUUCGUACCUUUGUGAAUUUUUUAGUAUUUUUGGAUUUGGAUUUUUCCGAAAAUCAUUUCACCACCUCUGAAGUGUAACGAACCUAUUUACACAAUAUCCAAGCCAUAUGAUGUCCCAAAAAUUUUUAAAAACUCCAAAGAAGUGGAGAUUUUGGAGGGUAUGAAGAAUGUGNNNNNNNNNNNNNNNNNNNNNNNNNNNNNNNNNNNNNNNNNNNNNNNNNNNNNNNNNNNNNNNNNNNNNNNNNNNNNNNNNNNNNNNNNNNNNNNNNNNNNNNNNNNNNNNNNNNNNNNNNNNNNNNNNNNNNNNNNNNNNNNNNNNNNNNNNNNNNNNNNNNNNNNNNNNNNNNNNNNNNNNNNNNNNNNNNNNNNNNNNNNNNNNNNNNNNNNNNNNNNNNNNNNNNNNNNNNNNNNNNNNNNNNNNNNNNNNNNAACAAUAAAAAAAUCCAAAACCCUCAAAAAUUGGGUAGAUAAAUGUGCAUUGUGAAAUUUGAGAAUUAUUUCACACUCUAAAAAUGUAGUGAAUUUUUGAGUAUUUUUGGAUUUGGAUUUUUCCGGAAAUCAUUUGACCACCUCCUAAGUGUAAAGAACUUAUUUAAACAAUAUCCAAGCCAUAUGAAGUCCCAAAAAAUUUUAAAAACUCCAAAGAAGUGGAGAAUUGGGAGGGUACGAAGAAUGUGAGCAUUCCUCACAUUCUUCGUACCCUUGUGAAUUUUCUAGUAUUUUUGGAUUUGUAUUUUUUCGGAUAUCAUUUGACCACCUUCUAAGUGUAACGAACCUAUUUAAACAACAUCCAAGCCAUAUGAUGUCCCAAAAAAUUUUAAAAACUCCAAAGAAGUGGAGAAUUGGGAGGGUACGAAGAAUGUGAGGAUUCCUCACAUUCUUCGUACCCUUGUGAAUUUUAUAGUAUUUUUGGAUUUGGAUUUUUCUGGAUAUCAUUUGACCACCUUCUAAGUGUAAAAAACCUAUUUAAACUAUAUCCAAGCCAUAUGAUGUCCCAAAAAAUUUUUAAAAACUCCAAGAAAGUGGAGAUUUUGGAGGGUAUGAAGAAUGUGAGCAUUCCUCACAUUCUUCGUACCCUUGUGAAUUUUUUAGUAUUUUUGGAUUUUUAUUUUUUCGGAUGUCAUUUGACCACCUUCUAAGUGUAACGAACCUAUUUCAACAACAUCCAAGCCAUAUGAUGUCCCAAAAAAUUUUAAAAACUCCAAAGAAGUGGAGAAUUGGGAGGGUACGAACAAUGUGAGGAUUCUUCACAUUCUUCGUACCUUUGUGAAUUUUUUAGUAUUUUUGGCUUUGGAUUUUUCCGGAAAUCAUUUCACCACCUCCGAAGUAUAACGAACCUAUUUAAACAAUAUCCAAGCCAUAUGAUGUCCCAAAAUUUUUUAAAAACUCCAAAGAAGUGCAGAUUUUGGAGGGUACGAAGAAUGUGAGCAUUCCUCACAUUCUUCGUACCCUUGUGAAUUUUCUAGUAUUUUUGGAUUUGUAUUUUUUCGGAUAUCAUUUGACCACCUUCUAAGUGUAACGAACCUAUUUCAACAACAUCCAAGCCAUAUGAUGUCCCAAAAAAUUUUAAAAACUCCAAAGAAGUGGAGAAUUGGGAGGGUACAAAGAAUGUGAGGAUUCUUCACAUUCCUCGUACCCUUGUGAAUUUUUUAGUAUUUUUGAUUUGGAUUUUUCCGGAUAUCAUUUGACCACCUUCUAUGUGUAACGAACCUAUUUAAACAACAUCCAAACCAUAUGAUGUCCCAAAAAAAUUUCAAAACUCCAAAGAGGUGGAGAAUUGGGAGGGUACGAAGAAUGUGAAGAUUCUUCACAUUCUUCGUACCUUUGUGAAUUUUUUAGUAUUUUUGGAUUUGGAUUUUUCCGGAAAUCAUUUCACCACCUUACAAGUGUAACGAACCUAUUUAAACAAUAUCCAAGCCAUAUGAUGUCCCAAAAAAUUUUAAAAACUCCAAAGAAGUGGAGAAUUGGGAGGGUAUGAAGAAUGUGAGGAUUCCUCACAUUCUUCGUAGCCUUUUGAAAUUUUUACUAUUUUUGGAUUUGGAUUUUUCUAAAAAUCAUUUCACCACCUUACAAGUGUACCGAACCUAUUUAAACAAUAUCCAAGCCAUAUGAUGUCCCAAAAAAUUUUAAAAACUCCAAAGAAGUGGAGAAUUGGGAGGGUACUAACAAUGUGAGGAUUCAUCACAUUCUUCGUACCUUUGUGAAUUUUCUAGUAUUUUUAGAUUUGGAUUUUUUCCGGAAAUCAUUUCACCACCUCCGAAGUGUAACAAACCUAUUUAAACAAUAUCCAAGCAUUAUAAGGUCCCAAAAAAUUUUAAAAACUCAAAAGAAGUGGAGAUUUGGGACGGUACGAAAAAUGUGAGAAUUCCUCACAUUCUUCGUACCCUUGUGAAUUUUCUAGAAUUUUGGGAUUUUGAUUUUUCCGGAAAUCAUUUGACCACCUUCUAAGUGUAAGAAACCUUUUUAAACUAUAUCCAAGCCAUAUGAUGUCCCAAAAAAUUUUAAAAACUCCAAACAAGUGGAGAAUUGGGAGGGUACGAAGAAUGUGAGGAUUUCUCACAUUCUUCGUACCCUUGUGAAUUUUUUAGUAUUUUUGGAUUUGGAUUUUUCCGGAUAUCAUUUGACCACCUUCUAAGUGUAACGAACCUAUUUAAACAAUAUCCAAGCCAUAUGAUGUCCCAAAAAAUUUUAAAAACUCCAAAGAAGUGGAGAAUUGGGAGGGUACGAAGAAUGUGAGAAUUCCUCACAUUCUUCGUACCCUUGUGAAUUUUUUAGUAUUUUUGGAUUUGGAUUUUUCCGGAAAUCAUUUGACCACCUUCUAAGUGUAACGAACCUAUUUAAACAACAUCCAAGCCAUAUGAUGUCCCAAAAAAUUUUAAAAACUCCAAAGAAGUGGAGAAUUGGGAGGGUAUGAACAAUGUGAGGAUUCUUCACAUUCUUCGUACCUUUAUGAAUUUUUUAGUAUUUUUGGAUUUGGAGUUUUUCGGAAUUCAUUUCACCACCUUCCAAGUGUAACGAACUUAUUUAAACAAUAUCCAAGUCAUAUGAUGUCCCAAAAAAAUUUUAAAAAGUCCAAAGAAGUGGAGAAUUGGGACGGUACGAAGAAUGUGAGAAUUCUUCACAUUCUUUAUACCUUUGUGAAUUUUUUAGUAUUUUUUGAUUUGUAUUUUUCCGAAAAUCAUUUCACCACCUUCCAAGUGUAAAAAACCUAUUUAAACAAUAUCAAGGCCAUAUGAUGUCUCAAAAAAUUUUAAAAACUCCAAAGAAGUGGAGAAUUGGGAGGGUACGAAGAAUGUGAGGAUUCUUCACAUUCUUCGUACCUUUGUGAAUUUUUUAGUAUUUUUGGAUUUGGAUUUUUCCCGGAAUCAUGUGACCCCCCGCCAAGUGUAACGAACCNNNNNNNNNNNNNNNNNNNNNNNNNNNNNNNNNNNNNNNNNNNNNNNNNNNNNNNNNNNNNNNNNNNNNNNNNNNNNNNNNNNNNNNNNNNNNNNNNNNNUUGGGAGGGUAGAAAAAAUUGGAGAAUUCCCCCCAUUCUUUAUACCUUUGGGAAUUUUUUUUUAUUUUUGUGAUUUGUAUUUUUCCGAAAAUCAUUUCACCACCUUCCAAGUGUAAAAAACCUAUUUAAACAAUAUCAAGGCCAUAUGAUGUCUCAAAAAAUUUUAAAAACUCCAAAGAAGUGGAGAAUUGGGAGGGUACGAAGAAUGUGAAGAUUCUUCACAUUCUUCGUACCUUUGUGAAUUUUUUAGUAUUUUUGGAUUUGGAUUUUUCCGGAAAUCAUUUCACCACCUUACAAGUGUAACGAACCUAUUUAAACAAUAUCCAAGCCAUAUGAUGUCCCAAAAAAUUUUAAAAACUCCAAAGAAGUGGAGAAUUGGGAGGGUAUGAAGAAUGUGAGGAUUCCUCACAUUCUUCGUAGCCUUUUGAAAUUUUUACUAUUUUUGGAUUUGGAUUUUUCCAAAAAUCAUUUCACCACCUUACAAGUGUACCGAACCUAUUUAAACAAUAUCCAAGCCAUAUGAUGUCCCAAAAAUUUUUAAAAACUCCAAAGAAGUGGAGAAUUGGGAGGGUACUAACAAUGUGAGGAUUCAUCACAUUCUUCGUACCUUUGUGAAUUUUCUAGUAUUUUUAGAUUUGGAUUUUUUCCGGAAAUCAUUUCACCACCUCCGAAGUGUAACGAACCUAUUUAAACAAUAUCCAAGCCAUAUGAUGUCCCAGAAAAUUUUAAAAACUCUAAAGAAGUGGAGAUUUGGGACGGUACGAAGAAUGUGAGCAUUCCUCACAUUCUUCGUACCCUUGUGAAUUUUCUAGUAUUUUUGGAUUUUGAUUUUUCCGGAUAUCAUUUGACCACCUUCUAAGUGUAACAAACCUAUUUAAACUAUAUCCAAGCCAUAUGAUGUCCCAAAAAAUUUUAAAAACUCAAAAUAAGUGGAGAAUUGGGAGGGUAUGUAGAAUGUGAGGAUUCCUUGCAUUCUUCGUACUCUUGUGAAUUUUUUAGUAUUAUUGGAUUUCGAUUUUUCCAAAAAUCAUUUCACCACCUCCUAAGUGUAACAAACCUAUUUAAACAACAUCCAAGUCAUAUGAUGUCCCAAAAAAUUUUAAAAACUCCAAAGAAGUGGAGAAUUGGGAGGGUACGAACAAUGUGAGGAUUCUUCACAUUCUUCGUACCUUUGUGAAUUUUUUAGUAUUUUUGCAUUUGGAUUUUUCCGGAAAUCAUUUCACCACCUUCCAAGUGUAACAAACCUAUUUAAAAAAUAUCCAAGCCAUAUGAUGUCCCAAAAAAUUUUAAAAACUCCAAAGAAGUGGAGAUUUGGGAGGGUACGAAAAAUGUGAGCAUUCCUCACAUUCUUCGUACCCUUGUGAAUUUUCUAGUAUUUUUGGAUUUGGAUUUUUCUGGAUAUCAUUUGACCACCUUCUAAGUGUAACAAACCUAUUUAAACAACAUCCAAGCCAUAUGAUGUCCCAAAAAAUUUUAAAAACUCCAAACAAGUGGAGAAUUAGGAGGGUACGAAGAAUGUGAGGAUUCUUCACAUUCUUCGUACCUUUGUGAAUUUUUUAGUAUUUUUGGAUUUGGAUUUUUCCGGAAAUCAUUUCACCACCUCCUAAGUGUAACAAACCUAUUUAAACAAUAUCCAAGUCAUAUGAUGUCCCAAAAAAUUUUAAAAACUCCAAAGAAGUGGAGAUUUGGGAGGGUACGAACAAUGUGAGCAUUUCUCACAUUCUUCGUACCCUUGUGAAUUUUCUAGUAUUUUUGGAUUUGGAUUUUUUCGGAUAUCAUUUGACCACCUUCUAAGUGUAACGAACCUAUUUAAACAACAUCCAAGCCAUAUGAUGUCCCAAAAAAAUUUCAAAACUCCAAAGAGGUGGAGAAUUGGGAGGGUACGAAGAAUGUGAGGAUUCCUCACAUUCUUCGUACUCUUGUGAAUUUUUUAGUAUUUUUGGAUUUCGAUUUUUCCGAAAAUCAUUUCACCACCUCCUAAGUGUAACGAACCUAUUUAAACAACAUCCAAGUCAUAUGAUGCCCCAAAAAAUUUUAAAAACUCCAAAGAAGUGGAGAAUUGGGAGGGUAUGAACAAUGUGAGGAUUCUUCUCAUUCUUCGUACCUUUAUGAAUUUUUUAGUAUUUUUGGAUUUGGAGUUUUUCGGAAAUCAUUUCACCACCUUCCUAGUGUAAUGAACCUAUUUAAACAAUAUCCAAGUCAUAUGAUGUCCCAAAAAAAUUUUAAAAAGUCCAAAGAAGUGGAGAAUUGGGAGGGUACGAAGAAUGUGAGAAUUCUUCACAUUCUUUGUACCUUUGUGAAUUUUUUAGUAUUUUUGGAUUUGGAUUUUUCCGAAAAUCAUUUCACCACCUUCCAAGUGUAACGAACCUAUUUAAACAAUAUCCAAGCCAUAUGAUGUCCCAAAAAAUUUUAAAAACUCCAAAGAAGUGGAGAAUUGGGCGGGUACGAAGAAUGUGAGGAUUCCUCACAUUCUUUGUACCCUUUUGAAAUUUUUAGUAUUUUUGGAUUUGAAUUUUUCUGGAAAUCAUUUCACCACCUUCCAAGUGUACCAAACCUAUUUAAACAAUAUCCAAGCCAUAUGAUGUCCCAAAAAAUUUAAACAACUCCAAGGAAGUGGAGAAUAUGGAAGGUACGAACAAUGUGAGGAUUCCUCACAUUCUUCGUACCCUUGUGAAUUUUCUAGUAUUUUUGGAUUUGGAUUUUUCCAGAUAUCAUUUGACUACCUUCUAAGUGUAACGAACCUAUUUAAACAACAUCCAAACCAUUUGAUGUCCCUAAAAAUUUUUAAAACUCCAAAGAAGUGGAGAAUAUGGAAGGUACGAACAAUGUGAGGAUUCCUCACAUUCUACGUACCCUUGUGAAUUUUUUAGUAUUUUUGGAUUUUGAUUUUUCUGGAAAUCAUUUCACCACUUCCUAAGUGUAAUGAACCUACUUAAACAACAUUCAAUCCAUAUGAUGUCUGAAAAUUUUUUGAAUUUGUCGAGUACAAUCUAUGCAUGAAUCCAACAUUUUACCACCAUACUUCAUUAACUAAUAAGCGGUCGACCGGUACAGUGCUACCGGUUUCCUAUAGUCUCAUCCGAUAGCCACUGCCAAUUCUUAUGUUGAAGCACCAAAAGGGGAAGUGUGUACCGGUUGUAAUAAUAAUUUCAACCACUUCAUAUGGUGGUCGAUCGAUACACGAAUAUCUUUCACAUGUCAUUUAUGUUAUUGAAUUGGUCAUUCAUACACUCAAAUUGUAUUACCCAAUAAUGACAUAGAUUGGCCAAUUAUUCGUAGGGAAUGAAGCUGCGAGUUUUGAAUAUAAGAGGAAACAAAAUUAAAGAAAAGAAACAUUUUUCUUACCACCAAUGCGUUGGCUUUUCAUAUGUCCUAGCAUAACCUUAUUCAUCAGUCAUGAGAUGAUAUCACCCCACCUCAUAAUGUAUAACACACUAUUACUUUCACCCUUGUGCAUUACUUAGCCUAGCGGAUAUAGGGCAUGUGGAAAAAAUAAUGACACAUAGGGGUGACGACGAGACCAAAGAUUAAGCGGGUUUUUCGAACUUUAUAGGGCAAUAUAUUUUAUCAUUACAAAUAAAAAAUCACCAAAAAAAAAAAAUUAUUACAAAGCACCUUUCAAAUAUAUUAGUGUGACUACAAACAUGUAUGAUGAAGCAUCGAUUGGUCUGAACCAUUGUGUUUCAAGCAAUUUAAUACUCAUCUUGUGAUCUCAUCUUCUCAUAAGAAUUAGCACAACUAUAAUAUGCAAUAUGAAUGUUUUCAUUAAAAUAUUUUUGUGUACAUAUUCUCUUGCAUCGAUUUAACAUACAUAUUCCUUUUUUACAAAGAUACAUAAAUUUUUUUUUCCAUUUUAAUUAUCAUCCCAAACUAUUUUUAAAUUUAGUAUAAAUAUGCAAAAAAAAAUGUAUUUUACACAAAAUAUAAAUACAUGUUGAAUCAUAUAGACCCAAUUUGCUCAAGUCUAAUACAAAGAACCCAAACUCAAUCCAACCCUGGAAAUUUGAACAUCAUUAUUUUCUAAGAUUAAUUUUAUUCACCUCACUUAAAUUUAAUAUAAAUAUAAUUAAUUACUAUUAAUUUAAUAUUUUAUCAAAUAUUUCCUCUUCCUUUUAUCAUUUAUUAAUUUCAUUCCGCUCUCAUUUUAUUCAAAGUAAGUGAAAUUUCUCAUCUUGUCAUGUUAGUCUCCUAAAUAGAGUAAAUAUCAUGGAAUGCCAUGAAAGGGACAUGAUAUUCCAUAUAUACCAAGAAUUAUAUCAAUGAAUUUUUAAAUAAUUAUUUUGCACCCAAUCAAUGGAGGCCGCAUGGCUCAUUUGAUAUGUCCAAGUGUGUUUUAAACUUACGAGAAAUAAAAUCGAAAUUCUACGGAGCUUGACUACUUAUUCAUCAUAAUGUACAAGGAUGUCGUAAUUACUAAAUACAUAAAUGUUUGUGCAUUACAAGAUCAAAAUUUGAAGACUUGAAGUUGGAUUAAGAGGUUUUAAAUACUUAUAAUCAUUGCAACUCAUUUAUUUAGUUUGUAUGGAUAACCUAUGAGGAUUGAAACCUAAAUUGUAUAGACCUUGACUUCUUAUUCAUCACAAUGUACGAGGAUGUCAUGAUUACUCAAUAGAUGAUUGUUCGAGCAUUACAAGAUCACAAUUUGAAGACUUGAAGUUGGAUUAAGAGGUUUCUAAUGCUUAUAAUAUUUAGUUUGUGUAAAUGUAUUUUAAAUAUGGAUGAGUAAACAUUCAGCUAUACUCAUCCCUAUACAUACAUUUUCAAUUAUAAAAUUCAUAUCACUUACACCAAACAAAUUAUUCCCUAUGCAUAUACUACCUGAUAGAGUUGACCACCAUGUUAGUCGAGUGUCAUUGCAUUGACCAUCGUCUUUAACAUUAUUCCCAUUGGAUUAUCCCUACCUUGUGUGCUACUGUUUUUGAACUUCCGUGUUAGGAGGACACAAAUUCAACCUUAAGGCCUUCAAUUCGACCUUUAUUAUUAACGCACCUUCUCAUAAAAUAUAUAACCGCUUGCACGCAACUAAAGGUUGGUUUAUAUGGAUGUUCGUUUACCACAAUGAUGUCCCUUCAAAAAAAGAGCAAUUACAUGUAGCAAAAUACCAAAUAGCCUAUCAAUACACGAAUCUAUGGAGGAAUCCAAACAAAUUACAACUUAUACAAGGAAAUGUUAACUGGUCGACCGGUUAAUAUACUUCAUUUUGUUUUCAUUUAGGUAUGUGAUAUGGCGAUUAGAUAAAGACAAAUGACUUCUCUUUGUUACUAUUCCCAACAUAGAUCAAGACAUAGGCUUACCCACAGACAAGCUCACAUCAAACACCAAACGGAUCUUGUGAUCCUUAAAAAACCCAACCUUAUCAUGUAUAGAUCUCAAAAGAGUUGCAUAAUCACAAACCAAGCCCUUAACAACCAAGGUCUCCACGUUAACUUUUGCUUAUGCCUCGCACCCUAAUAUGACUUUUCAGAAUUUAAUAACAUUCCCCAUGUUCCCUUCAGCUUAGGACAUUACUUUUAACUGUACAUGACUGUCAUUUUCUGAAUUACGGUAAGCAUAUCUUGUUUUGCUUUGUUUUCUUUUCCUUUCACCUAGGCACACCAGGACAUGAAACGACAUUGUUUCUUGUGUGACUUGUUGGGUUCCAAGGGAAGGCAAUUUUGUCCUUGCCAUGUACUAAGUGUGGCUUUCCAUGGUAUUCAGAAGCUGUUGAUAUAGGUGCAUAGUGCAUCAAAAGGUGCAUAGUGCAUCAAAUAGUGCAUAGAGCAGCCAAUAUAGGGUUACUGACAUCAAGAUAACAUUAUGUAUAUUCUGCCAUGGAGAAUCAAGGUACAGAGGGAUUACAAACUGUUCGUAGAAGUAUACUCCUUGGAGAUAUAUCAGAAAGAAGGGAAAUGAAAUGCAUUUGAUGCAAUUUUUAGUUAAAUAACACAUUUCAACAUGGACAUAAAGAACAUGAAUAAAAUAAUAAAUGACCGUUCGCAUAGAUCAUAAUAAUUGCAUUGGAAGUAACUAAUGAAUUAUAUAACCUUAUGCUACCACCAUAUGCAUCAGUUUUUGUACCUUUGUUGGUUUUUGUUGGUUUCUUUCAAUCCCACAAAGUCGUUCCAAAAUUGACUUGUUUAAAAAAUGUUGAACUUAUGUUGAAUCCUCAUUUAAGGGGUUAUUGAGACUUGAUCUUUUUUCUUCAAUAGGCCAUCAAGUAUUUUUUGGAUAAUCGGAAUUAGGAGGUGCAAUUUAGGCAAGUUGUCAUGACUUAAGCCAACCUUAAUUUGGAUAAGGUUCGACAAUUAUUUAUAAUUUUUGGGUACAAUUUUUUUUUUUCCAAACUUAAUUCAGGUGAAAUACAAAUAAAAAUUCGAACAACCCAAACCUAAUCUAAAUCCAAUUUAAUAUUUUUAUAAUAUUUAUAGUUUAAAUUAUUUCAUUUAAUAAAUUUAUUUUAUUUAAUUUUGUAGAUGUUACAAUAAUAAUAUCAAAGUAUAAUUUUUUCCCAUUUUUUACAAAGAUAAUACCGUUGAACAAGCGGUUGACCGGUUGAGGGACCGGUCGACCGGUUCGUCAGGCCUGAGAAUUUAAAAUGUCCCCCGCGCGCUUCAUUUCUCCCAUUUUCGCCUCCAGAGCUUGCCGCCCCUUCAUAUCCUUGCUUCCCGAAGAGUUUUUGGCCAGAUUUCGGACCGUUUGCAGGCUGAGGACUUGAUUUUGGGACGGAUUUGGGCUAGGGUUUUGGUUUGAAACCCAGGGUUUCACCUCUUCAAGGUGUCUCCUCUCUUCACCAUGCAUGUCAGGGUUGUUCAGUUUCAUCUCCAAGCGUCUAGGGUUUCGGGUUUGUGGUUGCAUCUUCCUCUCUGCUUUCAUUCCCUGUUUGGACUCCUUCUUCACCUCUUUCACUUCAUUGAUGGCACCACGGAGAGAGACGAGCACUUCCAGGGCUCAGAGCAAGCGCCCUGUUGAGUCAUCUCAGCCCGAGCAGACGGAGGCUCGUCGAAAGGCAAGGUUUGACACGGAACUCUUCAGUUCGAAUGAGGACUAUCAGUGCUACAAGCAAAAAUUUGCUCAGAGGAAAGUCAUCCCAGGGAGAAGUCUCAAUUUCUCCCAACUUCAGCACUUUGGCUUUGAGGGGUUGUUCGGACGGAUGGGAUGGCUGCCCGUAGUGACGAUCUCUGAGCCCGUCUUCCCGACUCUAGUGCGGGCUUUCUAUUCUCGGGCGACCUACGGGAUUGGAGGACCCGUAUUAUCCACUGUGAGAGGCGUUGAGAUCCGUUUGAGUCCCGAGAACAUUUGUCGCAUUCUCGACAUCCCUUCGGUUGGACUCCGUGUUUAUGAGGCCAAGGCGUGGCCCACUGUGUUGGGAUUUGAGCCUAGAGAGGCUAUUCAGAGGUUGUGCGGACUUGUCGAUCCUCAGGGGAUGGGCAAACCAUCGGCUCACAGCUUGACAGUGACUAGCCGAGUCCUUCACCAUAUGAUUUGUUCGAUUCUCUUGCCACGUGGAGGACAUCGAGACGAGGUCUCCUACCUCGAGGCUUUCAUUGUUGACUCGAUCCUCACUAGGAGAUGGAUUCAUGUUGGCUACCUUAUGAUGAUGCACAUGAUCUCCUGUGUUGAGAGCUCGACACGUGUACUCCCCUACGACCGCUUCCUUACCCGUGCUUUCAAGGAUGAUGGGGUCGACUUAAGUAGAGAGACAGAUUUUGAGGCCCUCACCACUUAUGACACGUAUGAUGAGCAGUCUUUGGGGCGCAUGAAGUUCGAGAAGGCACCCAAUGGCUCCUGGGUUAGGAAAGCCGAGCGACAGGCUCGGGGACAUGAUCAGAUAUACCUUGGAGUAGAGGAGGAGGCCAAGAUUAGAGAAAUGGAGGAUGGGUUGGACCCUCAGAGUGACUUUGAGCAAAGAGGGCCCGAGGUUGACAUUCUCCCUCCACAUCAAUCAAAGGGCAUUCAUUUUGAGGCUACCUUCUCCGAGCCUAUGAUGACUAAGUCGUCCUUCAUAGCAGGCCCUUCAUCUCAGCCAUCAUUUACCGAGCUACCAUCUCAGGCUCCUCAUGUUCCUGAUUAUCCACCUUGGAUGGAUUUGUUAGCACAGAUCAGCUCUCUCGGGACCCGUCUGGAGGAGUUAGUCGUAGUGCAUGAUACUCGCUUUUCUUCCAUGGAGGAUCACAUCGAUCAGUAUCAGGCCGACUUCACAUCUCAGUUUGAGCAUCUCGUACAGAGGAUUGAGCGUCUUGAGAGCCGCCAGGAGAGUCAGCACGAGGAGAUGAUGGCUUACCUAAGUUCUGUGUUUCCACCACCACCUCCUCAACCUUGAGUGUGUUUGGGAUCCCCCUUCAUUUCUUUUUUAUGUUGCCAAAGGGGGAGAUAUUUAUAGGAUCUAGGAUCUAUAGGAUCUAGGAGUCUCUCAUGCAUGUCAUUGUUAUCAUUGUCAUAUCUAUCUUAUUGUACAUGUGAGAUUUCCAUAUAUAUAUGAUAUGAUAUUUUUAUCAAUUGAUUCUUCGUGUUUUACAUUGUUUAUCAUUUGAUUGAUCCAUGAUUGGUUUGAGGGGGAGAUUUCUUUCUCUCCUAGAUAACCAAGGUUUGUCAUCAUCAAAAAGUGGGAGAUUGUUAGCCCAAGGGUUCUCCUAAUCGGGUUUUGAUGAUAACAAACCAUGGUUAAGUAACUAAUUGGUUUAAUGUUUAAGAAUGUCAAGUAUUAACUCCAAAAUUCAUCAGAGGACCAAAUGGAUACAAGAUCGAGAUGCUUGGAAGACUUGAGAUCAUAGGAAAUGAAUGUAAGAUGAUAGCAUGAGUGCACUUAGGAUGUUCAUACCUUUUCAUGCAUCUUAGAAAACUCGGUUUAUUCUUUAAAACUUGAUUUUCUUUAAAACCCGAGUUUUAUCAAAUAUACCUUAGGCAAAUUGAUUCAAAAUUGGCAUAUUAACUCACCUAAAGACCUUGCCUAAGUGUUAGAAAAGAAAGGAAUCAAAAAAUAGGUUUUUUGGGGCCAAAAAGGCUCAACUAGUCGAGGCUACGCCCAACCGGUCAACCAGUUAAUGAACCGGUCGACCGUUUGAGGUCGUCCGGUUGAGUCCCGAUCGAGGAAGGUUAAAAACAUUCUCUCUCUCCCAGUGGCCUUCUCUUCCCGACCGAGGUGAUUCCUUUGCAGGUCGAGAUCCGGUCGAGGACCGGUCGAGGUUCGGUUGGGGCAACAGUAACCUGUCAUGCAUUAAAUGCUCCAACGGCUAGUGAACCGGUCGACCCCUAGCUCAACCGAACGAGGUUGCAUUUUGCUGGUUUUGACUCCCGAGCUUAGAAACAUAUAAAUUGAGAGCUCCUCUUCAUUUAUGACUAAGAGAACAAUUGCAUUCAAAGCCUACCUACCUGUUCUUGAUCAAAAAGCUCUCAUUUCUUUCUUAGUGCAUCAAACCAUCACUUGCAUAUUCUUAGUGUACUCUUGUAAUUCAUCCUAGCUUUCUCUUAUACUUGAGCCAUCCUUAAUCUAGGUUGAGAGUUUCAUCUUUGUGUAAACUGAGUGUGAAAGCCUUCAAUUGGUUCAAAUCUUGAAGAGAUUGUGUAAGAGCUCAUUGGAGCUGGAAUCCAAGUGUAAGAAGAUUGCAACAACAUUAUUUCUUGUCUGACUUGUUGGGUUCCAAGGGAAGGCAAUUUUGUCCUUGCCAUGUAGUAAGUGUUGACCUGACUGAUUCACAAUCAUUUGUUUGCCAUGGCCAAAUUGAAAAAUACCAAAGAAAUUUUACACAUCAAUCAAAUUGCGAUGGUUCUCUGGCACAUAAAUAAAAGGGGGGCAAUAAGAGAUACGUAAAGCAUGCACAUUGUUUUCUAAUUUUUUUUUAAGAAAAAUAUAAAUAAAGAAUGAAGUUGAUGACCAUAGUUGCUACAAAUGCCUGUUAGGAAAUUUGGUAUUCUGAGGAGUGUUCGGUUUCACUGUGACCAAUCAGGAAAGAGUUCAGUUCUAGUAAAUUUUUUGAAACUUUUCACCUGUAAUGGUAUUUGCGAUGGUGUAGUCAAGGCGGUGGCGCUGAUAGAUCGAAGUAACAGUGAUCAUGGAAUUAAGGCCUGAAUUUACAUUAAACGUUGUUCAAUCUUAAAGAUCGAUUUGAGUUCAUAGAACCUACAGGCAUUUACUUGGCUACCAGCAUAUCCCAAAUUGGGCUUCAGAAGUUAAUGAAUUUAUAGUAAUUCAAUGAGCCAUUUAUACAUUAGUAAUGCACAACAUGAAAAGUGAGGACUAAUCACAUCAUCAGGAUGAGACUCAAUUCUUGGUUGUGAUUUGACAAAUAUCAAUAUACUCAAUUUCUUGAUCAGUGAUAGACUUCAAUUGUGAGUCUAGGUGUAGAGCAGCUUCUUGUUAUUUCUUUAAUGAUUCCCUCAAUGCCUUGGGCACAACUUCCAUUGAAAAGGAUAGAGAAAACAAGGAAAAAAUAAAAACAUCCCUCCGUCUCACUGUCAUACAAUAUGUAAACUCUUCACCUUUUGGAGUAGAUUAGCAUUCUCCACUGAAAGGACCAAAACUAUCCAUCCUACCAUGUAAGAUAGUUUCUAGGUAUGGUUGGUUUGCUUGGGGACUUUAAUGAAUCACCUUAGUUUAUGUUACUAAUAUCUUCUCACUGUAGAUAAAGGAGAAAAAUCCAUCUCCUUUCUUCGCUCUUUCUAUACAUAAAUUAUGUAAGCUGUCCACCCACACAAGGGACCAAGACUAUUCCUGUGUUUAAGUCAACUUCAAAGAGGGGAAGGAGAAAAGGGAUGAUGGAGGACAUGAUCUUACCAUUUUGCUGGUAUGCACUCUUGAAAAGUAUAUUACACUGUUUAUUGUGCUGGUACUUCUAGAUUAUUUCCACAUAUUGGAGAUUGAGGAAUCUUGAAAGUAUAGACAUCACAAAAAUUUUGCUUUCCUGGUAAAAUUUUGGAAGGAAUUGAGGUGGAUCCUAUGCUUAGUGCGGGCAUUAAUUCUUUUUUUUUUUUAAUUAGGGCAAAUGUCCUAUGAGCCCUUCCUUGCAAUUGCACAUGUUCUUGCAUAGUGCUUUCUCUGUCUGGUCUGUUUAUGCAUAGUGCUUUCGUGCAUAAUGGGUUCUAUAAAAUCUCUGAGGGAUCCAGUGUCUGGGUAAUUCAUUAUCCAAAAGGCAAUCGAAGGUGGCACCAAUGAGAUGUCUGGAGAAGGAUAACAUGAGGUAAGAUAACUGAAAUAGAACUCAAUGAGUCGAUCAUUCAGAAAGCGUGGACCACUAAGGAUGUCCAAAUCUGAUCGCCUAAGUACAACAUCAUUGUAGCUGAGAAUCAUAUCAUCCGCCCAGGAUUUUCCCAUGUUGCAAAUGUCAACAACUAUUCCUGGAUCUUAUCAAAAGAAUAAAACAAAUAUUCCUGCAAAAUCAAAUUUCAAACCAAAUUACAUCACUUUCACCUUGGACAGAGUUCUGGAUUCUGAAAAGUAAUAUAAAGAACUUGGAUUAUUCAUUUGAGUGUAGAACUUCAUAUGGCAUCCAAGCUGUCAAAUAUAUCAUUAAAACAUCUCAGUUUUAUUCAAAUUUUUAGGGGGGAAAAAUGAUGACCUUAAUGUUUACACAAUGCAUCAUUUCAAUAAUUAAAGAUAGUUAAACUAGCAAGGAUUUAUCAAUAAUGUUAGAAAAUACAAGGAUAUUUGUUUCCUGCAUCUUGAACACAUUUCAUGGUGCCUCUCAUCAUUACUCAGUGACUUCAAAUUAGUGCCAAUGCUUGGUAUAAUUUAAUCUUGUAACAUAUUAUGGUCAAAUUUGUUCAACUCCUGAUCAAAUUUGCACCACCAGCAAAAGAGAAUGCAUGUGUUGGUCUAUAUAAUCCUUGGAACUUUUUGGUGGGGGUUCAUCUUCAUCAGCAAUUUCUUUAAUGUUGCAUUCCUGCACAGUUUAUCCAACAGAUUUGGAGACAAAUCCACUAGCAAUGCAUCUUCCAUUAUUUUUAAAAAAUGAGCCUUAAUGUAGAUUUGGUUCACACACGACCGUAACCAUUCAUCUUCAUUAAAGUUUCUAAAACCCCAUGCAACCGUCAAAACUAAAAUAUAUAUAUUAUAUAUCCACAAGAUGGCACAUACAAUAUGGACUUGUCAUGUCAUAGCAUUUCAAUAGAACCAAAUGAGGGAAGCACAGAUUCACCAUUUUUCACAUCCUAUAAAGAAAACCUAAACUGGAGAAAAAUGAAAACUCAGCCAAGAAAGACUAAGCUUAACCAUAGUCCCUGGCUAGCUGGCUGGCUGGCUUAGGGUCAAUUUCCAAAACCUCUCACAUAAUGGCCAAGCAUCACCACCUUGAUUAAGUUGAUGUGGUGUCAAGGCCUCAUGUGAUGCCAACUUACACCCAUGACUACCUAUCACAUGCAGGUUGACAUGCCAUAUUCAAAAUAAGAUGGCAAGUAGGGAUGCCUAUGAUGCUAAGCAGCUUGUCAAUGCAAGGGGUGUCAGGUAGUGGCUCAAUUGUGACAUAAGGGUGGUAACACAUGGGUAUGCACACACAAGGCACCAUGUAGGUGGCUCGACUCAACUAGAAUUUAAGUGUAGAAUUUUACUGGGUUGAGAUUUUUCCCUUGAAGGGACUGCCCUGAGGAGUUUCGAAGUUCAGGAAUACGUGUUCAAAUUUUUCUUUUUUAAUUAAAAAAAAAUUGUUAUGUUUAGUCAUAAAUGAAGUGGAGCUCUCAAUUUAUAGGUUUCUAAGCUCGGGAGUCAAAAACAGCAAAAGGCAACCUCGUCCAGUCGAUGUAGGGGUAGACCGGUUCACUAGCCGUUGGAGCAUUUAAUGCAUGACAGGUUACCGUUGCCUCGACCAGACCUCGACCGUACAUCGACCGGGAAGUGUGUGAACCUCAACUGGGAAGAGAAGGCUAAUGGAUGGGAGAGAGUGUUUUUGACACUCCUCGAUCGGUUCUCGACCGGACAGGGUCAACCGAUCGACCGGUUUCAUACCCUAUUGAGCCGGCUGGCCAUAGCCUCGACCAGUUGAGCUUUUUGGCCCCGAAAACCUUCCUUUUGAAAUUUCUUUCUUUUCUACUACUUAGGCAAGGUCUUUAGGUGAAUUAAUAUGCCACUUUUGAGUCAAUUUACCUAAGGUAUAUUUGAUAAAACUCGGGUUUUAAAGAAAAUCAAGUUUUAAAGAAUAAACCGAGUUUUCUAAGAUGCAUGAAAAAGUUUGAACAUCCUAAGUGCACUCAUGCUAUCAUCUUACAUUCAUUUCCUUUGAUCUCAAGUCUUCCAAGCAUCUCGAUCAUGUAUUCAUUUGGUCAUUUGAUGAAUUUUCGAGUUUAUAGCUGAAAUUCUUAAACAUUUAAAACAAUUAGUCACUUAACCAUGGUUUGUUAUCAUCAAAACCCGAUUAGGGGAACCCUUGGGCUAACAAUCUCCCCCUUUUUUAUGAUGACAAACCUUGGUUAUCUAGGAGAGAAGAAAUCCCCCCCUCAAUCCAAACAUGGAUCAAUUAAAGCGAAAAUUUUAAAUGACAAUGUGAAUUCUGAAAAUAUCAUAUCAUAUAUAAUAAUAUCGCAUAUACACAACACAAGACUAAUGAUAUGGAAAUGUCAUACAUGUGUGUGCCCCCUAGAUCCUAAAAUUUCUCCCCAUUUGGCAACAUCAUAAAGAAACGAAGGGGGGAGGGGGGGGGGGUCUCGAAGAUAUCAAGGCGGAGGUGGAGGAAACACUGAGCGAAGGUAGGUCAUCAUCUCCUCAUGCUACUGAUCCAUACGCUCCUCAAGAAGCCCAAGUCUCUGAUCGAGAUGCUCAAACUGAGAGGUGAAGCCGGUCUGAUACUCAUCUAUGCGAUCCUCCAUAGAGUGGAAACGAGUAUCAUUGACGACUGCAAGCUCCUCCAUACAAGUCCCAAGAGAACUGAUCUGAGCGGAUAAAUCCAUCCAAGGCGCAUGAUCAGGUGCGUGAGGUGCUUGAAAUGGUAUCUCUGCGUGAGAAGGCUCAGUGAAGAAUGACUCAGAUGGUCCAGUUGUGUAUGCCGGCUCAGAUAUCAUCGGCUCAAGAAAGAAUGCCUCAAACUGAACACUUUCCGUCUGAAGUGGAGGAGGAAUGUCACACUCAGGCAUGCUCUGCUCAAAGUCCCUCUGAGGGUCUAGCCCACUCUCCAUCUCUCGAAUCUCGGCCUCCUCCUCAUCUCCAGGAUGCAUCUGUCCCUGCCCCUGGUCCUGUGCCGGUGGUCGCUCAGCUCUCUCGAUCCAAGAGCCAUCAGGGGCCUUCUCAAACUUCAUCCGCCUCAGAGACUGCUCGUCACAUGUGUCAUACGUGGUUGGGGCCUCGAAAUUUGUCUCGCGGCUCAAAUCAACCCCGGCAUCCUUGAAUACUCUCGUGAGGAAGCGACCAUAGGGGAGCAUGCGGGUCUGAAUAGCCUCUCUGGGCUCAAAUCCCGGCACCGUGGGCCACACCUUGGACUCAUACACCUUGAGUCCAACUGAUGGUAUAUCGAAAAUCCGGCAAAUGCUUUCCGGACUCAAGGUGAUCUCAACUCCUCUGAUAGUGGAAGUGAUCGGUCCUCCAACCCCGUAGGUCACCCGUGAGUAGAAAGUGCGAAUCAGAGUCAGGAAGAUAGGCUCCGAAAUAGUCACCACUAGCAGCCAUCUCAUCUGUCCAAAUAUCUCCUCAAAUCCAAAGUACUUAAGCUGAGAAAAAUUGAUGCUUCUCCCUAGAACAACUUUCCUCUGGGCGAAUUUUUGUUUAUAUCUCUGGUAGUCUUUGACAGAGUCGAAAAGAGCGGUGUCGUACCUCGCCUUUCGGCGAGCCUCCGACUGAUCUGGCUGAGAUGGAUCAGCAGGGCGCUUGCCCUGAGCCCUGGAAGCGGCUGACUCUCUCCUAAGCGCCAUCCGAAAGGCUGAGAUGAAGGAGACGAGGCUGAAGAGAGGGAUGCACACACACCUGAAAGCCCUCAAGCGCGGGAAGACACUGACGCAGGCCCUGAUGCGCGAACUGAGGAGGAACUUGCCCAAAUGCGAAGCCCUGGGUCCCAAAAUCCAAAACCCUAACCUCCAAAAUCCAAUCUGUACCUCUCAGAAGGCUAUAAUGGCGUCAAAAAUCCCUUGAGGGCAGCUGGAACGGCACAAGGGUUGAAGAACCAGAAGAAAUGGGUGAGAAACUGGGGCGCGGGAGGCUCUUUAAAUUCUCAGCCCCGACAAACCGGUCGACCGGUUACUAAACCGGUUGACCGCAUGGUCAACGCGGUCAACGUGGGCAACGCUUCGAUUUUUGUCCAUUUCCUUGCCUAGUGAUCCUCCCCCUGCCCUUUUCAAUUGAAAUCCCCAAUUGUUGUCUUCACUCUCUUAUAGUUUCUUUGUCAAACUGAUUUCAUAAGUCAUUAAUGACCCUAAGAGUUCUCUUCCAUAGGUAGCUUGGUCAAAUCUUUAGCUUCUUGAAUAGCGGUGACCUUUGUAUGCCACUUUGAGGGGAGAGACCUCAAUAUCUUCAUCACCUUUUCGGAUUCAUUUAUGACCUUUCACAAUGCUUAAAGGCCAUUGACAAUUUCAGUGAACCUAGUGAUCAUCUCAACAAUAGAUUCAGUUUCUUUCAUGGCACCAGCUAACCUAUCGUUCUGUUACAUGUAUGUUUGACCUUCAAUAUUCUAGCAAUGGCAACUUUGGUUAGAGACCAGCUAGCCUUGCAUCAAGCAGGCAUCCUUAAUCUUGUAAUUGAUUUAGGGCCUACUGUGACUGCUGUGGACCCUCACAUGCAUCCAAUCUUCCAUAUAAGACCCAUGAAGCCACAUUGUAAGGGAUAGGGUCCUGGGGUUUUGAUCUAGAAUGCAAUUCUAGAUCAUAUGUACGGUUUGCCACUCAUAAAAUUCACAUGUGCAAAUAAACAUAACAAGAAUUCCAAUAAAUAAAUACACACAUGGAUGAAUGCAACAAAUUACCUGGAAACAUGUUCAAGCAAUGCAUGGGCAAAUUGCAAUUUGAAGAAAGUGCAAUUAACUUCUACUUAACCAUGAAAAGAAUGAACAAUUGAUCAAAGUAAGAAAUUCUUCAUAUGAUAAAACAAAAAAAAGAUCCUAUCCAUAAUACCCUUUUGAUCAAUAGAGAAAGAGACCUUUUUUGGUUGAAAACACUUCUUAACAAACAAUGCGGUCCCUGCAUAUUUGGAGUUAACCACAUAAAUGUCUUUUGGCCAUUCAACUUCAAAGUUGUAUCAUCAUUUAGGUCUUUAGCAAUCAUGUUGUUUAUUACAAGUUAAAAUUACUUGUUUUUCUUUACAUAAAAUUGUAUAUAGUCAAUUCUAGAGAAUGGUUGAAACGGAAAGACAAAACAUGUUGGUGGUGUAUGAUUAAGCAAAAAGUAUGGCUUAAAGAGUAGAACAAAAAACCAAGAUUCAUGUAGCCAACCCCAAUACUUGGGAUUAAAUCUUCAUGCUGUUGAAUUAUAUUCAAUUUGGAGAUCCAUCAGAGAGUUUUUUUUCUUUUCUUCAUCAAAAUAGUGCAGAUCAAUUCUAGUUUAAGUGAUAUAAAACAUAAUGGUGCCAUAAAAAACGCCUCAAGCAUAUCUUGAUAAUUGGAGCAUCUUCUUGAAUACUCAUAAAAAUUAUCACAUCAAAUCCUCGAAACUUGGUAAUUCUUCAAGACACCAACAAUUAAAAUGCUAAGCAAGGUCAUCAUAACAAUUGAGAACACCAUCCACACUCCCCAUGCCCCAACAAAUAAAUAAAUAUAAAAGAAAAAAGAAAAAAAUUGCACUUCCCUGAUUAAAAUACUUAGGCAGAAAAUGUUAUGGAGCCAACUAUUUUCCUUUCAAAGGAAUGAUUCCAUUAUCAAUGUGACCAUUCUGAAUUUUGAGUUGAAACAUAGACCUAAGUCCUCUUGAAUCGCCAUUGGGGCUUGAACUUGGAACCUCCCACAAACCCUCCCCAACCCUUUACCACUUGAACAAGGCCUCAAGGGCAUUAGGUCCUCUUGAACCUUGAAACAAGUUCUAAAAUUUUGGGUCAGCUAUACAUUAUCCUUUUGACAAUUUUUUAAUCCCAUCUAGAAUCAUCUUCUGUCACACCAAAUGGCCAUGCACUAACUUGAAAAUUUUGUAGACAAAUGUUCUUGAGGAUUUAAGACUUCUACUAAGGAUUUAAUUUUCAUUGUCAACCCAAUAUAACCCUCCUCAUUUCUCCUAGGCUGAGACCAGCUUUACAAAAAAUGAGGUUCUAGACAUGACACUUGUGGGAAUGGAAGUGAUGGGAAACGUUUAACUACUAUACCUAGUGCUGGACAUAACAAUAGGCAAGUAUGUAGUAUAUAAUGCACAUGACAAGUGCUGGACAUCACAAAGCUACACCAUAAAUCUUUCAUAAUGGGCAAUGCCUUCUCCCAGAUAUCCCAAUUCUGAAACACAAAUUGUAAUCUUCAGAUUAAUCAUAUAAUUAGGCAUAUUUGAGUAAACCAUAUAUUGAUGUAUUUUGUCACCAAUUCUACUUUCUUCUCUUUUACCAUUCUACAUUAAGCUAUAACCACUUAUCAAGAAACAUAUUUAGAAAUGUAUGAGAAAAAUUCACAACUUCCUCAUGCUGCUAUAGACACCAAUCAUCAUAAACAUGAAAAAUUGCUUAGCUGAGCAGCCUAACCAAUUGAUGAUGAAGCAAUUUCAUCUGAUAAAAUUUAGCUUUACAUCAAAAUCCAUUAUAAGUCCAAUACGCAUAAGCCCAAAACACACUUUGAACCAUUGCAAAACCAUCUCUGAUGUAUAACUUUAGCUAGGACCUGCUUCACCAUGGUCAGUUGCUUGCCAAAACUUAAAAUUCAAUUAGAUUCCGCUGAAGAAACCAUAGCUCAAUUAUAGGUUGUAUUUCCUAAUCCUUCUUUUUGGAAAUUAUUGUUGCACAGAGAAAUUUGGGACCAAAAUUUCAUGACUUAGAUUCCGAGAAAUUUGACUUUGGUAUUUUUCUGGAUUUCACUCUUCAAGCUAAAGACUAGAUAUGUCAAAGCACCAAACACAAACAACAAGCUAUAAAAUUGAUUAUUUUUUAUAAGUAUUUCCCACAUAUAAAUUUUUCAUAAUUGCAAUAUCAAAGAAAACUUGCAACUCAAAGCACUCACAGAGUGUUAAAUGUAGAUAACUAAAAUUGUACAAUAACAGAUAGAAAAAUCAGGAGAGCAAAAAAUAAAACCCUUGAGAUUGCAAGAACAGUAGAAAAUGGAAUAACAUAAUGCUUAACUAGAAGAGAUUAAUCAACUUGAGCCUUGUGUGCUUCAGCUUUUUAUUGCCUUAAUCUCUUUGUAGCUGUUAAAACAGCAUUACAGUGUGUUUGGUUACAACAAAAACACAUCUAGGUACAAGGGUUUUAGGCUUGAAAGCUCUUUUCAGCAAAGUUUAGGGAGGAGAAAGAAAAAAUUUCAUUAUUACAAGUAUUUUUUGGAUAUUAAGUAUACAACUACUGUUCACAAUGAUGUUUUCCAAAAGGACUUUAGUAAGAAGUUACAACAGCAUCAAAUAUAUGCUUAGAAAACCCGAUCACCAAGAACACUGAUGAAAACAAAAGGAAAACGGAAAAUCAUGGAUCAAAAUCGAUCUCAUGCAUUUGACUGGAAUAAAAGCCCAAAGAAUCUUCAACACCUCACAUACCAAAUUUCUACUACAGAGCCAAAACCUCCACAAAUUUGUCCACAACACCUAUGAGGCCCAUGAGCCCAAUAGAGGCAGCACCAACAAGAGGAGGUGAAUCUGAAGUCUCUUUUAAGGAACUUCCAUUACCUAAAUUCACAAGUUACACAAAUUAAUUUGAGAUGAUCUAAUUGUGCCAAAAAUCUAUUUAAAAUAGUAAAUCAAGAAUGGUUUUAAUAAGGAAAAAGAGGGCCAAAACUUAGUACGAUAAUUUAUGCAAGCAGGCAAGCAUAUCUCACCCAAUAAUAUUAAUGAGGAACUGGUCGAUCGGUUAUAUUCAACCGGUUGACCUGUGCACUCGACCGGUAGACACUGGUCAUUUCUUGAUGCACCACCCAAAAUGGCCAAUGGCUACCAGUUGCAAAACAACUUAUGAUCGGUUGAUGUCGUUUCUCGUCCGAUUGAAGCUGCCAAUUUUUUUUUGCAAAAGCAAAAUGGGAAGUUGCUACCGGUAGCAAAACAAACUGCUACCGGUUGAUGCAAUGCAUCAACCGGUUGAAACUGCCCAAGUUUUAUGAAAAAAAACUUAAAGUCGCCUAACCAUAUUCGUAGACAUUAUAGUUGAUUAGACCAAUGGAGGAGAAUACAUACAUUUUAUGAGGAACCAAUACUCAAUAUAACCUUCCUAACGCGUGAUUCUGCUAUGCUUUUGAUGGAAAUAGUCAUAACCUUCCUUUUGCCAUCCGAAACCAGGGAUUACAGACUCAAUAUUUAAAACACAAAAAUAUUCAUGGCACCCAAAUGGGAACCUCAAUUAUGUGAUGUCCACCAACAAUUUUAAAUCUACAGAAGAAGGUUUAAAGAGAUGAAAAUAACCUAUAUAUCAAGAGCUAUAAACAAAAUAAGCUAGAUAUAAUAUAUACAUGUAAAAGAAAAUACAUCAUCCAUAUACCAUCAUCAGCAUUGAGCGAAUACAUUUAUGCCAUUUAUGUCAAUGGCCGAUCACUACAUCCAUAAGUAAUACGAGAAGUCAUAAUUACAAAAGGUCAUUUAUAUUAGCCAAAUGUCCAAAAACAGAAUGAAAGUUUAAUAACUACAAAACUAGUACAAAAUGUAGAAGGGGUCAUAUAUGGUCUGGUCCAUGAAGCGGGAAGUGGGAUCACAAGAAUACCAUCAUCUCAUCAUGCUGGCCUCGUAUAACUUGCAUACUCUCUUUGACUUCCUCGUGUAAACCAUCAAUGCGAUUCUCCAGAGAUGUCAAACGUCGGUCAUUGGCUAAUACAAUCUCCUCCAAGCGGGUACCAAGGGAGCUAAUCUAGGCAUUGAGGUUGUCUGAUGCCUCAGAGUCGUCCGAUCCAAUUAGUGAAGGAUGAUUUGUUAACGCCCUAGCUCUUACACCACCUGUUGACGGUAUUCAUGUGACAUUUGCUUUUUCAGAAGUUCUUCCCUCUACAUCCUGAUCUUCAUAUUCUUCAUCCUCGGAGGACCCAUUGUCUGAAGACACAUCAACCUCUGAGAGGGGAACGGAAGACUUCCUUGCCCAUGAACCAUCUUUCUUCCGAACAAAAUGCAUGCGCCGAAGUGAAGCCUGAUCAUAUGUAUCAAAUGAUUUGAGUUUUUUCCCGUCUGUCUCAUUGCGCAAAUUGACAUUGAAGUAUUUGACAAUCUUUGUGAUAAACAUGCCAUAGGGGAGAACUGAAUCUUCGCUGAUUGAACAUGCUUUCAUAUGUUGGAAAAUUAUGUAACCAAUAUUAACCUUUCUUUCUGUGAGAAUGCUAUCAACCAAAAAAGCGUCCAAGAAAGAUACAUCAUCUCGGUGCCCUCCUUUAGGGAUGAAAAUGUACGAUAUCAUGUGAUGUAGGAUACGACUCAACACAGUCAACAAAUCAGAAGUUGGUCUACUAGAUCUCGAGUAACCACAUAGCCUUUGUAUAGCUUCUGCAGGUUUGAAACCUUCCACCCUUGGCCAUUUCUUAGCUUCAUACAAACAAACCCCUUCAUUUGGAAUCUCUAAAAUCUGACAAAGUUCAGCAACAUUAAAAACGAUCUGUACACCGUUAAUCAUGGUAGUAAUGGGUCCUUCAUCUUCGAAUGUCAUAUUGGAGUAGAAACAUUUGACAACCUUGGGAUAAAGGAACUCUUUCACAGAGACAAUAGGAAGCCAACCCAUUCUCACGAAAAGCACAUCGAAAUGGAAAUAACUGAGCUUUGCAAAAUCAAUGUUCCUACCCGGGAUUACGGUCCGAUUCGCAAAGUGAAGAUGAAAUCGUUGGGCUAGUUGUGGGGUUGUGAACGAAGAUGGAUCAAAGGUGGCCUUUUUUUCGAAUCUCAAAGCUUUCUUCAACGACCGAUCGUUUCCCUUUGAAACUGGGGUGUAGUGCUUCCUCGGUUUGUUUCUGUUUGCUGCCGCUGCUCCGUUGUGGGUUGGAUCUCUUGCCUUUGGUAUCAGCCAUAUGUGCUUCCUCUCUUGUCUUCCCUUUGCUGCCAGUGGAGGUGGGUUCGGUUGGAGCUCGUUUUGGAGCCAUGGCCGCUUGGUUUGGGGUAGGGGUAUUUCGUGAAGAUGGACUAGAAGGAAGUAGAACACGGAGGGGUUCAGGGAUGGAAGAUCGGUUGGCACAUGGGUAUUUCAUGAAGAUGAAGAAGAAUGGUUGAGAGACGGUCGACCUUCCUAUUUAGUGUAAUGAAAUUGUAGUUUAUGGUUUUGAUAGGAAAUGAACCUGUAGCUUAUCAAUUCCUACAUUUUAAAUAAGUUCUCAUUUUAGAUAUAUUAAAAUUUAAUUUGCAACCAUAUUGAUUUUAAAGUUUCCAAAUCGAAAUAAUUUAAUAUAUAAUUGAUUGUAUUGAAAAAUGUUUGGAUAUACCUUAAUUAAAGUACAAGAGGUUUUUUUAUAACAAAUUUAUAUUAAGGAGAAUAUAAUAUGAGACCUUAUUUGUAGUAAUAAAGAAUAAUUAACUAACCUUUCUCAUAACUAGGAUAUAGUAUGAUGAUUUUAUUAAAAUAUAGUUAGGUUAAUACAUUAAAAUGUAGAAUAACAACCAUAUACUACGAUAGCAAUUCAAUUAUUUAUGGUUCUAAGACAAACAUUUUAAAUAACUACGAUAUAGCAUGAUAAGUUAAAUAAAUUAAUGGAACUGAAUUUAUUAAAAAUUUGUCAUAAGUAUGAUAUCGUAACAUAACUCAUUUAAGUAACUAAGUGUAAUUAAGUAACGUAUCUCAUAAUUAGGAUAUAGUAUGAGGAUUUUAUUCAAAUAUAGUCUAGUUAAUAUAGUCAAAUUUAGCAUAACAACCAUAUAAUACGAUAUGGGCAUUUAAAUUAAUUUAUCGUUGUAUGACAAACAUUUCGAAUAAGUACGAUAUAGCAUGGUAAGUUAAUUAAAUUAAUGUAACUGAAUUUAUUAAAAUUUGUCAUAAGUAUGAUAUCGUAACGAACCUCAAUUAAGUAAUUAAGUUUAAUUAACUAACCUUUCUCAUAUAUAAGAUAUAGUAUGAUUCCUUAAUUACAUAUACAGCACGUGAAUUGAUGAAACUCUAUACUAAGUAUGAAAUGGUAUGAAAACAUAAAGACAAUAAAUUAAUGAAAGAACAUUAAGAUAUGUAAAUAUUAUCAAUCAAAGCCAAAUCUCCACUUUAUAUUUUGUUAAGUUAAACAUAUAUCAAUUGAAAUGGGUGUAAUAAUCCACAUUAGGCUGACUUUCCCUCUUGCCUAUAAAUGUUGUAUUUAAUGUCACCUAAAAAAUGAUGCAAAAAAGGCAACCUUCAACCACCAAAUGUACCAUUAUGGUGGUUGGUUUUGCUACACCUGGCAACAUAUUAAAAUAUGCAAUAACUUCAUGCAACAACCACAUAUAAAUGUUAGUAUAUAUUUGGGGGGCAACAUACUCUAAGGAGUCUAGAGAGUGAAUGUGGUCUUCUAUAAAGUAGAGCAUAGCUUACAAAAAACACAUCCGGAAGACAAUUCUUCAGGUUCUGCUGCAACUCACUUGCACAUUCCAUUUUGAAGGUAUGAUCAUGAACUUCAUAAAGAUUUGCUAUACAAAAGCCAUAAAAUUUUGUAUAAAACUGAAUUGCCUCUACUUUCGAAGUGAUGGGCAAAUUAUUUCCAAACCCUAAUAACAGGUAAUGUAAUAAUAUGUAAUGAUUUUAAAAAGUGUGGAUUGUGAUUGUCUAACUUACUUUGUUACUAUUUUGCAUGAAAUGACUUCUUAAAUGGUGAAUUCAUGGGGAAAUACACACGUGUGCAGUGUAUACCGGUAGAAGAAUUUCUCAACCGGUUGAAUUAUUUCUCAACCGGUUUGAAGGUUUCCUCAGCCGGUAGACACUGGAAAGUGGGAAAUUUUUUAAAAUAGACACCAAUAGGUCGACCCAAUUGAAACCGAUUGAAUUGCUUAUGCCAACUUCCAUUAACAAACUUGAGAAUGGAUGACGUAUCUGAUUUUGGUUUAUCUUCAAUCUAAUUUACUAGUUCAUACUCAUUUGAAUUUUUUUAAUGCAUUUAUAUAUAGAUUAAAUAAUUUUAAAAUACGUAAGUUUGUAUUUAAUUUUAAGCCAUAUAUUGUUAGCUUUAAUAUAUUUCAUAAAACAACUAAAUAUUCCAAAAUAAUGUCUUUUCUUAGUACUUUUUAGGAACCAUACAUAACCUAAUAUAUUUAAAAACAACAAUUUUUUUUUAUUUUCUAGAUACUUGCUGGGACAAACCUAGCCUAAUGUAUUUUAAAAGUACGACAAAGAAGGGAAAACAGAACAUCAAAUCCCGUAGACCUCAUUAUUUGAUCAUUUCAAUUAUGUUGAAGAAUUGUACUUAAGCAAAACAAAAAUUUAAAUGUACUACAAAAGAGAAUUAAGGAAAUGUGAAACUUGUUUUCAUAAAUAUAAUAUAACAGUGAGGAAUAUGAGAUUUGUUGGUUUAUGGAGCGUUAGGACCACUUGUUUGGUUUCUUGUAUAUUCCAAUGGUUGGACCACUUCCUCCUUGAAUGUUCCAAAUUGUUUGAUCCCCACAAUAAUUAAUAUGUUUGUUUUUUAUUUAGAGGAUAUAUUUAAGAAAAUAAAGUAUUGUGAAAAAUAUUAGAAUAUUUUUCUACAUUUUUAAAAUAUACUAUAUGACUUGAUUAUAGUAAUUAUGGUAUGCAUUGUACAUAUUGUUAAUAAUAUCAACUUCAUUUUAUACAUAUAGAGAGAAAUUGAAUGUGUAACAAAGAAUCAUAUUUAACUAAUAAUGAAUUUGUAGUAUAUAAAAAUAAAAUAUUUAGAAUCCAUUAAUUUAUAAAUUUUCAUUUCCAUAACCUAUUUAUUAUAUUUACCCUAUUUUCUCGGAAGCCUUUUAUUUUUUGAAGAGAUUGGGUAAAACAAACACAUAAGAAAUAUGCCUCGGUAACAAAAUUUUCAGGUGAGAUUAAAUAAAAUAAUGGAUAUGUUAUAGCUUUUGAUUAAUGUUGAUUCUUGGGCCUGGGCUUAUAUGUGGCAUAUUGUCAAAUGAAAACAUUGAAAAGGUAAAUGCGUUAAACCCAUAUUUUUAAAUAUCCUAUGUGGACUUUAUCGUAAAUAAUAUAUCAAUCAAUAUGACAGUGAUAUGAUAAUUUGUUAAGGUAUUAUGGAGACACUUUUUGACAUAAUUUAUGAAAUGUAGGUGAUGCAAUUGGUAAUGGAGGAAACAAUCAAGCAGGAGUUUGAAGUGAAAACGGAGGACGUUGUCAAUGAUGAUGCAUAUACAGGUGGAACUUACAAGCUAGGUGGAAACAGUUGGGAAGAGAAAGUGUUGAAAGGUAUUUCAGUUGAAGAAGUAUGCAAAAUGCAAUUCGCUUGCAUAGACGAGGCUGAAACAUUUUACAACAUGUUAGCAAAACUAACCGGCUUUAGUAUUCGAAAAGAUGAUUUGAAGCGAGACAAGAAUGGAGAUAUAAUAUCUCAAAAGUGGGUGUGUUCCAAAGAAGGACAUCGAGCGACAAAGUUUUUUGACAAUGACAACCGAUAGCGUGAGCCACGAUCGUUGACUAGAGUUGGAUGUGAAGCUGCAUUUCAUAUAGGCUUGAAUAGAAAAUAUGGAAAGUGGAUUGUAAAGGAAUUUAUAGAAGAACAUAAUCAUAAUUUGGUCGAUCCUAUUAGCAGACAAUUCCUUCGCUCUCAUCGAACAGUAAGUAAUCCAAAUAAGGCACAAGUUGAUGUUUUACGUCAAGUAGGUGUUAAAACCACACAAAUUAUAGACUAUAUGGUCAAACAAUCAAGGGGACAUGAGCACAUCGGUUUCACACAAAAAGAUAUAUACAAUCACGUUGAUGCAAUGCGUAGAAGUGAAAUUAAAGACGGUGAUGCAGAAGCGGCAUUGGCUUAUUUGUGUGGAAAGGCAGAAAUGGACUCUUCAUUUUUUUAUAAAUUCAACAUUGAUGAAGAAAGUCAACUAGCAAAUUUGUUUUGGGCUGAUUCAACUGCUCGAAUGGAUUAUGCAUGUUUUGGAAAUGUCCUAGCAUUUGACACAACCUAUAGGACAAAUGCCUAUAAAAAAGCCUCUAGUAGUGUUGGUCGGUGUUAAUCAUCACCACCAAAUUUUUGUAUUUGGUUGUGUGUUAUUGAUAGAUGAAAGUGUUGGGACAUAUGAAUGGGUGUUGGAGACAUUUCUUGAUGCAAUGAUGAAUAAGAAGCCCGUAUAUGUUGUAACCGAUGGGGAUAAAGCUAUGCGUAAGGCAAUUAAAAAAGUAUUACCCGAUACAUGUCAUCGAUUGUGUUCAUGGCAUUUGCAACGAAAUGCAUUCACGAAUGUGCAUAUUAAGGACUUCUCAAGCAUCUUUGCAAGGUGCAUGUUCAUGCAUGGGAAUGAAGAAGAAUUUGAAAAGGUUUGACAUGAAAUGGUUGCAAAUUUGGGACUUAAUGAGAAUCGUUGGGUGACCGAGAUAUAUGGGAAACGUAAAAGAUGGGCAGAGGCGUAUUUACGUGGAAAUUUCUUUGGAGUGAUGAGAACCACACAAAGGUGUGAGAGUAUGAAUGCAUCUCUAAAUAGAUUCUUAAAAAUUCGCUUGCGACUGUAUGAGUUUGUACAACAAUUUGAUAAAGUCAUACUGAGAAUACGGCAAAACGAGGCAAAGGCAGAGUUCGAGUCAAACAAUUUUUCACCUGUGCUUUCAACCAAACUAUCCAUACUUGAAAAUCAUGCUGCGACGGUAUACACGAAAGAAUCUUUCCUUAAAUUUCGUGAGGAGAUGAAAAAUGCAGAGUUAUUCUUUGUGGUAGGUCUUUUAAGUGAUCAUUCAAUGCGGGCAUACACAUUAUCUAAGUUUAGACACCCGAACUUAAAUUGGGAAGUACAAUUUUGCCCGGAUAUUGUAACAUUAAAAUGGUCAUGCAUGAUGUUUGAGUCAAUUGGCAUCCCAUGUUGCCACAUGGUGGUUGUUAUGAAGAUGGAGCAUUUGGAAGAGAUUCCUCAGUCAUGUAUUAUGAAGAGGUGGAAAAAGUUAGCAAAGGUGUAUACAAGAUCAGUACCAAUGAAUGAGACGGAUAACGACAUGGAUCGGUUUGUACGAUAUGGAUCAUUGAGUUCGAUGUGCAACAAGCUCUCCUACUUUGCGUCAGAUACGUCAUCUUCAUUUAUAGAGGCCAAAAAUGAAAUACAAAAUUUGACGGCGAGAAUGGAGGAACUCUAUAACUAUAAUUUGAAAGGGAAGAAAAUAGCAGCAGAUGGAGCGACAGGCACUAACCAAGUUCGUGAUCCAAAUAUUGUGAAGACUAAAGAGAAUCCAGGCAAAGUGGCAAUGAAUGUUCAAAAGGGAAGACGAUGCAGUCGUUGUAAAAGAGUGGGUCACACAAUUCGAAAGUGUCCAGAAGCUACAAUCCCUCAAAAUGCUCAACCGGGUUAUAUGGUAUGUCAUAUUCAAUAAAAAAUUGCCCCUAAGAUUAAUUUUUGUAGUUGUACUUACAUAAAUAACUAACAUAAUUGUUUUGAUGGCAUUAUGAGUACGUAGGAGGAAACUAAUUUGUCUUCCCAAUGUGACAUUCAAAUGGAAAUGAUGCCUUCAACAAAUUCAUCAGUUGACAUUUUUGCAACCGUACAUGUAUGUACAAUUGGCUUGUUAUAUAAUUUCCAAACAUUGAUAACAUCUAAUUCAAUAAUAAUUGACAACACUUAAUUAUUGAAAAAUGCAGGGAAUGUUAGGGAAGCAUUUGUCGAAUGACCGAUCUGACAUGUACAUAGAUUGUGGUGAACUUAAUAAUGUAAGAUCGGGAAUAAAGAAACACUUUUGACAUGAAUUUGAGCUAUGCAUUAUUUAAUGAUUAGGUUUAAUUAAUUGGAAUGGAAUUGGACAGCUGAAAAAAACAAUGGAAUGUGCAUGUGCAGAUAGCAGGAUUUCAGCAACAUGAACAAAAUAUGACAACACCAUGUCAAGGUGGGGAUCCAAACAAAUAUCCAAAUGAAAAGGAUAUGCAACCUUUUUUUUAUUCCUUAACGGAGUAAGGGAUGGUAGGUAUUAAAUUAGUAUUUAUAUUAGUUGACGUUAUCACUUCCACUAAUGUGUACUUUUAACUCAACUAUUUAAUGAAAAGUUUGAAUUUUGAUCAAGAGUCAAGUUGAUUGAUAGAAUGCAAUAUCCUCUACAUUUAUAAUUUAAUUGAUAACAAGUGAUAAAAUGAUUGGUAAAUGGAGAAACUGAUUCAUUUAUAUCAUGUCGAAAAAAACGGUUAAUUAUGCAGAUUUAAUGAAAUUCAAUUGUGGUUAAAGUUUGACAAUUAGGUGGUUAUGAGUUAACUAUAGGAAAGUAAUCAAUAUGAUGUAAUUCAUAUGAAAUAGGUAAAGUUAGUGAUUUUACUCAAAAUGGGUAAAUCGUAGUUAGGUAAUUUGUAAUGGCAGUUUCCAUCAAUUUCAAACCUUUUAAUUGAACUUAAUGGUACAUUGUCGAAUGUUUAUGUAGUGAAAAGUUAUUGGUACAACUCAUACCCUUUUUGUGGACGGUAGGUGUACUCCUAAAUUGCACAAUAGCAUUGCAGAAGGCAACCGGCUGAGAUUUGGCCUCAACCAAUUGAGAAAAUUUCUCAACCGGUUGAUAAAAUUCCUCAACCGGUUGAGACCAUUCCUCAACCGGUUGAUACCAUUCCUCAACCGGUUGCCAUUGGUUAAAAAAACCAUCAACCGAUUGAGAAAAUUCCUCAACCGGUUGUUACAAUUCCUCAACGGGUAGCCACUGGUGAAAAAUACCCUCAACCGGUUGAUAAAAUUCCUCAGCCGGUUGCCACUGGUUACAAAAAACGUCAAUCGGUUGAGAAAAUUCCUCAACCGGUUGAUACAAGCGGUCGACCGGUUGCUCCUGGUUAAAAAUACCCUCAAUCGGUUGAGCAAAUUUCUCAACCGGUUGAUACCAUUCUUCAACCGGUUCCCACUGGUCAAAUCAUUCGUCAACCGGUUGAGACAAUUUCUUCAUUGAUCAACUGCUUUCCACAACUCAAAAAAUUGCUCACUCGCUUUAGAAAAUUCUUCAAUCACUCAAUUGAACGCCGACACCGGGUGAUUCUGCGUCCAAAAUUGUUUGAGCUGGUUGGGACAAAUCCUCAACGAGUUCACACUGCAUCCAUAGGGUCAUUAUCCAUAUGAGGCAUUCUCAACCGGUUGGCAUAAUGCGUAUGCCUAUGAAAAGUGGACUUAGCUAAAUCGUUGGACUGGUUCUUACCGGCUCAACGUCAUUCGUCAACCGGUCUACUAAUGUACUAACUAUAUAUUUUUAGCAUAGAUAAAUGAAUAUUUACAAAUCUGAAUAUUUACAUGUUGAACAUGAAUGAUACCAAUAUAUUACAAUUUCAUUUUGACUACCAUAUUGAAAGAAAAGUAUUUGGAUAUUCAAAUAAAAUGGACUUAAUCAUUAAUGAUGUAUGGUCAUCGAAUCUCACAACUUCCCAAUAAACAUGACGAUAUGUGGAGAUGGAAAUGAUAAAUAUUAGAAAAAGAACAAAUAUCAUAAUAAUAAUUUUUUCAUUGCUCGUGUUGACGUCUUUGUACAAACAAUAGCCACAAUGGUUUGUUUUUCUCUAUUUCCCUUGUGUAAAACUAAAUCACAUGCUAUUUCUCGAUGUAUUUUAAUAGAAUUACAAAAGUCGGAGAUCGUCAUCAAAUCACCAUUUUUGAAUCUCUGCAUAUGUCUAAUGACAUGCACUCCACAGUCCCGCCUAAGAAAGAGAAAAGAAAAGCAAAACAACUUAUUGAAUGGUUGUCUAAUUAUACCUCAGAAAAAGAAUAGUAAUGUGAGUUAUGUAUUCAUACUAACCCAUUCUCUUGGGUCGGAAUCGAAGGAGCCCAAUCAAUGGAGAAUUGGAAGACAUCUUUCCCUAUGUCAUACAGUUUGAAGAACGUUUGACAAAAUUCAACCUAAUUUAUUAUGAAAGUGUUAAUAAAUAUGGAAGAAAAAAAAAUAGAAUAGAAGAAAAAUAUAAACAUGAAAGCAUACCACUGUUUUGACACUCUGAAACCGGAACUUGUCUCGAUUCUUCAAUCGUAAUGAAUCCAAAAUUUGGAUAUGAGAGUUUUUGAAGUCAAUGACGCACAGAUACCAAUGACUAGGGCAUUCGUCAUGCAUUGGAAUAAAUAGUUGUAAAGUUAGAAAAACAAUAUAUAUGAGUUGGGGCACAAAAAAUCUACUAUAUUAUAGGUGAAAACAAUAUCUAUUCUAAAUUUCAUAUAUGCAAUUAAACAUUAAAAAUAAUUACUAACCUUCUCGCAAUCAUCCAAUUCGCUAAUGUACUUACUCACGAUGGAUGUUUUUCUAUCGAAAAAAGGAUGAGGACUCCUGCACAAAAUCAUUUGCUAAUAAGAAAACAUAAUACGAACAUUAGUAUAUUGUACUUAAUAUGUAAGUAAACAACAAGAGAAAUAUGAGCUUACUGAAAAUGUCGUGGGAAGAUAGCAUCUUAUACUUCGUAUGCCUAUGAAUUGUCUUUCAAAAUAAUUUAGCUUUGAGGCUUCUAGAUUUAUUACAUGUUGUUGAACAAUAACUUCAAUAAAUUUAUUUAACUAAUAUAGCAUGCAUUUGAUAUAAAUGAAGUAGGUACUUACAACAUCCAUCAAAUUUUGUCUAGGACGUAAGCACUCAAAAUCUCCACGAACUCCAUGUUCAUGACCAAAGUCAACAAGACGCUCACUAAAAUAAUAAUAUGUUCAAACAAACUUGAGUAAAUUGGAAGCAUAUGAAGGCUAAAAUUGUAACAACACAUCUAUGAAUGUUCUAGACAUGACAAACCUUUUUGACAAUGCUUUAUUGAAAACAUAAUCAGCGACAAGAGAUUGAAGUACAUUGAAUGAUUGAGUAUCCACCACGUCUUCACGAAUGGACAUGGGGAUUGACUAAUUCGAAAACAAGACAUAAUUAUUAACUAUAUAUGUUAAGUAUUAAAAUAAGAACAAUGAUAUUAAACUAUUUGUAUUAUACCUCUGAUGCUUCACGUUUUACCAUCUUCCUUAAAUUGUGUACAAACGAGGAGACCUUGAAUUUACUUGGUUUCCUCUCCCUUGAUGUACGUGUUUUCAUGACAUGAUUAGGAUAACCACAUAGUGCUCGUAAUGGUUCCUAAUAUGGAAAAUGCCAUUAAUAUACAUCUAUUUACAAUGUAAUGGUUAAGUAGUUGUAAAGAAAAUAAUUUUUUCUUUUAUAUGAUACAUACCUUUCCAUAAUCUCUUCUACUCCUUUUGAUUGGAAGUGGUAAAAUAUUUUGAUUUUCGUCUGGAAUGAUAUGCACUUCAAUUGAUGUAGCACAUGCAUCUUCAUUCUUUUCAUUCAAGUCCUCGGUGCAUAACUUCUCAUUUGACAAAGUGUGAAGAUAAUGUUCAUUCACAUUCAUAUUGUUCGUAUCUUCCAAACUUCUCUCGCAUGAGAGCAUGUCAUUCUUCGUUCCUUCCUCGUGCAUUCUCAAAGGUUUUCCGCUUGACCUAAGGAAGAGACCUUUCACUGUAGUAUAAUUCUCCUCAAAUUUAACCAAAAUUUGAUCACAACUACUACUACUUGCACCAUAAGCCAUAUCAAUUAGAUUUGUCUUUAAUUGUUGAAAGGUUUUAUCCAUCUCCAUUAAGUUCCCACCAUCAACCUAGUGAUAUAUACGAACGUGAUUAAUAACAUCAUAAUACAAAGGUUCAAUGCUAAUAUAGAUAGUCACGAUGAAUAUUGUAAAACACUUACUCAUUUAAUAACAUCUUUGUUUAGAUUGAUUACAAAUUUCUCAUCGUCCUCAUUCUCACUCGCCAUUGUCGUUGCAUUUCCAUCAACGCAAUCCCUUAUCUCAUUUUCUAUCACCCAUAUUUUGAGCUACAAUAUAUUCAUCAAAAUAUAAUACAUAUUAGAUUUUAAAGCACUAAAAACUUAAAUCAAUAGUAAACGACUUUCAAAACUAUAACUUACAUUCUCAUUUGCAUAUCCACCAAGUUUUUUCAAUCUUCGUUUCCUGUCCAAUACUUUAUCAUCUCCCCAAGCAGUAAUCCGAGGAGAAGGUCGAGUAUAUAGUGGUAGAAAUUUCUCUUCAAACGAUAUAUGCUCGUGGUAGAAUAACUACGAGUAAAUUUGAUAUAGAUAUAUAGUUAGUUCAUAAAUUAUAUUAAAACAAAAUCGUAUUUCACUAUGAUGUAAAUUAAUUACAAGGACAUGACCAUUAAAAACAAUAAGCAACCGCAAACCCCACUUUGUUGUUUCUUCUUAAACUCUUCAAUCCCGUGCACAAGAUAGGACAACACAAAUUCUGCCCAAUUCAUCUUCUUUAUUGAAUCGAUGUCUUCCAUAAGAUGUAAGAAAGAACGAUUCACAAAAAGCUUCAUUGUUGGGCACAAUAAUGCACCCAACACAAAUAAUACAAAACAAACUUUAAAAUCGUUUCCACCCUCUUUAUCCUCCCUAAUUUGAUUUUCUAACAUCACUAAUGGCAAUCGCCCUUUUUUAUCACAAUAUUUUUUACAUAAAUCGUUCUUAUGGCCAACAUCUUUGUUCAUGCCAAUCUUGAACCCUCUUGCCCUCAAUCCCAUAAUAAAUUCAACAUUAAUGGGGAAUAAUUUGAUACAAGUAUUGUACAACUGUAACAUAUAAGUGUUCGGAUUAAAACUAUUUAUCAACCAAAGACAUAACCCAUGAUCAAUUUUCCUACAUCGAAGUUGCAAGAGGCUACCAAAUCCUAUUUCUUCUAUGGCUGCCUUUUGCUUUGGUUCUAAUUUUUCAAUCACUCUAAUCACUCGCUCGGGGAAGCAUCGAUUCUGAAGAUAUAACUGAAAAGAUACACAAACAUCAAACAUGUUUACAUUAAUAUAAUUUCCAACAAAUACAUAAGUAAAGAAAUUAAAUAUUCAUUACAAAAAAAAAUUACCUUUGGAACCACACCCUUUUGAAGUGAAUAUUGUUUUGAACUUUCUUUGGACUUUGCAUUGAAAUUUUCUUUUUCUACUUUUGAAAGUGCAUUCCACUUCUUGCCCAAUUUUUUCCUCAACUACAUUAAUUGGUCACAUAAUUUAAAUUCUAAUUUUAAAAUGUAAUUAUAUUAGACAUAGCAAUAUUACUCCUUACAUCAUCAUUUAUCUUCACUCCUUUAUCCUUCUCUUUCAUCAUGGCUAAUUGAUCGUUACUACAAAACAAUUUCAAACAAAUUUAACAAUAACAACCACAAAAAUUACAUUAAAAAACAUAUUAUUUUACAUAUUUCUAUUUUCCCUUACUAGUAAUGUAUCCAAGCGCCGAUAGGCCUCUUUGGAUUUCUAACAACUUCAAGACCAUCGCGUUCGCUCCUAAAAAUUAAAUCAAAUCAUUUAAGUCAAUUUUUAUAAUAUGAUUUCGGAUAUAAUAAAUCAAACAUACUUUCACCACCACAUUAUCUCAACAUAAGUUUUUUUUUCACAUUUCAAUAAAUUUUAUAUUUAUAUCUUACUACAAUCAAUCAAAUGCCAAUUAAAUACAAAUACCAUUACAACUACAACAUCCUCCCUAAAUAUCUUUACAUUUAAAAUGAUGACAAAAUUAACAUAUAAAUUUUUUUCAAUGUUCAAUAAUGGAUCUAACCACACUCUUUUUCUAUAAUGUAAUCAAUCCAUAAAUCUAACGAAAAACAUGAAAUAUAAUGGAUACAAUAUUGUAAAACACAUAAUUACUACUCACAUUUUUUUCCCUUUAUAUAGAACUCGCCAAAUAAUUAGGAUACAAGCGCCUUUUGAGUAACUAACAAUUGUGUCCUUCUCAGCUUUCUUUUCCUUAGUACUACACGUCCUCUUCUUCUUCUUCCAACUACGUCUUCAAUUCGGGUUUUUAAACCAUUAAAUUUAGAACUUGAAAACACCCCCUUACACUUCUUAAACAAAAUAUAAAAUAUGAAGAAAAUACAAGGGUUAUGAAGAUUCCACUAAAAUUCUCCGUGUGAAAGAACCGAAAUUCUCCGUGUGACAAAAUGCAGGGGUAGGGAGGAGAGAAAGCAAAAAUUCAGAAAAUCUACAUAAAAUCUUCGAGAAGAAGAAUCUAGCAGAAAAAAUAGCUGACCUGGACAUCGGGAGAAAUGAAGUCUAAGACUCGGAUCUUGGCACCGACCUCGCCCACAAUCCUGAGCUCGCGGUCCUUGAGGGAGACUUCUUUGAUGAGGUCAAGACGUCGGCUUGGAGGAGGUUGGCCCGGUUCACGGCGAUGGUGGUCUCCACUUAGCUAUGGAGACGUCUUUGAUAAGGUCUACGACGUCGGCCUCAAAGAGGUUGGCCCGGUUGAAGCCGACCGUGGUCUUCACCCAGCUGUGGAGAAUCAGUGGAGAGAAAAACGGGAAAAGGGAGAGAAAACAAAGAUGAGAGAGGGAAAUGGGUGAGCUAUGGAGGAAGUCGGCUAUGGAGGAUGAGUGAGGGUGGGCAAGAGCCACACAACCGGCUAUGGAGGGGAAGAGAGCAAAUUAGGGGGGGAAAAGGGGAAAAGGAGGAGAGAUGGGGGAGAGAACGGGAGGGGGAGGUACCCGGUUUGAAAUUUUUUUUUUUUCCUUUUCAUUUGGAUGGCUAAGAUUUAUUCAUUUUCAUCCAAUGGCUGAAAAAAAAUGAAGGCAUGGUACUGAAGGAGAUAUUGUAGAAUUUUCCCAGAUUAAAAUAUCAUCCUUUUUAAUCUCCAAAACAUACCUGUCUCAAGCCUUAAUCCAAUUCUUCAUUUUUUUUCCUUUAUUUUUAAAAAUAGGACAAACCAAUCAGGGUGAAUGAUAGGUUGCUCACCAUUGCAUCAGCAGGCGUCGUACCAGUCACCAUUGCCAGCCUGGCCCUGACAAUGGUGAUAAGGGUUUGGAGAAGUGGAUGGAUGGGUAGAAAAGGAGGGUAUUAUGGGUAUUAGACUUAUAAAUUUUAUUUAUUUAAAAAAAAAUAGGUGGAUGGUUACAGAAUUUGUGUGGUCGCAAUUAAAACUAGGACCCACCAUCAUUUCAUUUUCUCCAUACCUUGGAGAAGGGUGCUGCCCUUAAUCUUAGAAAAUAAUUGCUCAUAUGAUAAAAUUUUUAUUUUGACCAAUUAAUUUAAUAAUAAAAAAAAUAUUUCAAGUUUUAUAAAAUUAUUUUUCCUACUAAACAAAGUUGAUGAAUGUAUAGAAAUGAGUAAGAUGUUUAUAAUCAAUUUUCAUAGAUUAUUCAAGGGGCCAAUUGCCAACUAAUUCUUCUAAAUGUAAGUAAAUUAUAUGUUUAUUUUCUACCCUUUUUUUCUCCCUUUAUUACUUUGUGGGUGGGUGGGUGGGUGGGUGAUCACUGGUUUGUAAACAAAGUCAGCACCUGGGGUCAACCAUCUUCUCCAAUAAUUCAUUCUAGCAUUGGAAUCCAUACUUGCUUUUGGCCAAACCAGAACUGAGCCAGCUUCGCUACCAAGAAAUUAUUGCAUUUUAUCAAUACAAACCAAUCUUUUCCACUUUGGUGGUUUGAUUUUGGAUCGCUUACCUUCAUUUUUCCUUGAUUCAUCACUCACUUUUCUCUACAAACCAACAGACAUGGCUGGGGCUUUAGUUGGGGGAGCUUUCCUCUCGGCUUCUCUUCAAGUUCUAUUUGACAGGUUGGCUUCUCGCGAGGUUGUGAGCUUCCUCCGGGGGCAGAAGCUCAGUGAUGCGCUCCUGAAGAAGUUGGAAAGGAAGUUGCUGGUCGUCCAUGCAGUGCUCAACGAUGCUGAGGUCAAACAAUUUACAGAUCCAUAUGUGAAGAAGUGGCUGGUCUUGCUUAAAGAGGUUGUGUAUGAUGCGGAGGACAUAUUGGAUGAGAUCGCCACAGAGGCUUUGCGACACAAGAUGGAAGCUGCGGAGUCCCAAACCAGCACAAGUCAGGUGGGUAACAUCAUGGACAUGUCUACCUGGGUUCAUGCCCCAUUUGACAGUCAGAGCAUAGAAAAGAGGGUGGAGGAGAUCAUUGAUAGACUUGAAGAUAUGGCACGAGACAGAGCCGUCCUUGGGUUGAAAGAAGGUGUUGGCGAGAAACUGUCACAAAGGUGGCCUUCUACUUCUUUGGUGGAUGAAUCUCUUGUCUAUGGCAGGGAUGAUGAAAAACAGAAGAUGAUUAAACAGGUGUUGUCUGAUAAUGCAAGGAGGGAUGAGAUAGGUGUGAUUUCCAUAGUGGGCAUGGGCGGCCUUGGCAAGACCACACUUGCUCAGCUUCUAUAUAAUGACCCAAGGGUGAUGGAACACUUCGAUUUGAAGGCAUGGGUUUGUGUUUCCGAAGAAUUUGAUCCUAUUAGAGUUACAAAAACAAUUCUGGAGGAGAUUACUUCAUCCGCUUUCGAGACAAAUAACCUAAAUCAGCUUCAAGUUAAACUGAAAGAGAGAAUUAAUACGAAGAAAUUUCUACUUGUCUUGGAUGAUGUUUGGAACGAGGACUCUAGUAACUGGGCUAUGCUACAAACUCCACUCAAAGGCGGGGCAAAGGGAAGCAAGAUUGUUGUAACGACCCGCAGCACCAAUGUUGCAGCAGUUAUGCGCGCUGUUUAUUCUCAAUGUCUUGGUGAACUAUCCUCUGAAGAUUCCUGGUCUCUGUUUAGAAAACUCGCAUUUGAAAAUGGAGACUCGAGUGCGUAUCCACAACUAGAAGCAAUUGGUAAGAAGAUUGUGGACAAGUGCCAAGGUUUGCCACUAACUGUAAAAACAGUGGGGGGCCUUUUACAUUCUGAGGUUGAAGCGAGGAAAUGGGAUGAUAUACUAAACUGCCAAAUAUGGGAUUUGUCCACUGAUACAGUUCUUCCUGCAUUAAGAUUGAGUUACAAUUAUCUGCCUUCACAUCUAAAGCAAUGUUUUGCCUAUUGCUCAAUUUUUCCCAAGGACUACGAAUUGGAGAAAGAGCAGCUAAUUUUGUUAUGGAUGGCUGAAGGUCUUUUACAAGAAUCCAAAGGCAAGAGAAGAAUGGAAGAGGUAGGUGACUUGUACUUUCACGAGCUUUCAUCGAAGUCAUUUUUUCAAAAUUCAGUUAGGAAAAAGGAGACACACUUUGUAAUGCAUGACCUUAUUCACGACUUAGCUCAACUAGUGUCUGGAGAAUUUUCUAUCAGUUUGGAGGAUGGUCGAGUAUGCCAAAUCUCAGAAAAGACUCGUCAUUUAUCAUAUUUUCCUAGAAAAUAUAAUACCUUUGAUAGAUAUGGAACACUUUCUGAAUUUAAGUGUUUGCGAACAUUUUUAUCAUUGGGGAUUUACAAGUUUGGCUAUAGGGUUGGCUACUUAAGUAAUAGAGUUCUACACAAUCUAUUAUCGGAAAUUAGGUGCUUGCAGGUGUUGUGUUUGCGUAACUAUAGGAUUGUUAAUCUGCCCCAUUCAAUUGGCAAGUUACAACAUUUGCGCUACUUGGAUCUCUAUAAUGCUUUGAUUGAAAAAUUGCCUACAUCAAUAUGUACUUUGUACAAUUUACAAACAUUGAUAUUGUCAUGUUGUUUGAAUCUGUAUGAAUUGCCUUCAAGAAUUGAAAAUUUGAUUAAUUUGCGUUAUCUUGACAUUCGUGAUACCCCACUAAGAGAAAUGCCAAGUCAUAUUGGCCAUUUAAAAUGUUUGCAAAACUUGAGUUAUUUCAUUGUGGGGCAAAAGAGCGGGUCGGGGAUUGGAGAAUUGAAGGAACUUUCAGAUAUAAAGGGAACACUUAGAAUUUCUAAGUUGCAGAAUGUGAAAUGUGGCAGGAAUGCAAGAGAAACCAAUUUGAAGGACAAGAUGUACAUGGAGAAGUUAGUGUUGGAUUGGGAAGCAGGUGAUAUUAUACAAGAUGGAGACAUAAUCGAUAAUCUUCGGCCUCAUACAAACCUAAAGAGACUAUCUAUUAAUCGUUUUGGUGGUUCGAGAUUUCCGACAUGGGUAGCAAAUCCUUUAUUCUCUAAUCUCCAGACCCUAGAGCUUUGGGAUUGUAAAAAUUGCUUAUCAUUGCCACCACUUGGGCAGCUACCCUCUCUUGAACACUUACGGAUCUCAGGAAUGAAUGGAAUAGAGAGGGUGGGCAGUGAGUUUUAUCAUUAUGGGAAUGCUUCUUCCUCCAUUGCAGUUAAGCCUUCCUUCCCAUCCUUACAAACUCUAACAUUUCAGUGGAUGGGCAAUUGGGAGAAAUGGUUAUGUUGUGGAUGCAGACGUGGAGAAUUCCCUCGUCUCCAGGAGCUUUGUAUGUGGUGUUGUCCUAAACUCACUGGCAAAUUACCAAAACAGCUUCGAUCCUUGAAGAAACUUGAAAUUGGUGGAUGUCCGCAGCUGCUUGUGGCUUCACUUAGAGUUCCUGCAAUCAGUGAAUUGACGAUGGUCGAUUGUGGUAAAUUGCAUUUGAAAAGGCCAUCUAGUGGCUUCACUGCUCUUCAAACCUCACACGUUAAAAUUUCAAACAUCUCUCAGUGGAAGCAACUACCAGUGGGAGUGCAUAGCCUCUCAAUUAGAGAAUGUGAUUCAGUGGAGACUCUAAUAGAAGAGGAACCGCUCUAGAGCAAAAGUUGUCUUCUCAAAUAUUUGGAAAUCACAUAUUAUUGUUUGUCUAGAUCCUUGCGCAGAGUUGGUUUACCUACUAAUGCAUUGGAAUCACUAGAAAUCUCUCACUGUUCCAAGCUAGAGUUUCUCCUACCUGUGUUGUUGAGAUGCCACCACCCUUUCCCCGAAAAUAUACACAUCAGAGAUAACACCAGUGAUUCUCUUUCAUUAUCCUUCUCCUUAAGCAUCUUCCCAAGACUGCGGUUUUUUGAAAUCAGUAAGCUUCAGGGGUUUGAAUUCCUCUAUAUCUCCAUUUCAGAGGGGGAUCCCACAUCUCUUAAUUAUUUGAAUAUCUCACGGUGCCUUGAUGUUGUAUAUAUUGAAUUGCCAGCUCUCGACUCAGCACGGUAUAAGAUCUCCAGCUGCUUGAAGCUCAAGUUAUUGAAGCACACCCUCUCAACUUUGGGGUGUUUGAGUUUAUUUCAGAGUCCAGAAUUGUUGUUUCAGAGAGAUGGUUUGCCCUCCAAUCUACGUGAACUUGAAAUUUCAUCCUGCAACCAACUCACAUCUCAGGUGGACUGGGGUUUGCAAAGACUAGCCUCUCUUACAAAGUUCACAAUCAAUGGUGGAUGCCAAGACAUGGAAUCCUUUCCCGGUGAGUGCCUAUUGCCCUCCACAAUUACCACUCUCAGAAUUGAACGACUUCCAAACCUCAGGUCUCUGGACAGUAAGGGGCUUCAACAACUUACCUCUCUCUCAAACUUGUACAUUGGCGACUGCCCUGAGUUUCAAUCCUUUGGAGAAGAGGGGCUUCAACAUCUCACCUCCCUCAUAACAUUAUCCAUUAGCAAUUGUUCUAAGUUCCAAUCCUUUGGAGAAGAGGGGCUUCAACAUCUCACCUCCCUCGUAACAUUAUCCAUUAGCAAUUUUUCUGAGCUCCAAUCCUUUGGAGAAGAGGGGCUUCAACAUCUCACCUCCCUCAAAACAUUAUCCAUUAGCUGCUGCCCUGAGCUCAAAUCUUUAACAGAAGCAGGUCUUCAACACCUUAGCUCACUUGAAAAUUUGCAGAUCUCCGACUGCCCAAAGCUCCAAUACCUGACGAAAGAGAGACUGCCAAACUCCCUCUCUUUUCUGGAUGUUUACAAAUGCUCUUUGCUGGAAGGUCGCUGCCAAUUUGGGAAAGGCCAAGAUUGGCAGUAUGUAGCUCACAUUCCACACAUAAUCAUCAACAAUGUGUUAUACUGAUGAAGAUGGAAAUAUAUCAAUGUCAAUCAGGUACUUGUUCCACACUCAAAAUAACUUCCUUCAAAAUAAACAUAUUAUUAAGUUUAUGCUUCAAAAUUUCUUAUCAUCUCUGUUGUGCUUCCUUGCUUUCUGUAAGGUUUGGUUGAUUUGGCUAUGAUCAUAAAGGCAUGGUGCCAAGCAGCUCUCAGGGUAUUCUAAGUGACUUGGUCUUCUUGAGCCUCAAUCAUGAUUUAUGGUUAGUGAAAUAUUUUAAUUGCUUUGAUCCUUUGUCAUGAUCUAUUAUGGAUUUGUACUUGUAGAGACUUCAUUUUCGACUUCCCGAUGGUCCAACAGUGGAGACCUCACAAGUUUUUCUUAAUCAUGACUGCAUCAUUUUGUAGGUUCUCGUUCCAAUAGUUAAAGCAUUUGUGCAGUGAUGUAUAUCAUGCUCUAUGUCAAUUGAUAAUAAAAUUGUUAUAAGGGAUCUUCCAGAUUGAAGGUGGAGUGAGGAAGAUGUCAUUUUAGUGUCUCGGUUCAUUGUUCUUAUUGAACGCAGAGCACCUUAAUGGUACUGCAUACUCAAAUUUUACUGAGAUUGCUCUGUUUUGGUUGGGCAGUCUGCACUUACUGGAGACAGUAUUCACUAUGGUUCUACUUGCAAGCAGGGAGAGAUCACCUGAAUGAUAGUUGAUACCACACCACCAAUUAGCCACUGUCAAAAGGCAAGGAUAUGGGAAUGCAUCUUCUUUGUUAUGUACUUAGCAGGACUUAUUUCUUUUCUUUGUUUUUUUUUUUUUUUUUUUUGCCUAAUUUUGAUCUCAUACAGUUCUUGUUUGGUGUUUCUUAGGUCUUGGCUAUGAUCAGAAAUUUCCAUGUACACUAUGUAGCACACCCCACUUUUCAGGACCAGGAGGUCCAUUUAGGCUCUCAUUGUUCAUCUCAGGAGAGUCAGAUGUUUGUUUGAAAAGAAAAAUACCAAAGUUCAGGUGAAGGCCUAUACAUUUGAGAUUCCCAUGAAGAAUGUUGUAAUUCAAUUUAUUCGAUUUUGAGGGCUUUUGUAAUUCUGUUUGCCAUUGUGGUGUUGGUAACAUUUGAAGAGGGUGGUAGACCAUAACUCCCUCAUUCAAGCUUCCAAACUUUGUAUAGGAAAGAUGAUGUUGUGUUGACCUUACUCACUUCUUCACUUCUUCAUGCAAUGAAAAUUUACUUCUCUUCUAUAUAUGCUCACAGUCUGCUCAAGUUUUUACUUGCAUUAAAGAUGCUAGCGCUACUCGGUCACCUUAUUGAUCCCCACAUCAACCAUUAGGCCAUUUUCAAUAGGCAAGGAGAUAGGAAUAUAGCACCUUCUCUUGUUUAGGUCAAAAUAUAAUGUCUGCAGUAUGCUUGAUCAUGUUUAUAAAUUGACAUGAUAGCCCAAAAGAGUAUUUGAUAUAUCUUUUAUGAUGUAGCCUAGUAUAUUUGUACCUAUCUAAGUAGUUCGAUGUAUAUAUUCAAAGGAUUUAGAACGUAUGAAGCAAAUAAUUGAAAAAAUUAAGUUAUAAGGAUAAUUAUUGGAAAGUGUCUCAAAUUCUUUUCCGAGUCAAUUUAUAAGUCAUUGAUGUUUUUGCAUUAGGACAUAUUCAUGGAAUAGACUUUCUUAUUAUUAUAAAGGUUGAAAUAUCCUAUUGUUAGAUUUUCUUUUAAGCUAUAUUUAUUUCUCUAAAAAUUUGAAGGAAAAUGUUUAGGAAAGAAAAUAGAGAUGAAAAGUAGAAAAAAAGAAAAAGUGCAAAAAAUUAAAAAUAUGAUUUAAAGUCAAUAAAUUAUUUUUAUAUAUUUUUUCAAAUUCAUUUAACUUAUUUUUUUCUAUUAUAUAAAGAUUAAAUAAUUAAGAAAUGUAUAAAUUUCAAAGUAAAUUUAAUUAUGUUUUACUUUCUUUCAUAUUUUCUAUGAUGAAAUUAAAAUGAGAAAAUCAUUUUUCUCAACAUGACCUAAUAGUUCUUCAUGGUUGAACUUACAUAAGAGAUAAUUUUUAAUAAAAAACUUUAUCACUUUCAACUAAGUAUUUGAAUACCAAAACUUCUUAUAGAAAUGGUUAAAAUUAUGCAUUAACCAACCUACAAUAGUCAUCUAAGAGAGGUGAAUAUAGUGUUAAUCUCUUUUCACACACUAUACAAAAAUGAAUACAAGAGAUAAUUUAAGCAAUAAUAUAAAAUAAAUAGAAAAGGGACAAAAAGAAUUUAAACUUAAGAUUUUUAUAGUGGUUCGGUGUAAUCCUACUUAUAUCCAACUUAUAUCCACUCUCCUCAAUUUUUAAUCACGAUAAAUGUUCCAUUAAUCUAAGACUUUUUAAAGCUCAAGUCUUUAAACUCUUUAUACUUGGAUUAUGGUUCUAAGAUACCUUGUUAUAACAAAACUUUUAAAGACAAAUUCUCCAAACUUUUUCUUUUAAAUUAUGAUUCCAAAGUACCCUUUCAAGCGAUACCUUGCUCUUAAGCUGUCUAAGUGAUUCCACACUAGUUAAUCCUCAUAAGAUCUGCAAUUGAAAGAAGAUUAAUCCUUGUGUACUAUUUUGACUCAAAUAAAUACAAAGGAAACUAGGAUUGAAGUGCAUCAUAGUGGAUAAGUAAGAUUAUGAAUCAAGGUGCACUCUAAAACACUUGGCGAUUGAUGGAUGAUAAUCAAUAUUAGGUUCUUGGAGAGUCAACAUUAUGCUUUUAAGAAGAUAUUAAUAUCUAUAUUUUUAUAGUAUGUAUUAACAUAGCAUAUUUUUUGUAUAAAAAAACAUAUAGUUUAUGAUUUUAUUGUAAUACUAGCAUUCAUAUUUUACUAAAAAAAUGAUUUAUUUUUUAAUUUAUUUGUGAUUCUAAAUACUGUUUAUAAAAAAUUCAAGUGUCAACAAAUUUUUACUAUUUCAAGUUUUAAAAUGUUUAAAAGUGAUAUUUAGAUACAUAAUAUAAAUCUAUAUUUUCCGUACAAGAGGUUCUAGCUUUUAUAUAGAAUUUAUUACUUAUUUCUAUUUUUAAAAGCAAAAAAAAAUCUUAAAGAAUAUUUUUAACUUAAGCACUAUUAAUAAAAGUGGUACGAACCAAAAUACUUUAAUUUGAAUUACUCUCAACUUCUUAAUUUAUGUAAAUUAUAAGGGAAAAAACUAAAGAACUAAAUAGAUACAUACCAUACAUCCAAUCUAAGAGGUUAACAAUAUAAUGUGUUGAAAAAGUACAUGUCUGUGUUGGAGUGCUUAUGCAUAAAAUUGUAAUUCUCAUGUUAGAAAAAAGAUUCAAACUUUAUGCACUUUAUAUUGUGUGUCCAUAGGGCCCAAGCCCCUGUAUCCAAAUGAAAAUUCGGGUUUUUUUUUUUUUUUUUUUUUUUAACUUCUAAAGCUACUUUGAGAAAAAAAAUUUAAAAGAUGGUAGUUACAAAACUAUUGACAAAUCGUUGACACUUUUUGCCACAUCGAAGGUGUCUUUUCAAAAGACAUUUUCUAUAAUUUUCAUAUGAAUGACACACGAUAAAAAAAAUUAAAUUUACAUUGAAGAUGUCUCUUCAAGAAACACUUUCCAUAAUUUUAUAAAAUUAAAUUUAUAUUUAAAAAACACAUUUUUACAAUUUUUUUUAAUCAGUCAUAUAUAUUAAAAAAAUUGAAUAUAUAUUAAAAGUGUAUUUUAAAGAGACAUCUUCCACAAUUUCAUAAAAUCGAAUUCAUACUAAAAAUGUCUCUUCAAGAAACACUUUUUCACAAUUUUUUUUUUUUUUUUUGUUUAUCAAUUAUACAUAUUAAAAAAUUUUUGAAUUUUUACUCUCAUAAUUCCACAAAAUCAAAUUUAUACUAAAGAUGUCUCUUCCAAAAUUUCAUAUUAGUCACAUAGUGAAGAAAAAGAAUUUAUACUAAAUGACUUUUUAGGUGACACAUUCCACAAUUCGACAAAACUGAAUUUAUAAUUAAGAUGUCUUUCGAAAAGACAUCUUCCAUGAUUUUCAUACCGGCCGGUCACACAAUAAAGAAAAUUGGAUUUAUACUAAAGGUGUUUCUUCAAGAGAUUAAAAUUUGAAAUUUUUGGAUCUGCAAAGAAAAUUUUAGGAAUGGGGAUCCAAAGGGACCAAAGAAAUGGAACUUGGUUUCUAUGCCAACAAAGUUAUAAUCAAAAGGUUUUGGAGAGGUUAAUUGAUGUCAAAUAAGUCAUAAUCAAAAGGUUUUGGAGAGGUUAAUUAAGGUGAUCAAACUGUGAAGGCUAGUUCUCUGUCCCUAGUAGACAGCAGCAAAGACAUAUACUUAAGCUAAUCUACUUCAUGGAACAUUUUAAUUACUCCACUUCUUUUUCAUGACCUUUCAUUGACUUAGACUAGUUCAUCUCUUGCAGCCAAUGCCUAUCUCCUUAUAGUUGUCAAAAUCAACUUGGACUAGUUCAUCUCUUGCAGCCAAUGCUUUUCUCCACUUGCAUGCACAUUAAAUUAGAGACGACUUAAUUCCCAGGUCUGCUGAAGAUAAGCAACUUGCCUUCCCUCAAUUAUUAGGCCGACCUACCUUCAUCCACCACCCCCACUUUCCAUUUAUAUGCCCUUACUUUCACAUUCUUACCCCAUAAGAUUAAGAUUAAGAUUAAGAGCAUGUGGCCUGGUAAACAAUGGUAAGGUACAGGGUCUACCAUGAAAAUUUGGAAUUCAAAGUUCCUUUUUGGCUGCAUCCAGAAGGAAAGGGAGGGAGAAUUAUGCUUUAGGAGUCUAUUUGUUGAUAAUGGGUUAAAAGUCCUUAAUUACUUGUAUAAUUGAUAAGAAUGAUGUAAAAUAUGGAGAGACCAAAAUACCCAUUAAAGUAGUCAUCUUAGUUAACAUAUAAAACGGAAAGUGAUUGUAGGAAAAAUUUGUUGUCUGUUGUACCAAAAUUAGAUUUUUGACCAUUGGAUUUACAUAUUUAAUCAUGACUAUUGAUUUGAAUUGGAAAACACUUGCUACCGGUUUCUUAUUGGAGGAUCUAAUUUUAAAGGAUACAAAUUUAGUAAUAAUUAAGUAAUGGCAUUUUAUAUUAUUAAAAUAUAUAAUUUAUAAGAAAUAAAAAUAAUGUAUUAUCUAAUUUUAUCUUCCUUUUUAUUUUUAUAUCAAUAUUAUUUAAAAAUAUAUAAUAAUAAGGGAGAAUUGUGUUUUGAGGUGAGUUCAGACUGGUAAUUGAUCCAAGAUCCUUGUAUCACCCAUAUUUGAACUCAAAACCUAAUGAUGGAGUAGAAACUGAGGAGAAGUAUGUUACUUUUCAAAAAUACCCUUGAUUGUCAAAUUAAAAAAUUAACUUGCUACUCUCACCUCUCUCUCACUCUCUUUCUCUCUCUUUAUUUAGCUCCCCUAUUUUUAAAAAAUUUUAGAACUUUUUUAUUUCAUAUUUAACCUAUUUAUAAAUAAAGAUUCUUCUUGUUAAAUAAUUUUAUUGCAAAAUUUAUCUUUUAAAAUUAAAUUUAAAUAAUUUUAUAGUGAAAUUUAUCUUUUUAAAUUAAAUUUUUAUCCUUAUUUAUUUCAUGUAGUAAACAAAUAUUUUAAAUAAAAAAAUCUACUUCAAUUUAUUUAUGAGAAUUACAUUAAAUCAAAAUGCAUUUUUAAUUGAUGGAUAUUGAAAUUCAUUUUUCUUAAAUUUUAUUUAUUUAAUAUAAUAAAUUUAGAAUUCAAAAUAAAACCAACUUCCUUAAUUCAUAAGAAAUAAUUUUUUAUUAAAUGGUUGAUAAAAAAUUAAAAACUAUUAUUAUAUAUUUUUAUAACCUUUGGUUUCGAUCAUCCUUUGCCUUGGAAAAUUAGUUAUUUGUAAAAAAAGAUAAAAUAAUAACUUAUUUUAUUAGAAAGAAAUUUUAUAAUUCAUUUUUAUAACAGUAAAAAAGAUUUUCUUAAUUAUUUCUGAAUCCAACCAACAACUCUUUUGAGAUUCUCUAGAUUUUAAGAAUUUUGAUACAUUCAACUAUUAGAAAAAGAAUUUCAAAAUUUUUAUAAAAAUAUAUUUUUUAAAUUUAGGUAAAUAAAUUAUAAAUUAAGAAAGAUAUAAUCAAUAAUUUAAAUUCUUUAAUGAUUUAAAAAGAUAUUAAUAAUAGUUUUGAAUUCAAAAAAUUGAUAUAAUUAAUUUUUAUUAAAUCAAAAUAUUUUAGAAUAUUAUAUUAGUAAUUCGUUACUAAAUGCAUAUUGCAAAUGAAAAACUUUACUUAUUUACAUGCAUGUUAAAAAAGUUGAACUUUAUUCAUUAUUCAUUCUAAAUAAAAUAUUAUUAAAAAUUAUUAUUCUUUAUUUUUAAGCAAGACAAUUAAGAAGAUGUUAAUAUUCUUAUAUUUCUAACAUAGACUAAAAUAAUAAUUUUUUUUAUAAACAAUAUAAUUUAUGAUUUUAUUAUAAUUUAUUUGUAAUUAUAAACUAUUUUCAUUUUAAAAUUUGAAUUAAAUUAAAUUUAAUCUAUAUUAUAUAAAUUGAAUUUGCAAUGUUUUUACAAAACCAAAACAAAAAACAUAUUUUUAAAAAUAACUUAUUCAAACAAGUUUUUCAUUUUUCAUUUUUAAAAACUUGUCAAAGUUAUUUUAUAAAACAUUAGGGGUUUGACUGACAACUAUUUUUAAGAAUAGUAUUCUGUUUUCCAAAACAAAACAAAAAAAAAAUCAAAAAAAUAUAUAUUUUGACUACCAAAAAACUAUUUUUUUGUUUUUAGAGAAUGUCUUUUAGUUGUUUUCACUUAUUUUAUAAAAUAUGUGUCAUGAUUAAAAAUAAAGCAUUAAAUAUAAAAAUGAUUUUUAAAACACAUUUAAAAAAUGUCAAGUUCCUAAAAAAACUUUUGUUCUACAAAACAUUAUAGAACAGUUUGCAAAAACUGUUUUUAAAAAUUAUUUUUUAGAACUAUUUUAAAAAAUUACUAAAUAUGAUCUAAAAAACAAUGGUUUUUUCUUUAUCUUCAAAAUGAUUUUUAGAAACCAAUUUAAGACAACAUGGUAAAACAAAUAUAUGUUUCCCAAACAAAAAAGUUGAUGAAGUAAUUGAUAAAUGGGAAAUUUGAAAAUCUUUCAAGCAAUUUUUCUUUUUCCAUAGGAUCAAAGUAGAAACUCUUCCCUUAUCAGAACUUGGAUCACACAAGUUGAUGGAAAAUGAACCUUGAACUUUAUAAAAAAAUAAUUAUUUAAACUUGAGAAAUAAAUUAAAAGACCUUUAUAAAAUAAUUACACCAUAUACAAUAUACAUUUUUCUAGUUGUCUGCCAAAUAAAUUAAACAUUCUUAAUUUAUUUUAUUUUUUGAAAUAUUUAUGAAUUUUCAUAAAUUAUUCAAGGGGCCAAUUGCCAACUAAUUCUUCUAAAUGUAAGUAAAUUAUAUGUUUAUUUUCUACCCUUUUUUUCUCCCUCUAUUACUUUGUGGGUGGGUGGGUGGGUGGUCACUGGUUUGUAAACGAAGUCAGCACCUGGGGUCAACCAUCUUCUCCAAUAAUUCAUUCUAGCAUUGGAAUCCAUACUUGCUUUUGGCCAAACCAGAACUGAGCCAGCUUCGCUACCAAGAAAUUAUUGCAUUUUCUCAAUACAAACCAAUCUUUUCCACUUUGGUGGUUUGAUUCAUCACUCACUUUUCUCUACAAACCAACAGACAUGGCUGGGGCUUUAGUUGGAGGUGCUUUCCUCUCGGCUUCUCUUCAAGUUCUAUUUGACAGGUUGGCUUCUCGCGAGGUUGUGAGCUUCAUCCGGGGGCAGAAGCUCAGUGAUGCGCUCCUGAAGAAGUUGGAAAGGAAGUUGCUGGUCGUCCAUGCAGUGCUCAACGAUGCUGAGGUCAAACAAUUUACAGAUCCAUAUGUGAAGAAGUGGCUGGUCUUGCUUAAAGAGGCUGUGUAUGAUGCGGAGGACAUAUUGGAUGAGAUCGCCACAGAGGCUUUGCGACACAAGAUGGAAGCUGCGGAGUCCCAAACCAGCACAAGUCAGGUGGGUAACAUCAUGGACAUGUCUACCUGAGUUCAUGCCCCAUUUGACAGUCAGAGCAUAGAAAAGAGGGUGGAGGAGAUCAUUGAUAGACUUGAAGAUAUGGCACGAGACAGAGCCGCCCUUGGGUUGAAAGAAGGUGUUGGCGAGAAACUGUCACAAAGGUGGCCUUCUACUUCUUUGGUGGAUGAAUCUCUUGUCUAUGGCAGGGAUGAUGAAAAACAGAAGAUGAUUGAACAGGUGUUGUCUGAUAAUGCAAGGAGGGAUGAGAUAGGUGUGAUUUCCAUAGUGGGCAUGGGCGGCCUUGGCAAGACCACACUUGCUCAGCUUCUAUAUAAUGACCCAAGGGUGAUGGGACACUUCGAUUUGAAGGCAUGGGUUUGUGUUUCCGAAGAAUUUGAUCCUAUUAGAGUUACAAAAACAAUUCUGGAGGAGAUUACUUCAUCCGCUUUCGAGACAAAUAACCUAAAUCAGCUUCAAGUUAAACUGAAAGAGAGAAUUAAUACGAAGAAAUUUCUACUUGUCUUGGAUGAUGUUUGGAACGAGGACUCCAGUAACUGGGCUAUGCUACAAACUCCACUCAAAGGCGGGGCAAAGGGAAGCAAGAUUGUUGUAACGACCCGCAGCACCAAUGUUGCAGCAGUUAUGCGCGCUGUUUAUUCUCAUUGUCUUGGUGAACUAUCCUCUGAAGAUUCCUGGUCUCUGUUUAGAAAACUCGCAUUUGAAAAUGGAGACUCGAGUGCAUAUCCACAACUAGAAGCAAUUGGUAAGAAGAUUGUGGACAAGUGCCAAGGUUUGCCACUAGCUGUAAAAGCAGUGGGGGGCCUUUUACAUUCUGAGGUUGAAGCGAGGAAAUGGGAUGACAUACUAAACUGCCAAAUAUGGGAUUUGUCCACUGAUACAGUUCUUCCUGCAUUGAGAUUGAGUUACAAUUAUCUGCCUUCACAUCUAAAGCAAUGUUUUGCCUAUUGCUCAAUUUUUCCCAAGGACUACGUAUUGGAGAAAGAGAAGCUAAUUUUGUUAUGGAUGGCUGAGGGUCUUUUACAAGAAUCAAAAGGCAAGAGAAGAAUGGAAGAGGUAGGUGACUUGUACUUUCACCAGCUUUUAUCGAAGUCAUUUUUUCAAAAUUCAGUUAGGAAAAAGGAGACACACUUUAUAAUGCAUGACCUUAUUCAUGACUUGGCUCAACUGGUGUCUGGAGAAUUUUCUGUCAGUUUGGAGGAUGGUCGGGUAUGCCAAAUCUCAGAAAAGACUCGUCAUUUAUCAUAUUUUCCGAGAGAAUAUAAUACCUUUGAUAGAUAUGGAACACUUUCUGAAUUUAAGUGUUUGCGAACAUUUUUACCAUUGAGGGUUUACAUGUUUGGCUACUUAAGUAAUAGAGUUCUACACAAUCUAUUAUCGGAAAUUAGGUGCUUGCGGGUGUUGUGUUUGCAUGGCUAUGGUAUUGUUAAUUUGCCCCAUUCAAUUGGCAAGUUACAACAUUUGCGUUACUUGGAUCUCUCUAAUACUUUGAUUGAAAAAUUGUCUACAUCAAUAUGUACUUUGUACAAUUUACAAACAUUGAUAUUGUCAAGGUGUUCGAAAUUGUAUGAAUUGCCUUCAAGAAUUGAAAAUUUGAUUAAUUUGCGUUAUCUUGACAUUGAUGAUACCCCAUUAAGAGAGAUGCCAAGUCAUAUUGGCCAUUUAAAAUGUUUGCAAAACUUGAGUUAUUUCAUUGUGGGGCAAAAGAGCGGGUCGGGGAUUGGAGAAUUGAAGGGACUUUCAGAUAUAAAGGGAACACUUAGAAUUUCAAAGUUGCAGAAUGUGAAAUGUGGCAGGGAUGCAAGAGAAGCCAAUUUGAAGGACAAGAUGUACAUGGAGGAGUUAGUGUUGGAUUGGGAUUGGAGAGCAGGUGAUAUUAUACAAGAUGGAGACAUAAUUGAUAAUCUUCGGCCACAUACAAACCUAAAGAGACUCUCUAUUAAUUGUUUUGGUGGUUCGAGAUUUCCGACAUGGGUAGCAAGUCCUUUAUUCUCUAAUCUCCAGACCCUAGAGCUUUGGGAUUGUGAAAAUUGUUUAUCAUUGCCACCACUUGGGCAGCUACCCUCUCUUGAACAGUUACGGAUCUCAGGAAUGAAUGGAAUAGAGAGGGUGGGCAGUGAGUUUUAUCAUUAUGGGAAUGCUUCUUCCUCCAUUGCAGUUAAGCCUUCCUUCCCAUCCUUACAAACUCUAAGAUUUGGGUGGAUGGGCAAUUGGGAGAAAUGGUUAUGUUGUGGAUGCAGACGUGGAGAAUUCCCUCGUCUCCAGGAGCUUUAUAUAAUCAACUGUCCAAAACUCACUGGGAAAUUACCAAAACAGCUUCGAUCCUUGAAGAAACUUGAAAUUGUUGGAUGUCCGCAGCUGCUUGUGGCUUCACUCAGAGUUCCUGCAAUCAGUGAAUUGAAUAUGGCCGAUUGUGGUAAAUUACAGUUGAAAAGGCCAGCUAGUGGCUUCACUGCUCUUCAAUUCUCACGCGUUGAAAUUUCAAACAUCUCUCAGUGGAAGCAACUACCAGUGGGAGUGCAUAGCCUCUCAAUUACAGAAUGUGAUUCUGUGGAGACUCUAAUAGAAGAGGAACCGCUCCAGAGCAAAACUCCUCUUCUCAAAAAAUUGGAAAUCACAUAUUGUUGUUUGUCUAGAUCCUUGCGCAGAGUUGGUUUACCCACUAAUGCAUUGCAAUCACUAGAAAUCUCUCACUGUUCCAAGCUAGAGUUUCUCCUACCUGUGUUGUUGAGAUGCCACCACCCUUUCCUAAAAAAUAUACACAUUAGAGAUAACACCUGUGAUUCUCUUUCAUUAUCCUUCUCCUUAAGCAUCUUCCCAAGAUUGCGUUAUUUUGAAAUCAUUAAACUUGAAGGGCUUGAAUUCCUCUAUAUCUCCGUUUCAGAGGGGGAUCCCACAUCUCUUAAUUAUUUGAGUAUCUCACGGUGCCCUGAUGUUGUAUAUAUUGAAUUACCCGCUCUCGACUCAGCAGGUUAUUUUAUCUCCAACUGCUUGAAGCUCAAGUUAUUGAAGCACACCCUCUCAACUUUGGGGCGUUUGAGUUUAUUUCAUUGUCCAGAAUUGUGGUUUCAGAGGGAUGGCUUGCCCUCCAACCUACAUGAACUUGAAAUUUCAUGCUGCGACCAACUCACAUCUCAGGUUGACUGGGGUUUGCAAAGACUGGCCUCUCUUACAAGAUUCAAUAUCAGGGGUGGAUGCCAAGAGGUUCAUUCUCUUCCCUGGGAGUGCCUACUGCCCUCCACAAUUACCACUCUCAGAAUUGAACGACUUCCAAACCUCAAGUCUCUGGACAGUAAGGGGCUUCAACAACUUACCUCUCUCUCAAACUUAUACAUUGGCGACUGCCCUGAGUUCCAAUCCUUUGGAGAAGAGGGGCUUCAACAUCUCACCUCCCUCAUAACAUUAUCCAUUAGCAAUUGUUCUGAGCUCCAAUCCUUUGGAGAAGAGGGCCUUCAACAUCUCACCUCCCUCAAAACAUUAUCCAUUAGCCGCUGCCCUAAGCUCAAAUCUUUAACAGAAGCAGGUCUUCAACACCUUAGCUCACUUGAAAAUUUGCAGAUCUCCAACUGCCCGAAGCUCCAAUACCUGACAAAAGAGAGACUGCCAAACUCCCUCUCUUUUCUGGCUGUUUACAAAUGCUCUCUGCUGGAAGAUCGCUGCCAAUUUGGGAAAGGCCAAGAUUGGCAGUAUGUAGCUCACAUUCCAAACAUAAUCAUCAACAAUGCGUUAUACUUAUGAAGAUGGAAAUAUAUCAAUGUCAAUCAGGUACUUGUUCCAUACUCAAAAUAACUUCCUUCAAAAUAAAAAAUGAUGUGGCAAUUAUUAAGUUUAUGCUUCAAAAUUUCUUAUCAUCUCUAUAGUGCUUCCUUGUUCUCUAUAAGGUUUGGUUGAUUUGGUUAUGGUCAUAAAGGCAUGGUGCCAAGCAGCUCUCAGGGUAUUCUAAGUAACUUGGUCUUCUUGAGCCUCAAUCAUGAUUUAUGGUUAGUGAAAUAUUUUAAUUGCUUUGAUCCUUUGUCAUGAUCUAUUAUGGAUUUGUACUUGUAGAGACUUCAUUUUCUACUUCCCGAUGGUCCAACAGUGGAGACCUCACAAGUUUUUCUUAAUCAUGACUGCAUCAUUUUGUGGGUUCUCAUUUGGCUAAUACUUUCCAAUAGUUAAAGCAUUUGUGCAGUGAUGUAUAUCAUGCUCUAUGUCAAUUGACAAUAAAAUUGUUAUAAGGGAUCUUCCAGAUGGAAGGUGGAGUGAGGAAGAUGUCGUUGUUUUAGUGUCUCGGUUCAUUGUUCUUAUUGAACGCAGAGUACCUUAAUGGUACUGCCUGCUCAAAUUUUACAAGAGAUUGCUCUGUUUUGGUUGGGCAGUCUGCACUUACUGGAGACAGUAUUCACUAUGGUUCUACUUGCAAGCAGGGAGAGAUCACCUGAAUGAUAGUUGAUACCACACCACCAAUUAGCCACUGUCAAAAGGCAAGGAUAUGGGAAUGCAUCUUCUUUGUUAUGUACUUAGCAGGACUUAUUUCUUUUCUUUGUUUUUUUUUUUUUUUUUUUUGCCUAAUUUUGAUCUCAUACAGUUCUUGUUUGGUGUUUCUUAGGUCUUGGCUAUGAUCAGAAAUUUCCAUGUACACUAUGUAGCACACCCCACUUUUCAGGACCAGGAGGUCCAUUCAGGCUCUCAUUGUUCAUCUCAGGAGAGUCAGAUGUUUGUUUGAAAAGAAAAAUACCAAAGUUAAGGUGAAGGUCUAUACAUUUGAGAUUCCCAUGAAGAAUGUUGUAAUUCGAUUUAUUCAAUUUUGAGAGCUUUUUUAGUUCUGUUUGCCAUUUUGAUGCUGGUACCAUUUGAUGAGGGCGGUAGACUAUAACUCCCCCAUUCAACCUUCCAAAUUUUGUAUAGGAAAGAUGAUGUUGUAUUGACCUUAUUCACUUCUUCAUGCAAUGAAAAUUCUCCUCUCUUCUAUACUCCCAAGUCUGCACAAGUUUUUACCUUUUCACAUUAAUGAUAUUCAUGCCUGCUUUAGAGUGCGUUUGACAGUAAUUUUAGAAAGUAUUUCUACCAUUUCUAAUACUUGAAAAAUUUUAUUUUUCAAGUAUUAGAAAUAUUAUAAACACUUCCUAGAAUCAUUGUUAAACGCAUUCUUAAUUACUAGCCGUUGACAAUCAAGCUUCAUUUAUGGGAAGACAAAAAAUGAAGGAAACUGAAUCAUAGUAGAAAAGAAACAUUCAGUUCCAACAUCAAUACUAUUAAUUUACAUCAUCCCUCUAUCCCUAUCUAUGAAAGAAUUCUUCAUAUGAAUACAUCCUUCCAUCUAAGGACCCAUGAUUGUAGUUAAAAGACACUCAUACAACACCCAUUACUAUGUAGAGGAGUUCAUUGGUGAUACUACUUUGAGAUUUGAUAUUUGAAAACUUUGAGAUUGUAAUAAAUAACAAUAAAAGAAAUAAUGUAUUAAAGUAAAUAGGAAAGCUAGAGAUAAAGAGAAUUCAAACUCAAGAUCUUUAUAGUACAUAACCUUACGUAUAUCCGUCUUGCUCAAGUUCCAAUUGGGAUGAAGGUUCCACUAAUCCAAAACUUUUUAAAGCUCAAGCCUUCAAACUUUAUAUAUUUGGCUUAUGGUUCUAAGGAACUCUCUAUAGCAAAAUUUUUAAAAACAAAGUCUCCAAACUUUUCCUUCUAAAUUAUGGUUCCAAAGUACCCUCUCAAGAGAUAUCCCGCUCUUGAGCUAUUCAAGCAAUCCUACACUUGUUAAUCUUCGCAGGACUAACAAUUGAAAGAAGAUUAAUCUUUGUAUUAUACAAUUUUGAUUCAAAUAAAUACAAAGGAAGCAAUGAUAUCAAAGUGCAUCAAAUGGAUAAGUAAGAUUAUGAAUCAAGAUGCACUAAAAACCAUUAUCCCAAUGGAUAAUAAUCAAAAUUAGGUUCUUAGAGAAUUAAUAAUGAGAGUUAAAAGGUCUUUAUACAUGUAUUGUGAGUAAACUAGACAUUAGAGAUAAUUAAAGAAAUCUUAAAGUUUCGAGCAAUCACCAACUUUUUUUGUUUUUUGUUUCCCCUCACGUGUAUGUCCUCAAAUCUACGUAUGCCAUUCUAUUAUUCAAAACAAAUUUUCAUAUUUCAUUUUUUUCUUAGAAGAAAAAUACUUAGUUUCUAGUUGUCUAAUAUAAGGACAUUUUGAUAUUUUUCACUUUUCAAUUUAUUCUCGUUUUUAUAUUUCUUUUUUGAGCUUGAGAUCAACAUGAAUGUCUUAAUUUUGACUUUUAACUUAUUUUAAACUAUUCUUUAAUAAUUUUUUGUCCAUAGUUUUUUACUGUACAUUAAAAUAGCGAAGAAGUUUGUAUUCCAAUUUUAUAAUAUGUAGCAACUGUGCAAAACACAUUAAAUUUACUAGCAUAGUGAAAGUGUUGAAGUAUUUUCACAUGGACAAAUCAAUUUUAUGAAUAAACUUAAUUUACAAGUAGUUAUUCAAUCACUUGAAAUAAUAAAGAGUUCAUACCACAAGGAAAAAGUUCAAUUGAAAUAAUAAAGAACCCCUAGGUUAAGAAGCUCCAUAUUUUACUACAAUUAAUAAACUUAUGGAUCAUAUAACUUGUAUAUAACUAAAUAACCAUAGGGAUAAUCCUUGAGUAUUGACUAAAAAAUAAUAGAGGCAAAAUUCUCUGAUAAAAAAGUAUAUAUAUUUUUUUUGUUUUAACUAUUUUCUAUUUUCUUUUGACAUCGGAGAUGAAUUUAUUAUUUGAUAGAAAGUUCGCUUCCCAUGGGAGAAUUUAUUGAAAUUUGAAUAAUUUUAAAAUUAUAGUAUUAUUUAAUUUCUAGUAGAACUCGUGAUUUGAAAAGACGAAUUCAAUGUAAAAAUGAAUUCGCCUAUUAAAAAGAUGAGCUCAUAUUUUUUACAUUUUCAAUAUAGAAGGUUUUAAAAUAAAAAAUAUAUACAAAAGUGAAUUCGUCUUUUGAAAAGACAAGUUCAAUAUAAAAGAAGAAUUCGUCUUUUAAAAAAACGAGUUUACUGUAAAAAUAAAAAAAAGUAAUAAAAAGUGUUGUAUUUUUAUAUUUAUUUAUUUUUAUAAAAAAAAUCCCUGAAAUUUGUUACCCGAAGUGCCACGUGACAAAUCGGAUGAAAAAGAGCCACGUCACCGCUAUUAGUUGCUCACGUGCCACUCCAUAUCGGACACUUCCUCACGUGCGAAUCCUCUCAGAAAUUCAGAAUCCAUGACUCUUCCCUGAUCUAUCAUUUUCUCUCUCUAAAACUCUCUCUUCUCCACCGAUUUCAGUCGAUUAUCGCUGUUGAAUUACCAAACUGGUGAGUUAUUGAAUUAAUUUAGGCUUUAGUAUAUGAAUUAUAGCUUCGAGGGCAUCCUCAAUUAUUCCAAUUUUGGUUAAUUUUCUCAAUAUUGGAGGCUCUUUCGUUUGUCGCUUCUAUUUGAGAUUUUGAAUCACUUGCGUGUGUUUGGUUGCGGAGAAAGUGUAGGAAAAAAUAUAAAGUCAAAAUAAUAUAGAGUAUCCUGCCUUUUAUUAGGUAGUGGUCCUCAUGGAAUAGCUAGGUGAGGGUUUGAUCAAUAUAUUUUGCACAGCGUAUCUCAUUAUGGAUGAAAUUUCUUAAGCAGUGUGGGUUUGGGGUUGAAAUACUAGGGAUUUAUCUCCAAUUAAUACAAAUUUAUUACUUAUUCGAUUUCAAGUUGAAAUGCUGUUGGUCACUUUCUUGAACAAUGCAGAAAAACUUCUUUUCUCAGAUCUGUGAGUAAUAAUUAGAGCAAGAGAAACAGCUUCUCUCUCGCCCCUGCUGCCAUUGCCCCUAAUUAUAUUUCUCUUUCUUUUUCUUUUCUUUUUAUUUGUGUUUGGAUUUGGAUUUUAUAGCCUGAAACUCUCUCAUUUGUGGGUACGCCAAUUUCUGUCUUAUCUUCUUCAUUGUUUUCUCUUAAAUUUAUGUUCUUUUGAUCAAUUAGUUUGUUCUUUUGACUUGAAUUUGAUUGAUUUUAUUUGGGUUUCUUUUGAAUGGGAGCUUUGACUAUUCUGAAUUUUGUUUCUUAAUGUGAGUUUUGUCUGAGUGUUGGACUGUGCAAAUUGUUUGAUGAUACAUUCAAAUUGUACCGAAUCAGUUUGAUGAAAAACCCACAAAUUGUUGAUGGAAAACUGUGUUAUGGAGUCUUGUAUCCUUCUGUUUCAUUUUUUCACCCAAACAGGUGAAUUUCUCAUCCUUGGAUUCUAAAUCCAAAUCCGUGUUUGUGGACAAUGACCUUACAAUCAGAAAUAAGCAAAUGUGCAUGUAAACUUGCCCCUUCAUUCAUCUGCCUAUUUGUCAGGUUGUGAAACCUGAGUAGGAGAUCAUUUCUGGAACUCAUCGAUGAGUUGGGAAGUGGGUUGAGUUGUAGUUCCCUGUUUGUGGGUUCGACCGUUCUGUCUAUAUCUGUUCCUGCAUUGCUCUAGUUUAACAAUAACCUUAAAGAUUUCAUGGAGACAAUGACCGACAAAUAAUUUUCAAUAGUGUUUUGUCUCUCUAAAAUUUCAAAAGAUUUGACAUUCCAUUUGUCCAGGUACUGAAUUUAUUACAUGCUCAUACAUCAAGCUUAGACAAUGAUUGUAGAGGAUCUUGGAAUUGAAGCCAAGGAAGUGGCGGUUCGUGAGGUUGCCAAACUUUUGCCACUACCUGAACUUUUGCAGUCAAUUUCGUCAAUUAAGGCUGAUUACAUUACGCGCCAACAGGUGAUGCUUCUUUGUCCAAUUUAAUAGUCAAAAUUUCUAUUUCAAUUUGGGUUAGUUUCAAUCACAUAUGUAGGUGAGUAUGUGUGUGUGUGUGUGUGUGUGUGUGCGCACCUAUCCACACACACAUGCAAAAUUUUGAAGUUAUGCAGGUGUUGCGUUAAGAUUAUACUGAUUGAACAAGAGAAAUUUUUGGUUUUGGGUGACUGGAAUGAGCAAUCAUCUUGGAAAUCUCUAGAUACAUGGAAAUUGAAGUGUGAGAUCAGGUUGAAUGAGUUGCUAGCUUGUUUUAUUUAUGAAAGUUGAGUUCAUGUGCUAGGAAUCAGAUCUCUCAGGUUUUGCUUUCUUGGGGCUACUUCACUCUGUUUCUGAAGUGAAAGAUUUUAAGAUGCUCCCCAACAAGGAGGAGUCCAAUUAGGCUUGUAAGAGGAUUUAA